CAAUUAAUCCGACUACACACGAGCUUCUCUCCCUGGCCAAGACACAAUCAUAGUAUGAUGAAGAACAUGGCACUAGCCGGCAAUGGUAUGAAGAAGUUAAUCCUCGCUGUUCUCUUACUCUGUCUAGUUAUAGGGCAGAUACAAGUGGAAGCUAAGAGCUGCUGCCCAUCCACCACUGCAAGAAAUAUCUACAAUACCUGCCGUUUCGGGGGUGCAUCCCGUUCAAUGUGUGCAAAACUGUCAGGCUGCAAAAUUAUCAGUGGGAACAAAUGCAAGCCCCCUAACGACCACCUCACCCUUGACCCGGACACUGGUAAAUAAUAAAUUUAUCUCACUUGAUUUCUUCGUGAUUUGAGUCGUUAAUGUAUUUUCCAUCUGAUGAAACGUAUUGGUUUUGCAUUGAAGAGGAAGUUAAUGUGCUUAACUUCUGCAAGUUGGGGUGUGCGUCGUCUGUGUGCAACAACAUCAACGCUGGUAAGCACCUUUUGCUCAGACGGAGAAAACAAUAAUCAUUAAUUAGCGGCAGCUAGAAUCCUAUAAUCUAAUAUAUUUAUAUAUAUAUAUAAUUUUAUCAGCUCUGGGAAAUGAAGAGGCGAACGAUGCCGUUGAGAGUUGCGACCAAGCCUGCUCUAGCUUCUGCAGCGUGCAUGUUGGCAGCGCCACCGUGGUUGCUUAAGCAAAUGCAUGCAACUAGAUCGUCCUUGUGCUGAAUAAUUGGAUAUCGUAUCCACUUAAAGCUGCCUUGUGUAGUACGUCUUUGUUUGUGUCUCUCUUUAUAUUCCACUAAGGUCGGUGAUCUUGAUGCCACACACACUCAGAUGUGUGUUCAUCUCCAGAUACUACUCCAUGCUACCUGCCCUUUUUGUUUUGUUCAAUAACUGGGUAUCAUAUCCCGGCCAGUGUGCCAUCUAUUUUGUGUUUGUUUCCUUCUAGUUCCAAAGGGGUCAUCAUGAUGUUACCUUCUUUCGAUAUGGUGCUUUGCAUGACAACUGUUGUAUGGUACCAUCUUGUUGGCCAAUAAAUACAUCUUAUCCUAUGACCCUUUGCUAUGACCCUUUGCAAAUAAGUACAAGAUUGUUAUAAGCGUCAAUACUCAGUAUAAUUGAUCGCUGCUGUGAGUUCCCUUUCAGCUUAUCGUAGGCACACAUUAUUGCUAGCACGGUAAAGACAACCAACACGAAUGAUGAAGUAAACGUAGCGGUACUUUUGUAUACCAACACCCUUACUUAAAUGUACUGGUGUCAUUCCCUACUGGCACAUAUAUUCUUAUAUGCUAGCCAGAUUGGAAAAUUAACCAAUUAAAAUAAUUAUUUCAAGAUAGAAAUAACUUAUCGGCUUCUCGAAGCAUGUGUAAUUUUAAUUCAAGGACUCAAUGGAAGUUGAAUCACUUCAUCUAGAUUGCCUUCUGGAUUUUGGUUAACUAAAUUUAACAUUUGUGUCGGGGGGAAAUAUUAACGAUUUUCUUACGCUCUCUAAUUAACGGAUACAAGGGCUAGGGCCCACCCCUAAUACCCAUAAUCUCCGCUAACAACACAUCCCAGAGGCACUCCGCUCCGCCUCGCCCGACUUCAGGGUCGCAGGGUCGGACGUGCCCGACCCCCCAAGGCCUCGCCUCGUCUCAGCCGAUGGAGUUCCGCCUCGCCCGACCCUGAGCCCAACGGAUCGGACGCGCCCGACCCCUCGAAGCAGGACUCCGCCUCGCCCGACCCUGAGCGCAAGCGGUCGGACGUGUCCGGUCCCACCUGACAGAGCUCCGCCUACCCGAAGGUACGAGCAGGUCAUCAGACGGAAGCGCGGGCUCUGUGAGUCCCCCUGGGCUCACCCAACCGAUGGGACCGCGCAAGCUUCCAGAUACAGUUCUGACACAUGGAGAGGCGCCCGCGUUCCUCGACAUGACCUGUCAAAAUGUUGGUCUGCGCACUGCUGCCACGACUGCACAGGGCUACACCUGCACCGUCCUACCCCACUGUGACAUCUGUCAUAGGGCACUCAUCGCUCAUACCAUCUAAUGGAGGAGGGAAAACCGCCUAGUUUUCCACGUGGGCUAGCAAGAAGAGCACGUCAGCCACGCCGCCCCGUCAGGGUGCAUGGCUACAGUGGUUGACCAUCACCCGCGACGUGCACAGUCACAGUGGCCAGUCGUCACCACCAACUUGCACAGCUACAGUGGUCGGCCGCCAUGCACGACUCGCGUGUCCGGCUACAGUGACCGACCGCCGAGUCACCGAUGGGACCCAACGGCAACCCCUAUCCCUUAGUAGCAGUACCGACAAGACGCAGAGACAAGAAGGGAAGACGACGUCUCUAGUAGCCCCACUUGCUUCCCUUUUUACCUUUCUACCUGUUUACCUUCCUUACUCCCGGCUCAUUUGUAACCUCUGUAUCCUCCUUGCACUAUAAAAGGAGACCAGGGGGUCUGAGGGCAAGGGACCCUCGGAGACCGAACCCCGAAUUCACCCAAGUACAAACCAACCGAACCACCAGACGAGAAAGACUCACAGAGAUCUGGGAACCAGCUUCCCUCUCUCACCUAUUUGUAGCCUCUACUCCAGACUUGGUACGAGUAACACGAGCAGCCACCCGCACUGGACUCCUCCGCCAGAAACUGGUCCAACCAGUCGGGUCCCUCCCCCUGCUCUUCGUCCUCAUCAUCCUCAUCAUCGUCGUCCUCAUCCGUUGCCGUGUCUGGCCCCUCCGCAGCCUUCAGAACUCCGCUGCAGCUUUCUUUUUCUUCCUCACCGUCUCCUUGUCCUUCCUCUUCUUCUGUGCUUCGUCGAGGAGGCGGUUCCGCUGCCUCUGCACCACGUCCUCUGGCACCGGUGGACGGGAGGCUGUGACAUGGUUUAAGUUACCCUGCAGAUUCGAAGACUCCGCGUCAGAAUAGCAAACCAGGAAAUGCAGGAAAGAAGAACGAGAGUGCAAAUUUCUAACCAGCAGGACAUAGGCCUCGUCCGGGCGCAUCGGAGGGUGCCCCGGCACCGGGAACACGACAUCCCUGUCACCCAAUGCAUCCCGGACACGCUGCUCGAUCUCGGCGUCGGCAAUUGCACCCGUCGCAAGGACGGUGCUGUGGUACGCCCCAACAACUCCGGCCCCGGUCAGGCCCUCCUCCUUCAGAAGGUUGAUGGCUUCGAGGAGACCCCGGAUAUUCUUCUUCUCCUUCUCAACAGGGCCAUAUGUCCACGUUCCCGGUGCCUCCACGAUGACGCGGCCAGUGAACUCCGUCAAGAGGACAUCGGGGCGGUUCUUCACAUAGAGCCACUGCUGAUGCCACCCUUUGUGGGAUGACGGGGUCUUCAUCGAUGUAUACUCCUUGGGCCGAUGGCCACAGAGGUGGAUGCCGGCACACCCCAUCAGCAUCGGAAUCGUCCGCGUCUGGUUUCCUCUCUUCUCGGUCCUCUGAUGAAGAGUGACAGCGAAGAAGUACUUCCACAGGGCGAAGUUGGGCUCGAUCCCCAGGUAUCCCUCCCAAAGCACGACGAACGCCGCGAUGUGCUGGAUUCCGUUGGGGUUGAGGUGCUCCAGCUCAAUGCUAUAGUAGUGCAGCAGCCCCCGGAAGAAGCGACUUGGGGGAACCGCGAACCCCCUCUCGUGGAAGUGCGCGAAGGAGACGAUGUACCCGUCCUCCGGCUGUAGCACGGCCUUGUUCCCGGGAUACCGCCACUCGUUCUCGGCGAUCCUAUCGCGAAGAAGGCCCUUCUUCACGAGACCGAUCACGCGCGCGGUGUUGAAGAUUGACCAAGACCUUGAAUCCAUCGCCGAGGAAGGGGAAGGCUCGACGGCGGUGGUGGAAAGGUGAAUGCUCUGGCUCGAAAGAGGAUGAAAAGUGAACAAGGAGGCGAGAAAGGCUGAAGACGAGUGCGGAGCGGAGCAAGCAAGGUAAGCUCUCUCGUUUUACAGGGGGCGUGCGAGAAACGAAAGGCGAACCGAACGCAUUUAUUGCGACGUCAGGUAUGCCCCAUCGCCUCCGCCUUUCUUCGGAAACCGUACGCAUGAUUUCUUUUUAACCGCAGGGAACGCUACGCCCCCUCGCCCCACGAGCCCGGUGUUUUUUGCCGCUUCGUCUCCUGGAGGUCAUGCGCACAACUUCCUCCACAAGCGGCCCAGGGCCCGCUUCAGGUAAAAAAGGGAUACAGAGCUGAAAACACUCUAACGGCCCAUUACGGUCCAGGGGUUCGAAGGCUGGCCCUCUAGAGGGUUCGACAUCCACCCCAGGACAUUUCUUGAGCAAGGGGUGAGAAGGGACGGGUCCGCUAGCGACCACUACCCUGGUGAACAAAAGCCAAGGGCGUCCCGACCUCACAUUUGAGUCUCGAUUGGCGUUUAAGUUCAUGGUUUUUCCCCGAAGAAAGGCAAAGUGCCCCCGGAUCCGGUUGAACAGACCUGGGAACUAUAUGAACUGGCCGUCCGAAAUCUGGAGUACGCCACCAGCUUGGCCCAAGCCGGACCCGCCCGAACAGGGACCGGGACUCCACUCGAACUGACCCGUUAGCAGCUCACCGAGCACCAUGGUUCGUCCGAUGAGGAUAACAUGGCACGGCUCACCCCCUCCGUCCCAACGAACGGACGCUGAGGGGUAACGACUAAAAGACGAUCCGACCUCUCGAUCGGUCCCCUGCAAUGCGCGGGGGCUCGAGGGCUGGAAUCACAACGAAACGACCAUGCGCAUGGUUACGACUCGGAAUUUUGAGGCAGGAAUGGUCAUUGAAACAAUAGGGAAUCUUCCCAAACCGUACCAUCCUCAGAACACUCUGGCUACCCAAAACUCCCCGGCCAGGCCAAACAAGCAAAACUUUUCUCCUGAUCAAAUCAAGGUACAUGUUAAACAAGACCCCUGACAAACACUCUGCCGAGAGCCAAUCACAGCCUCUGGAGGAGCACCUUGCUCCACCAAAGGCUCGGGGCCUACUGUCAGGGGGAAAUAUUAACAAUUUUCUUACGCUCCCUAAUUAAUGGACACAAGGGCCAAGGCCCACCCCUGACACCCGUAAUCUCCACCAACAACACAUCCCAGAGGCACUCCGCUCCGCCUCGCCCGACUACAGGGUCACAGGGUCGGACACGCCCGACCCCCCGAGGUCUCGCCUCAUCUCAGCUGAUGGAGUUCCGCCUCACCCGACCCCAGGCGUAAGGGGUUGGACGCGCCCAACCCCUCAAAGCAGGACUCCGCCUCGCCCGACCCCGAGCGCAAGGGGUUGGACACAUCGGAUCCCACUAGACAGAGCUCCGCCUCGCCCGAAGGUAUGAGUAGGUCAUCAGACGGAAGCGCGGGCUUUAUGAGUCCCCCCAGGCUCACCUAACCGAUGGGACGCGCACAAUUCUAGAUACAGUUCUGACACGUGGAGAGGUGCCCGCGUUCCUCGACAUGACCUGUCGGAAUGUUGGUCUGCACACUACUGCCACGACUGCACAGGGCUACAACUGCACCGUCCUACCCCACUGUGACAUCUAUCAUAGGGCACUUAUCGCCCAUGCCGUCUAACGGAGGAGGGCAAACCGCUUGGUUUUCCGCGCAGCCUAGCAACUACAGCACGUCAGCCACGCUGCCCCGUCAGGAUGCAUGGCUACAGUGGUUGACCGUCGUCCGCGACGUGCACAGCUACAAUGGCCAGUCGUCACCACCAACUUGCACAGCUACAGUGGUCGGCCGCCAUGCACGACCCGCGUGUCCGGCUACAGUGGCCGACUGCCGAGUCACCAAUGGGAUCCAACGGCAACCCCCAUCCCUCAGUAGCAGUACCGACAAGACGCAAAGACAAUAAGGGAAGACGGUGUCUCCAGUAGCCCUACUUGCUUCGCUUUUUACCUUUCUACCUUUUUACCUUCCUUACUCCUGGCUCAUUUGUAACCCCUGUGUCCUCCUUGCACUAUAAAAGGAGACCAGGGGGCCCGAGGGCAGGGGACCCCCGGAGACCGAACCCCGAAUUCACCCAAGUACGAACCAACCGGACCACCAGACGAGAAACACUCACAAAGAUCUGGGAACCAGCUUCCCUCUCUUGCCUGUUUGUAGCCCCUACUAUAGACUUGGUACGAGUAACACGAGCAGCCACCCGCACUGGACGUAGGGCUAUUCCUGCCCGAACCAGUAUAAACCUCGCGCCCUCUCGUACAACCAUCCAAGCCUUACGCGUAGAGAAACAAAUUUACUAAGCCGGUAGUCUUGACCCGUGAUUCGUGAGACCGACAAUUUGCACAUACAAAUGUUAAAGUACAAAUGUUAAAUCUAGUUACCAAGCAGAAUACGAAAUAGCGGGCUAUAGUGAGGCUAUAGCGGCGCUAACUGCUGCAACAACAGUGUUGUACUAAUUAGCAGGCUAUAGCGGAGCUAUAGCGGUUGAGCACAGCUCUACGCUAAAUAUCAUAGCCCUCAAUUUUGUACAUUGUAUAUACUAUAUAAAUCUAGUUAACAUUUAGUCUAAAUGUUAAAUCGAGUUACCUAAAAUCCUGAAAGCAAAAUGUAUAAAUAUAUAUCUUUUAGGGUAGUAUAAGCUUCGAUUCCUUUUGCUGCUCUGUUAAAUCUCAUCUUUCGUUGUAGCCCAACACUCUAGUAUUGAUUUUGCACCAAGCUUCUUUGAGCCGCUCUGCCCUCUGAUUUUGCUGCGUAGGGGAAUCUUUAUCAGGUUGGGCUACUUCCAGUCGUGCGAUGUAUACCUUUGUAUCUUCUAGAAGGUAGACAGAAAACCCGCGUUCUCUUAAGGCAACAACCAGAAGAUUCUGCAGCGCACGGGGCAUAUCAUUGUUGUAGAAACGACCUUUAGUAUCGAUCUCCAACCCCUUAUAGUACUGGUUUUGCAACCAGUACCGUUAUGUCGGACCUUUAGUACCAGAUCAAAUAACCGGUUCUAAAGGGACUCCUUUAGUACCGGUUGGUAACCAGUAUCAACUUGUUUUGCGGCCAAAAAAAUAAAGAAAAAAAUAGCCAGAAGGCUAGCACACACACACAUCCCACGAAAUAUGCGCGUGCGCGGUCCAUGGGAUUCGAACCCAUGAAAUCAAGCUGCGCGCAACCCUUCGUUACCAUCUCACCUUCAGUACCGGGUCAUAACACCACCCGGUACUAGUAUCGGAUGCUGUAAUGACUCGAUACUAAAAGGCCUCUAGGGACCCUCAAAUUUGGACCCGAUACUAAUGCUAACAUUAGUACCGGGUCAAAGUGCAGCCAGUACUAAAGCAUGGGACGAAAGGUCAUAUUUCUAGUAGUGUAUAGUUGUUGUGUAGGACUGACUUGGCUGUCCUCUCUCUUCUCCAUCCCAUUGGUCUUACGCCGCCGCUCGCACGCGAGCCGGCACCCAACCAGAGGAGUGAGAGCUAGGGGCGGGUUGGGAGGUGGGGGUAGCGACUGGUGGCUAGGGUGAUGGUUGAUGUUGGCGGGGUUAGGGUUUCAUGGUUUUCAAGCUACCUACGGCCGGCGAACCUAGAGGAGGAGGUCGACAUCAGCUGCAACCCGCGGUGGUGGUGGUUUGGCCGGCGCCCCAGGCGAGGCAGCGUGGGAGUGCUGCUGGCGGGUUGGUGUUGGCGCUCAUUAUUGACACAUUUUUAGUACUAUUUUGUUCAUGGAAUAACACUCAAACGUGCUGGUGCUGCUGCCGCCAUCGCCGCCCUAGCCAUAAUAUAAAGGCAAAAUUUGCUAGAGGACAUGCAAAAUGAUGCUAGUUUGCUGGAGGGCACCGUUGACCAUGUAAUAUGCUACAAGACACUCUAGUUGUUCUAGAGUGUAUCAAUUUGCUGAAAGACAUUGCUACGACUAAAAUAAUGUUUCUGGACUGAGUUGGAGAGAGAGAUGGAGUGAAAUGUCUGUUUUGCCCAUGACCCCACUGAUCAGAUCCUUCUUCUUCCACCCUCCUUUCUUCUUUCUUCAACCAUUACCCAGCUCUAGUGUGUUGCAGAUCUACGAGGGUGGCGGCCCGGGGCGAGGGGCAUCGCUUGCCCUCAGACGAGCGCCGCGAGCGACGGCGCGGGGGCAGCAACGGCGCGUCGGAACCUGACCGUUCGUUAGCUCCUCUCGCUGCUGGGGAAGGAGGGGGAGGGGCCAUGGACGGGGUUCCCUCGAAAACCUUAGCCUCGAGCUCAGGCGGCUACGCGCAGGCAGCACUAGGCUCUUCGCGGGGAGGGGGCGCGGCCAAUCAUUGGCACCCCACUGGUCCAAUGCUGAUGAAGAUGGUGCCAGCGUCGUGAAGAUGGUGCCAGCGUCGUGUGAGGACCUCUCAUCUCCUCGAGUUCCAUGGCCAGCACAGGUGAGCGUCCGCUACCACAAAACAGAGGUGUCGUGAGAGUCAAAAAAACUCAUGAAAAUAGCUAAAACCAUCAUGAAAAUAAUCCAUGACACGACACUCUAACGAAAAUCCUCUCACAAAUAUGGUGCCAUCAAAAUACCAUUUUCAUGAGAGUGAACUGUCAUGAUUUUAUUUCGUGAGAGUAUUUCCUAUCAAUGACCUCCACGAAAUACUUUGUGCCACCAGGUCUUCAAGAUCAUUUUCAUGAGAGCCGAACGUCACGAAAGGUCCGCCACAAAUGUUUUUCCUGGGAGCCUCUAACUCUCAUCAAAAGCAUGUGGGCCGCCGCGAAAAACAGCCUGACCAAAUGACAAUUUUCAUUUUCAUGUGCUCUUACCGCCAUGAAAAUGGUCAUUUUCAUGAGAGUUGAUGAAACAAAAAAAUAGUGCCAUUUUCAUGAGAGUUCAAGCAACCAGGAAAAGGCACUAAUAAACAUCCAGAUCCCAUCCAGCACACAUCCAUGCACAUAUAUAACCCACAUAUUGCUCCAGCAACAUCCAUGCAUAUACAAGAUCCAAAUGUCUUGGUAUGAACCUACAUGCAUGUGAUGAACCAGUAACCUGCAAAAAGAGCUCAUAGGAUCUUGUCCUCAUAUUGUAGCUGUGAAAUUCUUGCAAGUAGUGUUGCAAUCAGUUCACUUUGAACCAAAAGAGCUCAAAGGAUCAUGUCCUCAAAGUUCCUCUUAAAGCUUAUGGGUUUGCUGGUGGAACUGGAAGGGCUUGAUGCAGCAUGCCAUUCUGCAAUAGAGAAAAAUUUAGAAAGCUGUACUAGUUAAAAUUGGAUGCAGCAGAGACACAUGAAACUAGUAUUUAUACAAUUCUAUAUAUAUAAUAAUUUGUCCCCUAAAUUUUUAGGAUCCUCUCGACGGUGGUGAGUCUUCCAGUAAGGCAAUUGAAUGUCCAUCGUGAUAAAAUUCUCCUUUGGAUUUAUCAUCUUCUCAACCAGAAAUCCUAGGAGUUCAUCCUUAAGCCUUACCAGUUGUAAUUUGGAAAUAUGUGAAAGUUAAACGAACAAUUAAAAUCUAAGGAUCCUUAUCAUCAUUUCCAUACGUUUGCGAAUUAAAAUAAUGAAGGAUACAAUGUUAGGUGAAAAUUCAAGAAACAAAAUUUUGUAUAGAGAUAAUGGUCCGACAUUAUUACAAGUUAAAGUUGUUUUAAAUAUCCUUGUAAUCUUCCUUUGGUUUCCUCGACGAUUCCAAGACAGUAACCUUGCUUCUAUCAAUGAUAAUUAUAAGGAGAACCCAAUGAAAACUGUGUAUUCAUAUUAGAACUAACUAAGGUUAAUUCGGAUAGGAAAGGAAAUCAAAAAUAGAUGGUACCCACACUUACUUAAAGUUGUAGGGUAGUAGUAUGUAAUGCUUGUAAUUCUGUUGCUCCAAGAAUUUGUAUAUGUGGUUCAAUGUAGACUUUGGUUGAUCCUGUAUCUGCUGUUGGUUGAAUAAGUGUUUCUAACCAUUUCUAGCCGUUAGAACUGGGACUAAAGGGAGCUCUUAGUGCUGGUUGAUAUUACUAGUCGGGACUAAAGAGCCCCCGUUAGAGUUGGUUUUCGGACGUGGAACUAACCACUCCUUUAGUCUCAAGUCCAAAAAUGAUUGAGACAUUUGUUGCUGGAUGGAACACUAGUAGAGAAUUGGCUUUCGAUGCGCCCCCUUUUGUCCCGGUUUAAAGUUGGACUGGGACAAAAGAGGGUGCGCCACGGUAGGUAAAAAUGGAGGGGGGAGUUAGUCCCGGUUGGUAAUUGCAACCGGGACUAGAGGCCCCCCUUUAGUCCCGGUUGCAAUGGCUAGCUGGGGGGCGUCGGUGGCGGCACCUUUUUGUCCCGGUUGGAGUCUCCAACCGGGAUAAAAGGUCCACCCUUUUAUCCCGGUUGGAGGCUCCAACCGGGACAAAAAGUUUAGUCCCGGUUGGAGCUUCCAACCGGGAUAAAAGGGUGUCCCUUUUGUCCUAGUUGGAGCCUCCAACCGGGACUAAACUUUCAACCGGGACAAAAGGUGUGGUUGGAGUUUUUAACUGGGAUAAAAACUCAUCCCCCAUUAUAUACCAAGACAGAGGACUUUCUUCCUCCUCCAGCCCGAGCCAGUCCAGCACAUUCACAGAGAGUUGACCUUCACCUACUCUCCGGUGGUGCCGAAGCAAGGAGGUGCUGCCCGAAGUUUUUUCCCUCAUUUUCGUGGGAAUUUCACUCAGCUAACACAAGUGUUGUGAAGGUUUGCUACUUCAUCCUCGUUUAUGCUUUGAUUUAUGCUUUGGAGAUGGAAAGAUUAUUUGUUAGAAUGUGAUGAAGUAGAAAAUGGAGAGAAUAUUUUGAGCUAGAAUGUGAGGGAGAUUGAUGUGUCAUAUAUAGUAUGCAUUCUUGCAGUGGUUUAAGAAUGAUGCUACCUUGUCCAGACAAUUUAUCUUAUCAAAUUCAAUAUAGUUUUUCAAAUCCAUACUUGUUGAACUUGCAUACCGUGUUCAUCUCUACGAGGAUAUUCUCUGCCGAGCAGCAACGUAUGUCAAGAAGGAGGUUCGAUUCUACGAGGAAGAGUGGAUACGGACAUCGUGACCGUGUCCCCUUUUCCGUAGCAUCUAACCUCUUUCAUGAUGAAGUGCGGUGCCGCCCAGUUGAGAACAUGCUCGCGAGAUGAACACAGUAUGCAAGUUCAACAACUUCUGCAGUAGUAAGGAAAGAAUUUUUGUACAUAGAUGACUUCUGCUACUUGUUGAACUUAUCAAAUUCAAGAAGGUUUUUCAAAUCCAUACUUGUUGAACUUGCAUACCGUGGUCAUCUCGCAGAGGAUGUUCUCCGCCGAGCAGCAACGUAUGUCAAGAAGGAGGUUCGAUUCUACGAGGAAGAGUGGAUACAGACAUCGUGACCGUGUCCCCUUUUCCGUAGAAUCGAACCUCUUUCAUGACGAAGUGCGGUGCCGCCCAGUUGAGGACAUGCUCGCGAGAUGAUCACGGUCUUUAAGUUUAACAACUUAUGCAGUGUUAAGGUAAUAAUUUUUGUACAUAGAUGGCUUCUGCUACUGGAGAAAGUGGCGAUGGUGGGGGUGAUCGUGGUUCCUCUUUCGGCAAGGGGAAAAUCAUAGUUGGCCCUCAGCAUAAGCCAAAGAAAAAGAGCGCACUGGAAAAAGCAAUGCUUCGUUAUUUGCAGCAACGUCAUGAAGAAGUUGUUGCCGCGGGUCAGGAACCUCCUUUUGGUCGUCGUUAUGCUCCACCCUUAGUCCCGGGUGUUUCACAUCCACUUAGUACUACCGUUUCAGGCGGCACAAAUAAACCUAAGGAUGAGGCUAGGUCAGCGGAACUUUCGUCUUCACUGUCCAAGGAUGCUUAAAGUCCUCCUAGAUAAUAACCAGUGGAUGGCUUGUUGUAUUGUAUCAUGUUGUUUGGAUCUUUAAUUUAAAUAUGUGUAUUUGGAUCUUCAUGUUGUUGUAUUGUACCAUGUUGUUUGGAUCUUUAAUCAAUUUUCACACGUAAUCCAUUGUCAAGUGUAAUCCAUUUUCAUGCAUAAUAAGAUGCAGAUGGACCGGCAAUGGAUGUAUAAUGCAGACAGGCAGAGCAAGGUGUUUAUUGAUGGCUUGCAUUAUUGUCUCGAAGUGGCCAAAGCGAACAAGCCAGAGAAUGGGUUCGUAUGUUGUCCAUGCUUCCAAUGCAAUAACAAGAAGGAGUAUUCAUAGGAUUCCUGGGGGACUAUUCACAGCCACUUGUUUAAAUACGGUUUCAUACUUAACUAUUUGGUUUGGACCAAGCACGGUGAACGAGGGGUCGUAAUGGAAGAUGGCGAGAAGGAGGAGGAAGAUGACACCAUUCCAGACUGGGUUGUAGGCCAAGCUUUUGCAGGUACUACAAUGGGCGAGGCUCAUGAAGAUGAGUUUGCAGAAAAUGGCCCUAUUGAUGACUUUGGUCAGGUGAUACGAGAUGCAUACAGAGAUUGCGAAAUUGAGAAGGAAGCAGCAAAGUUGCAGCGCAUGAUAGAUGAUCACCAAAAAUUAUUGUACCCAGGUUGCCAGCUGGGCCAUAAAAAACUAGGUACGACACUAGAAUUUGUGCAAUGGAAGGCAAAAAAUGGUGUGUCCGAUAAGGCAUUUCAGGGGAUGUUGACCAUUGUCAAGAAGAUUCUUCCCGAGAAUAAUGAAUUACCGUCCACAACAUAUGAAGCUAAACAGAUUAUUUGCCCUCUCGGAUUGGAUGUUCAGAAGAUACACGCAUGCCCUAAUGACUGUAUCCUCUAUCGUGGUGAUGACUACGAGAAAUUGGAUGCUUGUCCCGUGUGCGAAGCCCUGCGGUAUAAGAUUAGGUGAGAUGAUCCUUGUGAUGUCGAGGGGCAGUCUCCCAAUAAGAGAGUUCCCGUGAAGGUGAUGUGGUAUUUCCCUAUAAUACCACGCUUGAAGCGCUUGUUCAGGAAAAAGGCGAAUGCUAAGUUGAUGUGAUGGCACAAAGAAGACCGUAAGGAAGAUGAGAUGCUGAGACACCCCGCAGAUGGGGCACAGUGGAGAUCAAUUGAUAGAGCAUUCUCGGACUUUGAAAGUGAAGCAAGGACAUAAGGUUUGGUUUAAGUACUGAUGGAUUCAAUCCAUUCGGUGAGUUGAGUAGUGGCCAUAGUACUUGGCCUAUGACCCUAUUUAUGUUGAACCUUCCUCCUUGGCUAUGCAUGAAGUGGAAGUUCAUUAUGAUGCCGGCGCUUAUCCAAAGUUCAAAACAACCCGACAACGACAUUGACGUGUACCUAAGACUGUUGGUUGAUGACCUUUUACAGCUCUGGAAGGAAGAAGGUGUACGUGUGUGGGAUGAGGAUAGACAAGAGAUCUUUAAUCUACGAGUAUUGUUGUUUGUAACCAUCAAUGAUUGGCCUGCACUGAGUAACCUUUCGGGACAGACAAAUAAGGGAUAUCGGGCAUGCACCCACUGUUUAGACGACACAGACAGCAUGUAUUUGAAGCAUUGUAAGAAGGUCGUCUACAUGGGUCAUCGUCGAUUUCUCCCUGCUCACCACCAGCUGAGAAAGAGCAGGAUGCAUUUCAAAGGGGCGCCAGACCAUCGUAAAAAACCUGCACACCAUAAUGGAAAGUGUGUCUUCAAGAUGAUGAAGGAUGUAAAUGUAGUCUUUGGAAAGGGUCUUGGUAGCCAACCUAUUCCAAACGACAAUAACGGACAUGCACCCAUGUGGAAGAAAAAGUCAAUAUUUUGGGAGCUACCUUAUUGGGAAAUCCUAGAGGUUCGCAAUGCAAUAGACGUGAUGCACCUGACGAAGAAUAUUUGCAUGAACGUGCUAGGCUUCAUGGGUUUUUAUGGGACCUCAAAAGACACAUUGGAAGCACGACAGGACCUGAAAGCCAUGGGGCAACGAGAUGACCUACAUCCGAAAAAGAGAGAUAAUGGAUAGCACUACUUACGUCCUGCCAGUUACACUCUGAGCAAGGAAGAGAAGGAUAGCAUGUUUGAAUGCUUGAAUAGUAUGAAGGUCCCGUCUAGGUACUCCUCGAAUAUAAAGGGAAUAAUAAAUAUGAAAAAAAAGAAGUUUAUAAAUCUCAAGGCCCAUGACUGUCACAUGUUGAUGACCCAGUUGCUUCCGGUUGCACUGAGGGGUGUUCUACUAGAAAAUAUCCAGUUGCCGCUCGUAAAGCUAUGUGCGUUUCUAAAUGCGAUUUCACAGAAGGCAAUCGAUCCAUCCAAGCUAUCAAAGCUACAGAACGAUGUGGUGCAAUGUCUUGUCAGUUUUGAGUUGUUAUUUCCACCAUCCUUCUUCAAUAUUAUGACGCACUUACUGGUUGACCUAGUAAAAGAGAUUGGUAUUCUCGGACUUGUAUACCUGCACAAUAUGUGGCCUUUCAAGUGUUCAUGGCAGUCCUAAAAAACUAUGCUCUUAAUCGUGCCCAUCCAGAAGGAAGCAUCGCCAAGGGAUAUGGAACAGAGGAGGUGAUCGAGUUUUGUGUUGAUUUUAUUGAUUCAAUUGACUCGAUUGGGGUUCCAACUUCACGCCAUGAGGGGAGGCUCCGAGGAAUGGGCACCCUUGGAAGGAAAUCAAGUUUGAGCAAUGAUACUGAUUUGUUCGACAAGGCACACUACACGGUUCUACAACAGUCAUCCUUUGUGUCUCCAUAUAUUGAGCAGCACAGGCAGAUGGUAGUUUCCAAAAACCCGACCAAAUCCGAUGCUUGGCUUACCCGUCUUCACAUGGAAACUUUUCCCUCCUGGUUGCGCCAACAACUUAUGGGUAACUCUGAGAUUCACCCACAGCUUGCCUGGUUAGCCAGGGGACCUGCUAGCACAAUUGUGAAAUUUCAAGGCUAUGAGAUAAAUGGUUAUACAUUUUACACGAGAGCCCAGGACCAGAAAAGCACGAAACCAGAAUAGUGGUGUCCGCAUACAUGCCAUGGACAGAAAUAAUAGCAAGGAGUCGUAUUAUGGUUUCAUAUAGGAGAUAUGGGAACUUGAAUACGGACCGUUGUACAUCCCUCUAUUUCUUUGUAAUUGGGUGAAGCAAACUGCCGUAACCAAAGAUCAGUACGGAAUGACAAUAGUAGAUCUGAGCAAGACUGGAUACAGUGAUGACCCAUUCGUACUUGCCAACAAUGUGCAACAGGUGUUCUAUGUGAAGGACAUGUGUAGCAAACCCAAGAGAAAUCCAGAAGAGACAUGGGAGCCAAAGUGCCACAUAGUUUUUCCAGGUAGAAGAAAAAUCGUGGGAGUCGAGGAUAAAACAAACCAAUCAGAUGAUUAUGAUUAGUUUGAUGGCAUGCCUCCAUUCGCCGUUGAAGUUGAUCCAAGCAUCCUGCUAUCCAAAGAAGAGGCUCCGUACUUACGCCGCGAUCAUGAUCAAGGAACUUUCGUGAAGAAGAAAUUCUACAACGUUGUAUUGUAAUGCGCUAAAUUUACAUGACCUUUGUGUAGUAAUUGAUACAAUUUUUAAUUUACCCUAUGUAUGAUUUGAUGUGUUCUUAAAUUUGUUAGGUGAAGAUUUAUUAGAUAAACAUGAACAAUGUUAACCACAUACAUACAUGGAUUUUUCUGCGCAUUGAAAUUAUUUAAUGGAAUAAUUUCUUGAUCACAGCGAUGUAGUAAAAUAAAUAUUUUAGAGCCUAAAUGAACUGGUAUAGAAUUAAUGACUAACUCACACUUAUUGUCAAUUUACUCGCUAAUUAAAUAUAUUUUUGCAUGUACAAAAUAUGUGAAGGUUUUUGUUUUUCAUCCUGAAUUGCAGUGAAAAGAUAAAUAAAAUCCAUUUCCAAAAAACAGGCGGGAGAAGAAAACUGGGAAAAGGACCUUUUGUCCCGGGUGCCAACAGAAACCGGGACAAAAAGCCCCCCCCCUUUUAUCCCGGUUGGUGGUGGCACCCGAGAUAAAAGGGUAGGCUCCAAGCCCCACUUGGCGGACGCACCCUUUUGUCCCGGGUCCCGUCACCAACCGGGAUAAAAGGGGGGGCCUUUUAUCCCGGUUGGUGAGGGGACCCAGGACAAAAGGCCCUUUAGUCCCGGGUGUCAUUACGAACCGGGAUAAAAGGGGGGUUAAAAGGCACUAUAGCCCCUUCUACCCCCCACGCCAGUUACAGUUAGCAAAAUUUUCACCAAGAUCCCGCGCGCACUCUGCUCCGUCGCUGCCCGUCCGCCUUCCUCGCCAGCCGUCAUCGUCGUCGUCCCCCAUUGCCCCGGCCGUCGUCGUCCCGCCGGCUGACCGUGCCCAGAUAGCCUCCUCCUCCAUCGCCCCGGCCCGCCUCGAUCCUCCUGCGUCGUGCCCGGCCCCUACCUCAUCGACGCCGGCCACCUCCAUCGCGGGGCCUCAUCGCCGCCUCCAUCCUCGUCGCCACCUCGACGCCCUGGGUCGCCGCCUCGUCGCCCCUCGUCGCUGCCUCGUCGCCGUCCUGCCUCCGCCGUCUCGCCGUCCCGCGCGCCUUCGCUCCGUCGUCGCCUCCGCCGUCCCACCGCCCCAGCCACCGCCAUCCCGCCACCCCGGCCACCUCGUCGCCCCGACCACCGUCGACCGCGCGUGAGGUCCGCCGCACCGGCACUGGCGCCGGGAGUACCGCCUUGCUGACGCAAGCCCACCGGCUUGCGUCAACAAGGGCCUUUUUUAAGUUAGAAAAUAAAUAGAAAGGAGUAGUAAUUAGGUAGAAAUUCAAUAGAUUUUUGUAUAUGUGUUACAAAAUCAAAUUAGUGUAAAUUAGUUGUAAUUAGGUUCGUCGCUCUGCCUAGGUUAGAAAUGAAUCGUGUUUCGUCGUGGUUCCGUCCCCGCCUCCGCCGUCCCGCCACCCUGACCGUCGCCGUCCCAACCUAGGCACCGUCUGUGGUUCCGUCCCCGCCUCCGCCGUUCCGCCUCCAUCGCAAAUUCAUGUUAUUGCUAGAAAUUCCAAUAAAUAUGAACAAAUUAGUAGAAAUUUGGUAGAAAUUAAUCAUUGCUGCGGCCACCUCGCUCCACAAAUUCAUGUUAUUGCUAGAAAUUCAUAAAAAUUCAUGUUAUCACUAGAAAUUCGUACAAAAUUCAUGUUAUUGCUAGAAAUUCGUAAAAAUUCAUGUUAUUGCUAGAAAUUCGUACAAAAUUCAUGUUAUUGCUAGAAAUUCGUACAAAUUCAUGUUAUUGCUAGAAAUUCGUCACAAAGUACUACUAAUUUGCAAAAAUUUGUAUAAAUAUUCCGGACUUUGUGGGAUUCAUGUUAUUUUCUGAUUUCAUGUAUAUACCCUUAUGUACAUAUAACUAAGGAGAUUUCUAUGACUUUCAUGUAUGUUUCAAUCAAUAGUUGAAAUGGCAGACGAUGAGACCGCAAGGUAUCUCAUGGAGCAGAUAAUCGCUGGUGAUGGUAGUGGCGACAACCUUCCACUAUCGUACACCGAUGAAGAGGGCACCCAGGCGGACAUGUUCCUCAACAUGUCCGCCGAUGGGAAUGAAGAGCAAAAGCCCCAGCAACACCUUGCCGGGGCGGAAGGUUCCGGCGAGGUAUAUAUAACGAUUCUUGUAUUGUUUCACACCACCGUUACUACUACGUACUAAUUAACGAAUCAUGAACCGUUAGCCCUCUGGAUCGACGCAAGGGCAGAAGACACGAGGUCGUACAAAGGUGAUGGAAGGGAGGCUUGUCAUCACGGAAGUGAUAGAAGAGGGCAGGCCGGUUGCUCCCGAGAAAGUAGCAAAGAAGUACGUGAGUCAGAUCGGGGCAAUCGUCCGGGACAACGUGCCUAUCAGCAUCAGAGAAUGGAAGGGCAGAAGCACUAAUCCGUACGCCCUCCUGGAGACAGAAAGAAUAUGCUGUGGGAAGAUGUCAAGAGACAUUUCACAUUCACCGAAGGAUAUAUUGAGAAGGAUGUGAAAGCGUGGACGCUUAAGAAGAUGGCUACACAAUUUCCAGACAUUUAAGAAGAUGCUAGAUACCCACUACAUUAAGAAGGGCCGAACUCCAGACUUCAACGCGUGGUCAAAGUUGAGGGACCACUAGGAUGCAUUUGUUGAAUAUAAGAGGAGUGAAUACGAUGUGAAAAAGAUCACGACCAACACAACAAAUGCUAGUCAGAAGGGCUACCAUCAUCAUCUGGGGCGAGAUGGUUAUGGCUCAGCAAUUCCCAAGUCGAGGAAGAUGGAACAAGAUCUGAUUGAACGGGGAAUCGUACCGGCAACUAUUGAAUGGCCCGAACGAUCAAAAAAUUGGUACUACGCUCAUGGAGGCUCCCUGUGCCAAGAGGAUGGGACGUUGAUUUUCAAUAACACAAUACGUUAGAAGGCCAAACAUCUUGUGAAGAACAUUGAAGAUUCUAAGGCUGGGAGGUUGAAGGUGGACCGAGAAAAUGAUGAGCUCACAUUGGCCCUUGGUAAUCCAGAGCACCCAGGAUGUUGCCGAGGGUUCGGGGUCGUUCCGUGGAAGUUUGUUUUCCGAGGCGACAGCGCCUCGUACAGAAGCCGGAAGCGAAGAAAGGAACAGAUCGAGGAGAGCUGGUGGCAGAUGCUAGAAUCCAAAGUGCAGGCACAAGAACAAAGAAUGAUGGAGGAAAUCAAUCGUCGAGUGGCCCACGCAGUUGUGGAGUUGGCCCAAUCUGGAGCAUUGCCGAAUCCUAACAACGCCAGCCCUUCUCAAUGCCUCUUGAGCAGUUAUGCUUCUACAGGGGUCCCCGAUGCGCACACGCCCAGGUUACCCGUGGAGGAGCAACGGUUCCCCGUGGAUGCCAUCACGCAACACACCACAUGUGAGCUGCAUGCACCGGUCGGCAACCUCACUAUUAAGGUAUACUUAUACAUAAUAUUUAUGCAAUCUUGUCAAUUGAUCCACGCCUCGAUAUCGGAGUUUAACUUGUUUACUUCUACUAUAUGUACAGGUAGCGUACGGGAGUGCGUUAGCAACCCUGGCGGGGCAGAGCAGUCAUGGCAUGAAGAUUCCACCUGGCUACGCUAGCGUCCGCGUAGAGCAAAUAGUUGAUAGCCAAUAUGAAGGUCUAGAGCUCGACCUCCCGGGAGGUGACAGGGAAAGAACACUGGCAGAUGCGCUUCAUGGGAUCAUUCUAUGGCGAAAACGCUACAUCAUUAUUCCCGGCACGGAGCCAUCUCCUCAGAGCUCAAGACCACUCCCCGUAGAUCCCCAGCAGCGACCUUCUCCUCAUAGCUCGAGACCGUCAUCUCCUGCACAACCUGCUCCAGGACCGUCCCUUCCAUCUAUAUCAAGGUCUCCAUCUCCACCACAUCCUGGUGGUGGGAGCGACGACGACAAUAACAACACCCCUUCCUGAUCACCAUCGCCGGCACCAAGAGCGGCCCCCAUGAAGGAACCUGCACCACCACUAAAAAAGUCACGAGCACCGCCUCCCAAGCAAAGACAGAGAAAGAAGAAAACAAAGGAGCCUGAAGUGACUCGUAAGGAACGCUGGGAGACAAUGUCUCAUGCGGAACAGUGGGCAGAAAUCCAACAAGAGGCCAGUGAGUGGUUCAAGAAACAAGCCGAAGAAAAAAAAGCAACGGAGAUGCAGCCACCGCCAGUAAAUCGAAGAGAUUUAAACUUUUUUAUCAGGAUGGAAGAAGGAGCCAAGAAAAGGAUACCACUCUUAUCAAACUAUGAACGGGCUUUAGUAAAGGCUGAUGAAAAGGAUAAAAGGAAAGGAAAGUCAUCUUCCAGCGGUGCUGUCCCCGACCUCAGCCAUUUAUCAAAAAAAGAUGCUCAACGGGUAAAAGCAAUGCCCUUGGAUCAACAAGCAGAAGUAUUGAAGUUCAUGCAAGAAACAGGUCUGGGACUUGAUGAAUGCCUAGGGCAAGUUGAGACGCCAACUGCACCGCCCCCUGAGCCGAGAUGGCCUUAUGAGCUAGGCAAACCUCUAGUAAAGCCUUCAUUGGUACGAAAGCUAUCAACAAAGAUGUACGCAUUCCAUCAAUGGUACAUGAUGGCAUCCGCUGACUCAAGGGAGAUGCUCGGCCUGAAGGUAAAACCGAUGGAUUUUCACGACAGAGGCGAGAAAGUGCUGUGGCUAGACUUCAAGGAUAUAUACGAAGUGUACCAUCAUGAUGCCAUAGACGUCUCUCUGAUCCGCGCUUGGGUUCUGUAAGUGUCCGUUUAUCUCUACAUGUAAAUUUUGGCGUGCGUCACCGUACUAACUUCGUCUUCCAUUUCAUGUAGGAUGCUAAUUCAGACAUGCCGCCGAGAGGCGUACCUACAUAUAGGCUUCAUGGAUCCAUCUGUAGUUAACCAACAGCAGAUACAAUUAGCAUCGGAGAAAACCUUGGUGGAAGUAUACAAUUUCCUAGACAAACAAACAUUCAAGGAUUUCAUACUAUUUCCAUACAACUUCAAGUAAGUGUGUGUAUACCGUCUACUUUCGAUGUCUUUUUCCUUAUCUCUACAUGUUAGUUAGCUCUAAUAUGCAUGAACAUUUUACGCACGCAGCUUCCACUGGAUCCUUAUUAUAAUUGAGCCUCAAAGAAGCCACGUCACUGUCUUCAAUUCGUUGAGGAAAGAUCCAGUGGAGCACCAAGAAAUGCAACACAUGCUAGGCUUGUAAUAAUUCUGGACCUUUAUCUCUAUGCAAAAGUUUGUUUCCUAAAUUCUAUCCCUGUUACACUAUAUCAUUCAUUAUUCUAAUCCACAGCGUAUGGAAACAAUUCAUAAGGACACAAAAAGGUCCAUUCAAAGAAAAACUUACAUGGAACACAGACUUCCCGGUACAUAUGAAGUCUGCACAUUUAUUACAUUGUAUAACACGAAUAUUUCAUAACUUAUUUUUUUCCGUAUUGAAGUGCUUAAGACAGGAACUCGGAAAUAAUCUAUGUGGCUACUACAUCUGUGAGCACAUGCACAGUUUUAUGGGACCCAAGGGACUAAAGAUGACGCCGCACAACUUUAAAGUACGUAAAAUAAAACUAUUACUAGUUAAUUAUUUUCUAGCUCCUUAUAUGUAUUUGUUCACGUAACAUUCACAAAUUUCCAAAUUAUAGAUGUUAAAUAUUCAACAAGGACUCUUGAAGGAAGAAAGAGUAGCGGCAAUAUGUGAAGGUCUCAUUGGAUUCCUAAUGGACAAGGUGGUAGAUCCAAAAGGAGAAUUUUAUUUUGAUGGACGACAAUUAGACACUCUGAUCAGCAACACCUCGAUGGGAAGAUUGUAGAUAGAUACUUUGAUUUAUUUGUAUAUAUAAUACGCGCUAAUUAUGAUCGAUUUGUACUAGUUGAAUUCUGUAUAUGAAUUGUGUAUAAGAAUUGUGUAUAUAUAUAGUAACUGUAUAAUUACAAAUCCCAUUCGUUUAAAUACUAGUUAAUUUCAUUCUAAAAAAAUCUCAACUACUUAAGGUUAACAAAAGGGCUGCGGUACUACGUACGUGAUGCAUGCAUGAAAAAUUCAGGCGCCAGGCAGGUGCCAUGCAGGGCAUCAUUUAGUCCCGUUUGGAAUCCAGCCGGGACUAAAGGGUAACCCUUUACUCCCGGUUGGGAAACCCAACCGGGACUAAAGGGGGACCGUUACUCCCGGUUAAAAGACCCGGGACUAAAACCCCCCCUUUUGUCCCGGUUGGCUUAUCCCGGAUAAAUUUUCGGGAGAUAUGCACCCUACCAACCGGGACUAAAGGCCAAUUCUCCACUAGUGGAAGGUCCUUUCUCUACCAUGAAUAUUGCCAGAAAGAAUUGAAAGAGACCGCUUGCUAAAAACAUGUCAUAGAUGCGGACCAAGCUACCAAGGAGGUAGACCAAACAUGAUACACACCAUGCGUACCUUGCUGUGCAGACUAUGCAUGGACAAGAUACCCGACCACAUGUUGGCUUUGGUCACAUCAAAAGAAUCAUGUAGGCCAUUAAUAAACUACUUGAAGCGUCAUUCCGUAUCUUAUAUCCAUCAUCUGCAUUACAUUACAUUAAAUAUUAUUAACUAUUUGAAUAAAAUGAACCAAUUUAAAAAUAAUGAAUUGUACAUUACUACAAAAAGCCCUAGCACUGCCAGUUCCAAAAACAUCAUUGUUGACGGCCGUUAAGUACCAAAUAUGACGGUCAAUAUCCUAAAGAAUAAAGGACAAUUGGCAUUUCUUACACACAUAUUUGGUUUCGAAUAAUGUAGUUCUACAUGUCCUUGGAGAUUAUUUGGGUGUGGGUGAAAUAAUACAAAAAGAAGGAGAAAACACACUCCCAUGGCAAAGAAACAUAACUCCGACCAAUGAGAGAUAGCCACAGGGGCAGCACAUGGAUCCAUGGGCCCACAAACUGCAUCAAACCAUCUUACAAGGCGGGUAGCACCCACAACUGUCAUUAGGACCCACCUGGAAGUCUAGCAAAGAAGAAGGUUGUGAGUGGGGCCACGAGGGGUUCGGUUGAAUCAUCUCUAGCUCCCUUCAUCCCCAGCUGGCGCGUGGCGGUGGUUCAUGGUGUCCCGACAUCGGUUAGAGGACAUUCCCCCAAAUAUUCCUCCUGUAAACCAGCUCUAUGAACCUAUAAAUAGAGGGGUGUGCUCUCCAUUCCAACACACACCACAAGUUGAAGCACUCUCUCCCUCUUUAGUUUCCAAGUUUACGGAGAUAGGCUGGAGUAGCUCUGCUAAAGGUUCCAAGUCCACUUGGAGUUAAGCGUAUGUCUCUUGUAUCAUUAUUUCCUAGAGAGACUUUAUGCUAUUCAAGUUAUUUAUCUUCUUCAUAUAGUGUUAUGCUUAGUUCUUAUAUGCAUGAGUUAGUCUAAUACCCUUGCUCUAUUGAUAUGCUCAGCUUAUGUGCUCGUAUGCUAGUCAUGUACCCUUGCUGUCAUAGUAUAGGGUUAUAUGCUGUCAUGUGUGCCUAUAGACCUUGCUACAGUAUAUACUUGUUGUGUAUACAUACCAUUUGUAUAUACAUUAUUACAAGUUAAGGUAGUUUUAAAUAUCCUUGUGUUGACAACCAAAGCUUGAUCUUUUGUUUCCAUUGCCAGCGGAUUCAUCGGCUCAGAGUAGGAUCAAGACAUCAAGUUGAUGGAGUUCUUUAUAUUUCAAGAGGAGUCAUGGAGUUCUUUAUAUUUCAAGAGGAGUUGAUGGUGCUUUCAAUAUUGCAACCAGACAUCAUUGGCUCUGAAGACACCGAAUCAUCGGAGUUCUAUGAUCAGUUUCGGAACAUGAAGCCUUCAUACUCCGAAACUGGGGGGCCUGUGUUGACACCGAAUUAUCGGACUUCUAUAAUUAGUUUCGGAACAUGAAGCCUUCAUACUUCGAAACUGGGGGGUAUGUGUUUACACCAAAAUUUAGAAAUGUGCUCUGAAAGGAAGGACCUGGGAGAUCUAUUGGCUGAAAUACAAAUCCAUCGAAACUAGCCUUAUGCUAAGAGAUCAGAAUAUUGUACAAAGUCUAGAAAGUUCUAUUUACAUCUAAGUAACUCGAUAACUAGCCUUACGCUAAGAGAUCAGAAUAUUGGACAAAGCCUACAAAGUUCUAAUAUAGGUAACGUAAUGACCAGGUGAGGAUAGUUACAAGCUCGCUUGAGAUCGAAGCCGAUGUAGCCCUGCGCGCAAGAAGAAACUCACCUAUUUCUACUCUACUCUUACUCCUAGGGUUUGAUGGCGUGGCGUCAAAAGAUUGUAUUGAUUGAUUGAUUAUUUGAUACAAAGCUCAUGGGCCUAUAUUUAUACCCUUGAGAAAGCUAAAAUCCUAAUCAGUUAUGACAUGAAUCGUGACAGAAAAUCUAACUAAAGAUAGAUCUCCAUGCUUUCCCUUAUUUGGUGGAGUCGAUUUCACUUCAUAUCGGAUCCCUCCCGAUCUUCUAUCGGCUUCUAGCAUCCGGUCAUCUGCGACUGGCCUUGGUCAACAUCAGGUGUCAACAGACUUAUUUCUUCUACAAGUUCAUCGGCUGUCAGAGCCUUGUCUUAGUCAGUUGACUCUAGUAAAAAAUCGAUGUCAAUACAUGCCCCCCAAUUUUUGAAUAAAAUAUUAUAUUUCAAAAUUCUCUUCUCUUGUCAACAGCUUUUGAAAGAAAAAGAGUCACUGCUGCAAUCAUAAUCUUUUUCCCCGGGUUUUGUGAUAGCACCCUCCUCAUUUUAAGGGAUUCACCAUGUGGAAAUUAUAAUAUAACUGCUUCACCCAUUUCGUUUUCUUCACCAAACCAACUAUUGUCAGCCGCUACAACCAAAAAUCAAUUAUUCCCUUCACAUGCCUAGCGACUGCAUCCAUCACUCAUCGUCACCAUUAGUCUCCAUGUGUCAAGGCUUCUUCAACCAGCAAUGGCGACAUUAUCUUCCAUUCCACAGGUACCAUGUAUCCUAGCCAUUCCUUUCCCCUUUCAACCUGAAAUCCAAUCUAGUCACUAUAUAUCAAACCUGUGUUCUUAAUCAAUACUUGCCCCCUUGUACUUAGAAACACCCUUUUGAUCCCCAUAUCCGAUACGCAAGCAGAAUACUUUCUAGGCCCCAUGGGUAGUGAAGACCCAAUAGAAUCUAUUAAUGCUGAAAUACUUGGACAAAGUCUAGAAAGUUCUAUUUACAUCUAAGUAACUCGAUAACUAGCCUUACGCUAAGAGAUUUAAAUAUUGGAUAAAGCCUAGAAAGUUCUUAUAUAGGUAACUGAAAAGUGUGUUGACGCAAAAAUUGGAUGGUUGACUCCUGCGUACUAACACACGGAACCAGGGAGAAUCUGCUUAGCUACUGUUCGGGUUAUAGCCCUCUCGAUCCGUAGCGUGCCAGUUAAUCUGACCUGCUGAUUGACAAGUAAAAAUGUCAAAUUAAGAGCAAAUCAGCUGGUGUUCCGAAUCGCUCCACGGGACGUAUCAGUAGACAGCCGAUACGGGCAAACGACAAUCAGCUAGAUCAGCCGAUUUGCUCUUGUAUUUGACGUUUUACUUGUCCUUCUCAAUCAGCAGGUCAGAUUGACUCGCACGACGCAGAUCGAGAGGGCUAUAACCUAAACAAGAGCUAAGCAGAUUCUCCCGGGUUUCAUGUCUUAGUACACAGAAGUCAACCGUCUGAUUUUAUCAUCAACACGCUUUUUGGCACGCUCAGUGGGACCCGAUUCAUAUCUUAAUGGUAAUUGGUGAUCAAGUUUCAAACAACGUAUCCACUGGUAGAAAACUGAGCAUUAGUCCCGGUUGGUAAGGGUCAUAUCUCUCGGAUAUCCAUCCGGGAUAAACCAACCGGGACAAAAGGGGGGGGUCUUUAGUCCCGGGUAUUUUAACCGGGAGUAAAGGACCCCCUUUAGUCCCGGUUGGUGUCACCAACCGGGACUAAAGGGCCUGCCACGCCAGGCGCGGGACAGGCCCUUUAGUCCCGGUUGGUGACACCAACCGGGACUAAAGGGGGUCCCUUUAGUCCCGGUUGGAUUUCCCAACCGGGACUAAAGGGGUCCCCUUUAGUCCCGGCUCAAUUCCAACCGGGACUAAAUUGCGCUUGCAUGGCACUGGUGACGCCUGAAUUUUUCAUGCAUGCAUCACGUAUACGUAUAGUAGUACCGCGGCCCUUUUAAUUUGUUAACCUUGUAGUUGAGAUUUUUUUAGAAUGAAUUAAAUCAACUAGUAUUUAAACGAAUGGGAUUUGUAAUUACACAACUACUAUAUAUAUACACAAUCCUUAUACACAAUUCAUAUACACAAUUCAACUAGCUUAAUUAGUACAAAUCGAUCAUAUAUACAAAUAAAUCAAAGUAUCUUCCUACGAUCUUCCCGUCGUGGUGUUGCUGAGAGGAGUGUCUAAUUGUCGUCCAUCGUAAUAAAAUUCUCCUCUUGGAUUUACCACCUCGUCCAUUAUGAAUCCAAUGAGACCUUCACAUAUUGCCGCUACUCUUUCUUCCUUCAAGAGUCCUUGUUGAAUAUUUAACAUCUAUAAUUUGGAAAUUUGUGAAUGUUACAUGAACAAAUACAUAUAAGGAGCUAGAAAAUAAUUAACUAGUAAUAUAUUUAUUUUACGUACUUUAAAGUUGUGCGGCGUCAUCUUCGGUCCCUUGGGUCCCAAAAAACUGUGCAUGUGCUCACAGAUGUAGUAGCCACAUAGGUUAUUCCCGGGUUCCUGUCUUAAGCACUUCAGUGCGGAAAAAAAAUAAGUUAUGAAAUAUUCGUGUUAUACAAUGUAAUAAAUGUGCAGACUUCAUACGUACCGGGAAGUCUGUGUUCCAUGUAAGAUCUUCUUUGAAUGGACCUUUGUGUGUCCUUAUGAAUUGUUUCCAUACGCUGCGGAUUAGAAUAAUGAAUGACAUAGUGUAACAGGGAUAAAAUUUAGGAAAUAAAUUUUUGCAUAGAGAUAAAGGUCCAGAAUUAUUACAAGCCUAGCAUGUCUUGCAAUUCUUGGUAGUCCACCGGAUCUUUCCGUAACGAAUCAAAGACAGUGACGUGGCUUCUUUCAGGCUCAAUUAUAAUAAGGAUCCAGUGGAAGCUGCGUGCGUAAAAUGUUCAUGCAUAUUAGAGCUAACUAACAUGUAGAGAUAAGGAAAAAGACAUCGAAAGUAGACGGUAUACACACACUUACUUGAAGUUGUAUGGAAGUAGUAUGAAAUCCUUGAAUGUUUGUUUGUGUAGGAAAUUGUAUAUUUCGGCAAAGGUUUUUUCCGGCGCUAAUUGUAUCUGUUGUUGGUUAACUACAGAUGGAUCCAUGAAGCCUACAUGUAGGUACGCCUCUCGGCGGCAUGUCUGAAUUAGCAUCCUACAUGAAAUGGAAGAUGAAGUUAGUACGGUGACGCACGCCAAAAUUUACAUGUAGAGAUAAUAAACGGACACUUACAGAAUCCAAGCGCUGAUCAGAGAGACGUCCAGGGCAUCAUGAUGGUACACUUCGUAUAUAUCCUUGAAGUCUAGCCACAGCACUUUCUCCCCUUCACCGUGAAAAUCUAUCGGUUUUACCUUCAUGCCGAUCAUCUCCCUCGAUUUGGCGGAUGCCGUCAUGUACCAUUGAUGGAAUUCGUACAUCUUUGUUGACAGCUUCCGUACCAUUGCCGGCUUCACUAGAGGCUUGCCUAGCUCAUAAGGCCAUCUCGGCUCAGGGGGCGGUGCAGUUGGCGUCUCGACUUGCCCUAUGCAUUCUUCAAGUCCCAGACCUGUUUCUUCCAUGAACUUCAAUAUAUUUUCUUGUUGAUCCAAGGGCAUUGCUUUUACCCGUUGAGCAUCUUUCUUUGAUAAAUGGCUGAGGUCGGGGACUGAACCGCUGGAGGAUGAUUUUCCUUUUCUUUUAUCCUUUUCAUCAGCCUUUACUAGAGCCCGUUCAUAGUUUGACAAGAGUGGUAUCCUUUUCUUGGCUCCUUCCUCCAUCCUGAUAAAAAAGUUUAAAUCCCGCCGACUUACUGGCGGUGGCUCCAUCUCCCUUGCCCUUUUUAAUUCGGCUUGUUUCUUGAACCACUCACUGGCCUCUCGUUGGAUUUCUGCCCACUGUUCCGCAUGAGACAUUGCCUCAAAGCGUUCCUUGCGAGCCACUUCAGGGUCGACCUUUGUUUUCUUCUUUCGAGGCUGUCUUUGCUUGGGAGGCGGUGCUCGUGACUUCUUGAGUGGUGCUGCAGGUUCCUUCGAGGGGGCCGCUCUUGGUGCCAGCGACGGUGAUCGGGGAGGGGUGUUGUUAUUGUCGUCGUCGCUCCCAGCACCAGGAUGUGGUGGAGAUGGAGACCUUGAUAUAGAUGGAAGCGACGGUCCUGGAGCAGGAGAUGCCGGUCUCGAGGUAUGAGGAGAAGGUCGCUGCUCGGGAUCUACGGGGAGCGGUCUUGAGGUCUGAGGAGAUGGCUCCGUGCGGGAAAUAAUGAUGUAGCGUUUCUUCCAUAGAAUGAUCCCAUGAAGCGCAUCUGCCAAUGUCUUUUCCCCGUCGCCUCCCGGGAAGUCGAGCUCUAGACCUUCAUACUGGGCAUCUACUAUUUGCUCGACGCAGACGCUGGCGUAGCCUGUUGGAAUGUCCAUGCCAUGACUGCUCUGCCCUGCCAGCGUUGGUAACGCACUCCCAUACGCUACCUGUACAUAUAGCAGAAGUAAACAAGUUGAACUCCGAUCUCGAGGCCUGGAUCAAUUGACAAGAUUGCAUAAAUAUUAUGUAUAAGUAUACCUUAAUAGUGAGGUUGCCGACCGGUGCAUGCAGCUCACAUGAGGUCCGUUGCGUGAUGGCAUCCACGGGGAACCGUUGCUCCUCCACGGGUAACCUGGGCGUCUGCGCAUCGGGGACCCCUGUAGAAGCACAACUGCUCCCGAGGCGUUGAGAAGGGCUGGCGGUGUGAGGAUUCGGCAGUGCUCCAGAUUGCGCCAACUCCGCAACUGCGUCGGCCACCCGCCGAUUGAUUUCAUCCAUCAUUCGUUGUUCUAGCAUCUGCCGCCAGCUCUCCUCCAUCUGUUCCUUUCUUCGCUUCCGGCUUCUGUAAGAGGCGCUGUCGCCUCGGAAAGCGAACUUCCACGGAACCACCCCGAACCCCCGGCAACGUCCUGGGUGCUCUGGAUUACCGAGGGCCAAUGUGAGCUCAUCAUUUUCUCGGUCCACCCUCAACCUCCCAGCCUUGGAAUCUUCAAUGUUCUUCAUGAGAUGUUCGGCCUUCUCACGUAUUCUGUCAUUGAAAAUCAGCGUCCCAUCCUCUUGGCUUAGGGAGCCUCCAUGAGCGUAGUACCAGUUCUUUGAUCGUUCGGGCCAUUCAAUAGUUGCAGGUAUGAUUCCCCGUUCGAUCAGAUCUUGUUCCAUCUUUCUCCACUUGGGAAUUGCUGAGCCAUACCCACCUCGCCCCAAAUGAUGGUGGUAGCCCUUCUGACUAGCAUUUGCAACGUUGGUCGUGAUCUUUUUCACACCUUCUUCACUCCUCUUGUAUUCAACAAAUGCAUCCCAGUGGUCCCUCAACUUGGGCCACGCGUUGAAGUCUGGAGUUUUGCCCUUCUUGAUGUAGUGGGUGUCCAGCAUCUUCUUGAAUGUCUGGAAUUGAGUAGCCAUCUUCUUAAGUGUCCACGCUUUGACAUCCUUCUCGCUAUAAUCUUCGGGGAAUGUGAAAUGCCUCUUCACGUCUUCCCACAGCAUAUUCUUUUCUGUCUCUGGAAGGGCGUACGGAUUAUCGCUUCUGCCCUUCCAUUCUCUGAUGCUGAUAGGCACGUUGUCCCGGACAAUUGCCCCGAUUUGACUAACGUACUUCUUUGCGACUUUCUCGGGAGCAACCGGCCUGCCCUCAUCUGUAACUUCGGUGAUGACAAGCCUCCCUUCCAUCACCUUUGUACGACCUCGGGUCUUCUGCCCUUGUGUCGAUCCGGAGGGCUAACAGUUUAAGAUUCGUUAAUUAGUACGUACUAGUAGCGGUGGCGUGAAACAAUACAAGAAUGGUUGUAUAUACCUCGCCGGAACCUUCCGCCACGGCAAGUUGUUGCUGCGGCUGUUGCUCUUCAUUCACAUCGGCAGACAUGUUGAGGAACAUGUCCGCCUGGGUGCCCUCUUCAUCCGUGUAUGAUAGUGGAACGUUGUCGCCACUAUCAUCACCAGCGAUUAUCUGCUCCAUGAUAUACCUUGCGGUCUCAUCGUCUGCCAUUUCAACUAUUGCUGCAAACAUACAUGGAAUCAUACAUGACAGUCAUAGAAAUCGUCUUAAUACAAAUUUGUAUAUAAUCACAGUUCGGAAUCAUACAUGUAUAUAAUGAAAUCAUAAAAUAACAUGAAUCGUACAAAGUCCGGAAUCUUUAUACAAAUUUCUAUGAAUUUAUACAAAUUUCUAUGAAUUUAUACAAAUUUCUAUGAAUUUCUAUGAAUUUCUAUGAAUUUCUAUGAAUUUCUAUGAAUUUCUAUGAAUUUAUACAAAUUUCUACGAAUUUCUAUGAAUUUCUAUGAAUUUCUAUGAAUUUAUACAAAUUUCUACGAAUUUCUAUGAAUUUCUACAAAUUUCUACGAUUUUCUAUGAAUUUCUACAAAUUUCUACGAAUUCCUACGAAUUUUGACGAAUUUCUACGAAUUUUGACGAAUUUCUACGAAUUUCUACGACGGCGAUAAGGGCGGCGAAGGCGGGACGGCGGCGGUCAGGGCGGCGGAGGCGGGACGGCGGCGGUCAGGGCGGCGGAGGCGGUUCACCGGAACCACGGGCGGUGCCUAAGCUACUACGUUGUGAUGGGCGGCAGGACGGCGGCGAUCACGGCGGCUACUCGGCGGCGAUCACGACGGCUACAAGGCGACUGUCACGGUAGCUACUCGGCGGGACGGCGGCGAUCACGACGGCGGGACGGUAGUUAACAACCUAACUACAAAUCUAACUUAACAAACUAACUAGAAAUCUAAAAAUCUAACUUAACAAAAUUAGAAAUCUAAAAAUCUAACUUAACAAAAUUACAAUUCCAUCUAAAAAAACAAAAUUAAAAAUUAAAAGAAAACGGCCAGCUCUCCCGGCGCACCGGCCGGCGCGGCAGACCUCUCGCGCGCGGGGCGGCGGCCGGGGCGGCGGGACGGCGGCGGCCGGGGCGGCCUGACGGCGGCGGCUGGGGCGGCGACGAGGACGAAGACGACGACGGCGGGAUGACGGCGGCCGAGGCGAAGACGACGACGGCGGCCGGCGAGGGGCGACGAGGAUGGAGCUGGCGACGAGGGGCGAUGCAGCCGGCGAGGGAGGCGGACGGGCGGCGACGGGCGGAGAGGGAGGCGGACGGGCGGCGACGGGCGAGGGAGGCGGACGGGCGACGACGACGGCGCAAUGCGGGACUUCGACGGCGCAAUGGGGGACGACGACGGCGGCGGCCGGCGAGGGAGGCGGACGGGCGGCGACGGGCGGAGAGCGCGGGACUUGCGAAAAUUUCGCUAAGUGUGGAACUGGCGGGGGGUAGAAGGGAGUACAGUGCUUUUAACCCCCCCCCCCUUUUAUCCCGGUUCGUAAUGGCACCCGGGACAAAAAGGGCCUUUUGUCCCGGGUCCUGUCACCAACCGGGACAAAAGGCCCCCCCUUUUAUCCCGGUUGGUGACGGGACCCGGGAUAAAAGGGUGCGCUCCCAGCCCCACCUGGCGGGGGCACCCUUUUAUCUCGGGUCCCGUUACCAACCGGGACAAAAGGCCCCCCCUUUUAUCCCGGUUGGUAACGGGACCCGGGACAAAAGGGUGCCCCCGCCAGGUGGGGCUGGGAGCGCACCCUUUUAUCCCGGGUCCCGUCACCAACCGGGAUAAAAGGGGGGGGCCUUUUAUCCCUGUUGCAAAUGGCAACCGGGAUAAAAGGGUACGUUCGGGCGGGAGACGAAACGUACCCUUUUAUCCCGGUUGCCGUUUGCAACCAGGAUAAAAGGGGGGCCUUUUAUCCCGGUUGCUGUUAGCACCCGGGACAAAAGGUCCUUUUUCCUAUUUUUCUUCUCCCGCCUGUUUUUUGGAAAUGGAUUUUAUUUAACCUUUUCACUGCAUUCCAGGAUGAAAAACAAAACCUUCUCAGAUUUUGUACAUGCAAAAAUAUAUUUAAUUAACGAGUAAAUUGACAAUAAGUAUGAAGUAAUCAUUAUUUCUAUACCAACUCAUAUAGCCUGUAAAAUAUUUAUUUUACUGCAUUGCUGUGAUCAAUAAAUUAUUCAAUUAAAUUUUUUGAAUGCGCAGAAAAAUCCAUGUUAGUAUGUGGUUAACAAUGUUCAUGUAUAUCUAAAAAAUCUUCACCUAACAAAUUUAAUUACAAAUUUUAUCAAUUAAUACACAAAGGUCAUGCACAUUUAACGCAUUACAAUACAACGUUGUAAAAUUUCUUCUUCACGAAAGUUCCUUGAUCAUGAUCGCGGCGUAAGUACGGAGCCUCUUCUUUGGACAGCAGGAUGCUUGGAUCAACUUCAACGUCGAAUGGAGGCAUGCCAUCAAACUGAUCAUAAUCAUCUGAUUGGUCUGUUUUAUCCUCGACUCCCACGAUUUUUCUUUUACCUAGAAGAACUAUGUGGCACUUUGGCUCCCAUGUCUCUUCUGGAUUCCUCUUGGGUUUGCUGCACAUGUCCUUCACAUAGAACACCUGAUGCACAUCAUUGGCAAGUACGAAUGGGUCAUCACUGUAUCCAGUCUUGCUCAGAUCUACUAUUGUCAUUCCGUACUGAUCUUUGGUGACGGCAGUUAGCUUCACCCAAUUGCAAAGAAAUAGAGGGAUGUACAGCGGUCCGUAUUCGAGUUCCCAUAUCUCCUGUAUGAAACCAUAAUACGACUCCUUGCUAUUAUUUCUGUCCAUGGCAUCUAUGCGGACACCACUAUUCUGGUUCGUGCUUUUCUGGUCCUGGGCUCUCGUGUAAAAUGUGUAACCAUUUAUCUCAUAGCCUUGGAAUUUGACGAUUGUGGUAGCAGGUCCCCUGGCUAACCAAGCAAGCUGUGGGUGAAUCUCAGAGUUACCCAUAAGUUGUUGGCGCAACCAGGAGGGAAAAGUUUCCAUGUGAUGACGGGUAAGCCAAGCAUCGGAUUUGGUCGGGUUUUUGGAAGCUACCAUCUGCCUGUGCUGCUCGAUAUACGGAGACACAAAGGAUGACUGUUGUAGAACAGUGUAGUGUGCCUUGUCGAACAAAUUAGUAUCAUUGCUCAAACUUGAUUUCCUUCCAAGGGUGCCCAUUCCUCGGAGCCUCCCCUCGUGGCGUGAAGUUGGAACCCCAAUCGAGUCAAUUGAAUCAAUAAAAUCAACACAAAACUCGAUCACCUCCUCUGUUCCAUAUCCCCUGGCGAUGCUUCCUUCUGGACGAGCACGAUUACGAACAUAGUUUUUUAGGACUGCCAUGAACCUCUCGAAAGGCCACAUAUUGUGCAGGUAUACAGGUCCGAGAAUACCAAUCUCUUUUACUAGGUGAACCAGUAAGUGCGUCAUAUUAUUGAAGAAGGAUGGUGGAAAUAACAACUCAAAACUGACAAGACAUUGCACCACAUCGUUCUGUAGCUUUGAUAGCUUGGAUGGAUCGAUUGCCUUCUGCGAAAUCGCAUUGAGAAACGCGCAUAGCUUUACGAGCGGCAACCGGACAUUUUCGGGUAGAACACCCCUCAGUGCAACCGGAAGCAACUGGGUCAUCAACAUGUGGCAGUCAUGAGCCUUGAGAUUUGUAAACUUCUUUUGUUUCAUAUUUAUUAUUCCCUUUAUAUUCGAGGAGUACCCAGACGGGACCUUCAUACUAUUCAAGCAUUCAAACAUACUAUCCUUCUCCUCCUUGCUGAGAGUGUAACUGGCAGGACGUAAGUAGUGCUGUCCAUUAUCUCUCUUUUCCGGAUGUAGGUCAUCUCGUUGCCCCAUGGCUUUCAGGUCCUGUCUUGCUUCCAAUGUAUCUUUUGAGGUUCCAUAAACACCCAUGAAGCCUAGCACGUUCACGCAAAGAUUCUUCGUCAGGUGCAUCACGUCUAUUGCGUUGCGAACCUCUAGGAUUUCCCAAUAAGGUAGCUCCCAAAAUAUUGACUUUUUCUUCCACAUGGGUGCAUGUCCGUUAUCAUCGUUCGGAAUAGGUUGGCUACCAAGUCCCUUUCCAAAGACUACAUGUACAUCCUUCAUCAUCUCGAACACACGCUUUCCAUUACGGUGUGCAGGUUUUUUACGAUGGUCUGGCGUCCCUUUGAAAUGCAUCCCGCUCUUUCUCAGCUGGUGGUGAGCAGGGAGAAAUCGACGAUGACCCAUAUAGACGACCUUCUUACAGUGCUUCAAGUACAUGCUAUCUGUGUCAUCUAAACAGUGGGUGCAUGCCCGAUAUCCCUUAUUUGUCUAUCCUGAAAGGUUACUCAAUGCAGGCCAAUCGUUGAUGGUUACGAACAACAGUGCUCGUAGAUUAAAGAUCUCUUGUCUAUCCUCAUCCCACACACGUACACCUUCUUCCUUCCAGAGCUGUAAAAGGUCAUCAACCAACGGCCUUAGGUACACGUCAAUGUCGUUGCCGGGUUGUUUUAGGCCUUGGAUAAGCGCCGGCAUCAUAAUGAACUUCCGCUUCAUGCACAGCCAAGGAGGAAGGUUGAACAUACAAAGGGUCACAGGCCAAGUACUAUGACCACUACUCAACUCACCGAAUGGAUUGAAUCCAUCAGUGCUUAAACCAAACCUUAUGUUCCUUGCUUCACUUUCAAAGUCUGGGAAUGUUCUAUCAAUUGAUCUCCACUGUGCCCCAUCUGCGGGGUGUCUCAGCAUCUCAUCUUCCUUACGGUCUUCUUUGUGCCAUCGCAUCAACUUAGCAUUCGCCUUGUUCCUGAACAAGCGCUUCAAGCGUGGUAUUAUAGGGAAAUACCACAUCACCUUCACGGGAACUCUCUUCUUGGGAGACUGCCCCUCGACAUCACCAGGAUCAUCUCGCCUGAUCUUAUACCGCAGGGCUUCGCAGACGGGACAAGCAUCCAAUUCCUCGUAUUCAUCACCACGAUAGAGGAUACAGUCAUUAGGGCAUGCGUGUAUCUUCUGAACAUCCAAUCCGAGAGGGCAAAUAAUCUGUUUAGCUUCAUAUGUUGUGGACGGUAAUUCAUUAUUCUCGGGGAGAAUCUUCUUGACAAUUCUCAACAUCCCCUGAAAUGCCUUAUCGGACACACCAUUUUUUGCCUUCCAUUGCACAAAUUCUAGUGUCGUACCUAGUUUUUUAUGGCCCUGCUGGCAACCUGGGUACAACAAUUUUUGGUGAUCAUCUAUCAUGCGCUGCAACUUUGCUGCUUCCUUCUCAGUUUCGCAAUCUCUGUAUGCAUCUCGUAUCACCUGACCAAGGUCAUCAGUAGGGUCAUUUUCUGCAAACUCAUCUUCAUCAGCCUCGCCCAUUGUAGUACCUGCAAAAGCUUGGCCUGCAACCCAGUCCGGAAUGGUGUCAUCUUCCUCCUCCUCCUCGCCAUCUUCCAUUACAACCCCUAGUUCACCGUGCUUGGUCCAAACCAAAUAGUUAGGCAUGAAACCGUAUUUAAACAAGUGGCUGUGAAUAGUCCCCCAGGAAUUCUUUGAAUACUCCUUCCUGUUAUUGCAUUGGAAGCAUGGACAACAUACGAACCCAUUCUCUGGCUUGUUCGCUUUUGCCACUUCGAGAAAAUAAUGCAAGCCAUCAAUAAACACCUUGCUCCGCCUGUCUGCAUUAUACAUCCAAUGCCGGUCCAUCUGCAUCGUAUUACGCACGAAAAUGGAUUACACUUGACAAUGGAUUACGCGUGAAAAUCGAUUAAAGAUCCAAACAACAUGGUACAAUACAACAACAUGAAGAUCCAAAUACACAUAUUUAAAUUAAAGUCCCAAACACUGCAUAAGUUGUUCAACUUGAAGACCGUGAUCAUCUCGUGAGGAUGUCCUCAACUGGGCGGCACCGCACUUCGUCAUUAAAGAGGUUAGAUGCUACGGAAAAGGGGACACGGUCACAAUGUCCGUAUCCACUCUUUCUCGUAGAAUCGAACCUCCUUCUUGACAUACGUUGCUGCUCGGCGGAGAACAUCCUCGGCGAGAUGAACACGGUAUGCAAGUUCAACAAGUAGCAGAAGUCAUCUAUGUACAAAAAUUCUUUCCUUACCACUACAGAAGUUGUUGAACUUGAAGACCGUGUUCAUUUCGCGAGGAUGUCCUCAGCUAGGCGGCACCGCACUUCGUCAUGAAAGAGGUUAGAUGCUACGGAAAAGGGGACACGGUCACGAUGUCCGUAUCCACUCUUUCUCGUAGAAUCGAACCUCCUUCUUGACAUACGUUGCUGCUCGGCGGAGAACAUUCUCGCCGAAAUGAACACGGUAUGCAAGUUCAACAAGUAUAUGGAUUUAAAAAACCAUAUUGAAUUUGAUAAGAUAAACCGUCUAGACAAGGUAGCAUCAUUUUUAAACCACUGAAAUAAUGCAUACUAUAUAUGACACAUCAAUCUCCCUCACAUUCUAGCUCAAAAUACCUCUCCAUUUUUCUACUUCAUCAUCACAUUGUAGCAAAUAAUCUUUCCAUCUCCAAAGCAUAAAUCAAAGCAUAACACGAGGAUGAAGUAGCAAACCUUCGCAGCACUUGUUGGCUGAGUCAAAUUCCCACGAAAAUGAGGGAAAAAAGUUCGGGCAGCACCUCCCUUGCUUGGGCACCACCGGAGAGUAGGUGAAGCUCAGCUCUCUAUCAAUGUGCUGGACUGCUCGGGCUGGAGGAAGAAGAAAGUCUCUGUCUCGGGGUAUAGUGGGGGAUGAGUUUUAAUCCCGGUUAAAAACUCCAACCGAGACAAAAGGAAACACCUUUUGUCCCGGUUGGAAAGUUAGUCCCGGUUGGAGGAUCCAACCGGGAUAAAAGGGACACCCUUUUAUCCCGGUUGGAGGCACCAACCGGGACUAACCCUUUUAUCCCGGUUGGUGCCUCCAACCGGGAUAAAAGGGUGUCCCUUUUAUCCCGGUUGGAUCCUCCAACCGGGAUAAAAGGGUCCCGCCACCGACGGCCCCCGCUAGCCGUUGCAACCGGGACUAAAGGGGGGCCUUUAGUCCCGGUUGCAAUUACCAACCGGGACUAAUGCUCCCCUCCAAAUUCCCGCACCCCGGCGCACCCCCUUUUGUCCCGGGCCACUUUUAAACCGGGAUAAAAGGGGGUUGAUCGAAAGUCAGUUCUCUACUAGUGAUCGGUGACUCCGCUCGAGGAGAAUUGUUUAUAUCAAGCAUAGAAAUGACAACGUUGGAAGUGGAGGAUAUAUUUUGCUCUGUUGAUUUAAUUGCCGCGAGAGUGGCGGACAAGUUCUAAUGAUUGAAGAUCAGAAGCGUCUCGUGGAGAAUUUUUCAGAAGCUAUAUUUGGAAUUAUUAUAUUAUCUCAGGAGCAGAUUAAAUAUAACGCCACCACUGAAAGCCGAUGAGAUGUAUCUAUCGGCUACAUGCUAUUCAGAUGAAUUUGAUGACAGAUUAAUUACGGAGGAGACCGACCGAUACAACAUUAUGGUUUCUUACUGCUGAUCUGUUAUGAAAGAGGAUGUGAGAAGCUGAUAAUCAAGCAACAAUAAAAUGAUAUACACGCAGGGCAUUAAAUAUUGAGUUAAUGAUUGGGAGUACUACCAUUAUCUUAUGAAAAGUCCAUCGGCUAACCAAACAGCGUCAGCCGAUGGAAGCAAAUAGUGUCAGCCGAUAGAAUGAUGUUAUAUAAGUAUAUAUAUCGGCCUCCGAGCCAAUGGGAAGUAGGAACUAUCAGCCGAUGCACACAUCCAUGGACAUAGCCGAUAAGACAUUGUAUCGGCUGCUUGGCAAAUAAAAAUAGCAUCGGCUGACCGCUUGUUAAAAUAUUAUCGGCCGAUUGCUUGGCAAAAUAGUAUUGGCUGACUGCUUGGCAAAUAAAAAAAUAAUAGGUUGACCAAAAAAGGAUAGCAUUGCCUGAUUGCUUGGCAAAUAAAAAAAAUUACGUCGGCUGAUUGGUUCCAGCAAAAUAGUAUCGGCUGCUUGUUGAUCAGAAAAAGCCGAUACUGUUACAGCUCCCGCAACUGUGCUUUGCUGUCAUCGGCUGGGUUGUUCGUGCUCCAUCUGCAAAUAUUUGUCCCGGCUAGAAAGUAUCGUACGUGCAUUGGGAUUCGGCAGUACAAAUCACGUACACGCGUAUGGUCUGCUCAGAAGCUGUCUGUUCGACGAAGUUCCAGGCCAAUGGUGGAGACUUGAUGACCAUGGUGACCUGCAUUAAUCAACAUGAAGUAUGUAUCGGCUGUUCGGUGAUUGGUAGCAAAUCAGCUUUCUCAUAGCCGGUGACAUAUGGGGCAAGAAAUAUCAGGCUUAAAAAAGGACAGUACGAUCAAUGUCGAAAGUUGUAGCCGACGGUUCUAUUAUUGUGCAGUCGAUGGAACAUAGAAGAUGCAUCUGAAUGAGCAAAAGGAAGGGAGCCGAUAGAAGGGAAUUUAAGUUGCAUGAGAUCCAAUUAAAUUAAGAUGACGAGAGGUGUUGACAUCGAAUCAUCGGACUUCUACGAAGUCUUCAUACUCCGAAACUAGGGAGUCUGUGUUAACACCAAAAUUUAGAAAUAUGCUGAUGCAAAAAAAUAAUGAAAUCUCCUAAAUAAGGCUCAAGAAAGAAAAAGCAAGAAAAGAAAAUCAAUCGCACGCGGCAAGAAUUGAAUAAAAUAUUCUAGAGGUAGAGUUGGUUAGGAUAAGCUUAAUUAGGGAUAGAGUUGGAUUAGUUAGAGAUAGUAUUUUGAUUAGAAAAGAUUGUGUACAUGACUUGUACGUGGUGCGUCAGAGGCCAUCCGCCCUAUAAAUAUAAGGGGUCGUGGCCAUUGUAAUUAUCAUCACACGAUCAAUAUACAACAUAUUUAUCUUUUACCUUUUCGGCUUCACGCCAUUGUAUUAGGAGUAGGAGUAAUGUAGCUUCCUGACGAGUUCCUUCUAGCAAGCUGUGCUGCAUUGACCUUGAUCUCUGGCGAGCUGCAAAGUUCCGUCACCAGGUGUUCUAGGCUUUAACCACCGGGCGCAUCGCUUGUGGUUUCGUCUAGUUUCAUCUACAAGGUAUCGAAUAUCAUGGAUCUUUAACUUACGCAUCGCUUCUGUCUUGAUCUACGGUAUUCACCAGUUAUCCUGCCUUGGUUAAGUCUGCAUCGGCUGAUAUUUAUCUGUUCUAUCAUCUUGCCGUUCAGUUUGCUUUAAUUAGCUUUAGAUCGGUUCAUUAUAGAUGAUAGAUCGCUUAAUAGCCUGUUGCAUCUUAAUCUUGGUUACCCCUUCAAGUGCUGUUGGGAUUAAGUUUCGUUAUGAUUGGAUUCAUCGGCUGGUGGGGUUGGUGGGGUUCAGAUUAACAUCGUGCUAAAUAUUUCUAGACUGCAACUACUGGACGCAUCGCUGUGGUUUCAUCUAGAGAUAUUGGUAGAGAGUUUAGUUUAGAUCUCAUCGGUUCGUGGCUCUAGCUAUGGUGGAGCGGCAGCUGAAUAGCAUCCUGUUUUCUAUCGGUCGCCUGGCCGAUAGUUAUUGCAAAAUAUAUUAAAUCGCCUGGAUGGCCGAUGGAUCACUCACGCUCGUCAAGGAUCAUAUCGGCCUGAUCGGCCAGUUGCCUCGGACUUCAAAGGAUUAUUUUCACCUUGUCAGUUGAAUGGUCAAACUGGCUGGCACGCCCGCGCACACCAUGCGCGCCGAUUUGGAUUUUGCACUGGAGUUAAGUAGAUCUUCCAGGUCCUCAUGUGGUGACGAAGGAUCCACCACCAUCAGGAUUUUGCGUCAACACAUUUUGGCACGCCCAGUGGGACACGGUUAUAAGGUUCAUAUUUUUAUUCAUAUAAAAAAGCAUCUUCGGCAUCAUCGGCCAAAUGAGUGUUCAUCGGCUUGUUAGAAUUAAUUCAAUAUAAUAUUUCAGCAAAAGCAGCCGAUGUAGCGAUUGGAGAUAAGGCCAAGUCAAGUCUGCGUGUAUACGCAUGUUCCGGUGGGAUCAUCUUCAUAAAUGCCAAUGACGAUUAGAGAUGAAGCUUCCUGCAAAAUGAUUGGCUACUCUAUCCGGGAAGAAUUGCUUUUUUAUGAGGCAUAUAUAGAGACCCAUGUUGCAAUUAGGGGGCGUAUUCGUGCAUUGGCUGAAAUAAAAAAAUGCAUCGGCAUAUUGAAAAUUGCAUCGGCCGAUUGACAGUCGUAUCAGCUGAUUGGAAAAAUAAAAAGGGAUCAGGGAUCCGCCGAUUGAAAAUUGCAUCAGCUGAUGGAAAAUGAGAGCAACAGUUACAAUAUUUUUUUUAAAAGAAAGCAAGUAUCGGCAAGCAGUAGCCGAUGGAUUUGUAUUUCAGCCAAUGGGGUUUUUGUUUCAGCUGAUAGUACUACUGGCUGAUGGCAAGUCCAAUGGAGUUAAAAUUGCAUUGACUGAUUGAAAUAAAAAUUAAGUAUCGGCUAAUUUAUGGCCAAGUAGCAUCUGCUGAUUUGUUGCAAAGUAGUUUCGGCUGAUUUAUGGCAAAAUAGAAUCGGCCGAUUUAUGGCAAAGAAGCCAAUAGACAAAAGCAUCGGCUGGUAGAGAAGCCGAUUGAGCAAGCAUCUGUUGAUGAGCUAUGUAUGGGAAAAAGUAUUGGCUGCUUAAACAAUUGACAAAAGCCAAUUGGUCAGACUGAGAAGCCAACUGGGAAAGCAUCGAUCGAUGGAUUGCGUAUGGGAGAGAGUAUCGGUUGAAGUCUUUAGUAUUGACUGCUAGAUAUUUGAGCAAGCGUCGGCCGAUUGACUGCUUGGUAAAAAAAACAUCGGGCUGAUUGCUUGGUUAAUAAAAAAAUUGCAUCGUUCAAGCAAAGAUUGCAUGGGCUGAUUGGUUCAAGCAGAAUAGUAUCGGUUGCUUAUAGAAUAUAUCGGAUAUUAAUUUCGAAGCAUGAAAAUAUUCAUACUCCGAAACUGGGGGGCCUGUGUUGACAACAAAAGCUUGCUGGUUACUGCAUCAAGUUUUGGUGUCAACAUACUUGAUCUUUUGUUUCCAUUGCCAGCGGAUUCAUCGGCUCAGAGUGGGAUCAAGACAUCAAGCUGAUGGAGUUCUUUAUAUUUCAAGAGGAGUCAUGGAGUUCUUUAUAUUUCAAGAGUAGUCGAUGGUGCUUUGAAUAUUGCAACCAGACGUCAUUGGCUCUAAAGAUACCGAAUCAUCGGACUUCUAUGAUCAGUUUCGGAACAUGAAGCCUUCAUACUACGAAACUGGGGGCCUGUGUUGACACCGAAUCAUCGGACUUCUAUAAUUAGUUUUGGAACAUGAAGCCUUCAUACUUCGAAACUGGGGGGCCUAUGUUAACACCAAAAUUUAGAAAUGUGCUCUGAAAGGAAGGUAUCGGCCGAUGAUGCAAAAAAAUAAUGAAAUCUCCUAAAUAAGGCUGAAGAAAGAAAAGCAAGAAAAGGAAAUCAACGCACACGGCAAGAAUUGAAUAAAAUAUUCUGGAGAUAGAGUUGGUUAGGAUAAGCUUGAUUAGAGAUAGAGUUGGAUUAUUUAGAGAUAGUAUUUUGAUUAGAAAAAAUUGUGUACAUGACUUGCCUUGUACGUGGUGCGUCAGAGGCCAUCCGCCCUAUAAAUAUAAGGGGUCGUGGCCAUUGUAAUUAUCAUCACACGAUCAAUAUACAACAUAUUUAUCUUUUACCUUUUCGGCUUCACGCCAUUGCAUUAGGAGUAGGAGUAAUGUAGCUUCUCGACGAGUUCCUUCUAGCAAGCUGGGCUGCAUCGACUUCGAUCUUCGGUGAGCUGCAAGUUCCGUCACCAGGUGUUCUAGGCUUUAACCACUGGGCGCAUCGCUGUGGUUUCGUCUAGUUUCUUCUACCAGUUACCGAGUAUCUUGGAUCUUUGACUUAUGGCACAUCGCUUCUGUCUCGAUCUACGGUAUUCACCAGUUAUCCCGCCUUGAUUAAGCUUGCAUCGGCUGAUAUGUAUCUGUUCUUUCAUCUUGCCGUUCAAUUUGCUUUAGUUAGCUUUAGAUCGGUUCAUCAUAGACAAUAGAUCAUUUAAUAGCAUGUUGCAUCUUGAUCUUAGCUAUCCUUCGAGUGUUGUUGGGAGUAAGUUCCGUUGUGAUUGGAUCCAUCAGCUAGCAGGGUUUAGAUUAACAUCCUGCUAAAUAUUUCUAGACUGCAACUACCGGGCACAUUGUUGUGGUUUCACCUAGAGAUAUUGGUGGUGACGUUAGUUUAGAUCUCAUCGGCUUGUGGCUCUAGCUAUGGCGGGGCAACAACUCAACAACAUCCUGUUUUCAAUCGACCGUCUAACUGAUAGCUAUUGUAAAUUAUAUUAAAUCGGCUGGAUGACGAUGAAUCACUCACAUUCAUCAAGGUACUGGAAUCGGCUUCACAGCCGAUAUAUUUGUCAUGAUUUAUUUUGUUGCACCAUUAUCGCUACUGUGCUAGGAUUAUAUCGGCCUAAUCGGCCAGUUUCCUCGGACUUCACAACGACUAUCAUCUCCUUGUCAGUUGAAUGGUCAAACUGACUGGCAUGCCCGCGCACACCACACGUGCCGAUUUGGAUUCUGCACUGGAAUUAAGCAGAUCUCCCAGGUUCUCAUGUGCUGAUGCAGGGUCCACCACCGCCAGGAUUUUGUGUCAACACCUUGUAAUCUUCCUUUGAUUUCCUCAAUGAUUCGAAGACAAUAACCUUGCUUGUAUAAAUGAUAAUUAUAAGGAGAACCUAGUGGAAACUGUGUAUUCAUAUUAGAACUACCUAUGGUUAAUUAGGUUAGGAAAGGAAAUCGAAAAUAGACCGUACCCACACUUACUUAAAGUUGUUGGGCAGUAGUAUGUAAUGCUUGUAAUUCUGUUACUCCAAGAAUUUGUAUAUGUGGUCCAAUGUAGACUUUGGUUGAUCCCAUAUCUGUUGUUGGUUAAAUAAGUGUUUCUGGCCAUUUCUAGCCGUUAGAACCGGAACUAAAGGGGGCUCUUUAGUACGGGUUGAUAUUACUAACCGGGACUGAAGAGCCCCCAUUACAGUUGGUUUUUGGACGCGGAACUAACAACUCCUUUAGUCCCGAGUCCAAAAACGACUGAGAUAGAAGAUCCUUUCUCUACCGUGAAUAUUGCCAGAAAGAAUUGAAAGAGACCGCUUGCUAAAAAUAUGUCAUAGAUGUAGACCAAGCUACCAAGGAGGUAGACCAAACAUGAUACACACCAUGCGUACCUUGCUGUGCAGACUAUGCAUAGACAAGACACCCGACCACAUGUUGGCCUCGGUCACAUCAAAAGAAUCAUGUAGGCCACCAAUAAACUACUUGAAGCGUCAUUCCGUAUCGUAUAUGCAUUGCCGGUUCAUCUGCAUUACAUUACAUAAAGUAGUAUUAACUAUUUGAAUAAAAUGAACCAAUUUAAAAGUAAUGUGUUGUACUCUACUAUAGAAAGCCCUAUCACUGUCGGAUCCAGAAACAUCAUUGUUGAUGGUCGUUAAGUACCAAGACGGUCAAUAUUCUCAAGAAUAAUGGAGAAUUGGCAUUUCUUACACACAUAUUUGGUUUUGAACAAUGUAGUCCCACAUGUCCUUGGAGAUUAUUUGGGUGUGGGUGAAAUAAUACAAAAAGAAGGAGAAAACACACUCCCAUGGUGAAGAAACAAAACUCCGACCAAUGAGAGAUAGCCACAGGGGCAGCACACGGAUCCAUGGGCCCACAAACCGCAUCAAACUGUCUUACCAAGGCGGGUAGCACCCACAACCAUGAUUAGGACCCACCUGGAUGUCUACCAAGAAGAAGGUUGUGAGUGGGGCCAGGAGGGGUUCGGCUGAAUCAUCUCUAGCUCCCCUCAUCCCCAGCUGGUGCAUGGCGGUGGUUAAUGGUGUCCCUACAUCGGUUAGAGGAGAUUCCCCCAAAUAUUCCUCCUGUAAACCACCUGUAUGGACCUAUACAUAGAGGGGUGUGCUCUCCAAUCCAACACACACCACAAGUUUAAUCACUCUCUCCCUCUUUAAUUUCCAUGUUUAUGGAGUUAGCCUAGAGUAGCUCUGCUCAAGGUUCCAAGUCCACUUGGAGUUAAGCAUAUGUCUCUUGUAUCGUUAUUUCCCAGAUUGACUUUAUGCUUAGUUCUUAUAUGCAUGAGUUAGUCUAAUAGCCUUGCUCUAUUGAUAUGCUCGGCUUAUAUGCUCGUAUGCUAGUCAUAUACCCUUGCUGCCGUAGUAUAGGCUUAUAUGCUCUCAUGUGUGCCUUUAGACCUUGCUACAAUAUAUACUUGUUGUGUAUACAUACCAUGUAUAGGCUAGUCGAUCUAUACCAUGGCAUUGGUUCAAUAGCCAUGUUUUUGGUGGCUCCAACCCUAGUCAGAAUAGCUCGGGACAGCUAGAGUGUUGUUAAAAAUGCAAGAGUGAUGGUUGGGUUGUUUAGCAUCGUUGGAUAUGGGUUUUCCCCACGGGUUUCUAAGAGUAGGCGGCAGCUAGUGACAGCCCUGUCCGUCCUUCGUAAUCCCCCCACAUUCAAGUACGCCAUAGAAGUUCAUAAAUUAGCAGUAACUACACCGGCAGACCGGUAGGGUAUUGUCUCCCUAUAGUACCUUGGUGCAUAGAACUAGGUCAUAUACACUGUGUGUCUAUGUUUACGCUGAUAUGAUCUGUGCAGUAUAUAGCAUGUAUAUAUGAACCUAGAGCUAACUCCUAGUCCAUUCUCCGUAGCUUAGUUAUCUUGAGAUGAUUCUUCUGUGUGUGUAACACUACCCAUCUUAUCAUUAUCCUUAAUCCUGUCUUGUGUAAUAUAUCUACUCAUCCUAUGAUAUACUCAUAUGCAUAGUAAACUAUUUUGACCUACCCGCCUUCCUUUGGGAAAUACGAUACCCUGGAAUAAUCCUAGGUGAAAUGCUACAACGGUAUAUCCAUGUGCUUACGGAAUUAUUCCUGACCAUUAAAUAUACCAACAAUCAUCACUAUCUAUUUUGGGCAUCGUUAGUGAAGGGUCGGCAGUGAUGGGCAUCCCCUUCACCAAUGGAGCUGGAACUGGCGGUGAUGGCCAUUAAAAAAAAUGGGACCCCACCCAGCGUACCCCGCAACCCGGCCGGCUGCGCCUCCCAUCAUCCCCGCCGGUCGCCCUUCCUCUUUGCCGGCCGAGCAUGGUUCCGGCCCUCGUCCCUACCGCCUCGCCUCCAUCGCGACCCCCUGCCGAUGCCCUCAUGCCUGGCCCCCCUCGUCUGGCCGGCCACCCUCCCGAUGCAUCCACCGGGGCCCUCGCACCACCAACCACCCUAGCCUAGAGAGAGAGAGGAGGAGGGAGGUGAGGCCACGCACCUCGUCCUACAACGCCGCUGUUGCUCCUCGGCCCACCGCGCCUCACCCCACACCACAGCCGCACCUCGCCAUCUUACCGGCCGCGACGCCCCAUCUCACCGGCCACCGUUCCUCACCCCCACAUCGGUCAUCGCUGCUCCUUGCCCUACUGCUGCUCUUUGCAGCCGCGAAUGAGGGGCGAGUGGAGGGGGAGGGGCGGGGCAGGAGGAGGGCAAGAUCCGGGAGGAAGGGAGAGAUUUUGGGAGGUGGAGAUGGAAGGAUAUGGCGGAAGGUAGAGAUCUAGAGGGAGAGAGCGGGGGGGAGAGGGGGGCAUGUGGGGAGAGAGCGCAUGUGGGGUGGGGCCGGGCUGGUGGGAUGGAAGGUAGAGGGGCCGGAGGGCGCAGUGCAUUCAACUGGAUUAAGUAAAUAUUUCGGAUUCGAGACCCCAGCUUUAUUAUCACCGCUGGUCCGUAGUACCAUUCGGUGCCGGCUCAUAAUUUAAUUUGAACCGGUGGUGAUGUUUUAUUAUCACUGCUGGUUUCAAUUUUCACCAUCGGAUCAUAUAAAAAUCCGGCGGUUAAAAAUCCGCUGGUUUCGAUGAAAACCGACAGUGAUAGGACGACUGUGAUAGUCUCUUCUCUAGUAGUAGUAUAUUAGUACCGGCUGCCGGAUGGUGUUGCCGACGAGUACUUCUCCAGGGGCGAUUCAGUACUGAUGUUAGCAAAGCUUGUUCUCUAUGAAUUUGGGGAUGGAAAGCUAGUUCUCUAGUUGUGAUUUGUUACAUAUAUCUCUAUGAUAGUCUAGAAAUUGCAUGUCCUUCGUUGACAUAGUUGAAGCUGCUUCAAGAAUUUACUUCGUGCAGUCGUGCAGCAUAUUGGAUUAUCACCUAGACAGGAUACAUAGGUGAAGCAUUGCAUGUGAUUGUGGCUGAUAAUUAUGCAGGACGCUGUUGCAAUCAACCAUCAAGAAGACUGGAGCGAUGGGGUUGCCUCAUCAACAAUUUUUAUAUAUGGCUGCAGUAUUAUUAAGCCCACGUCAAUAAUUUUUUCUCCGCAGCAUAUAUAUGGUUACUCAGUUCGCUGGAGUAUCGCUGUGGAAAAACAUACGUACUGCGCCUCGGAACUAACUGGCAUUCAGGCCAUCAACGACCAGAUAUUUGGGACAACCAACAAAUAGUAGGUGGUUCCUAAGUUGUAGUCGUAUGUACUAAUGCGCCUCGAUGGGGUUUUCUUCAGAUAUUUUAUUGCCGUUCAAUGAACAAGCAGAUACAUAACCUGUGCAGAAAAUUCCAUCUCCACGCAUGCCACUGCACCAACAAGAUCCUCAGUCGACGAUGAUGGCUCAGCCUGUUCCUUCUGCCACCAAAUCCUCAAUCUUCCCUCCAGCAACGGAGAAUGCACCUUUAGUACCUUCAGUAUCAGAUGUUGCAAUCGGUACCGUGAAACCGAGACUAAAAUCCUUACUUUGCAGGGGGCAAAACAAUCUUGCAAAUAUAUAUUUUGAAUUCCAACAAAAUUUAAGAAAUGUUAAAGAUGACUAGCUGAGAGUCAACAGACAAGAUAUGAUAUUAGGAAUGUGGGAGGAUGAAUGCAUUUGUACAGGGGUCAUACUAUUUCCAGACUCUUCUAUAUUUCCAUAUGACUACCUACUUCAAUGUCACGCGAGCCAUUCAAAAAGAUACAUGGUACACUUGUAUGUCUAAUCCAUUAUUGAUUAUUUCCUCUUGUCAUCUCUUACAAGUAUUUCUCCAUACUAUAGAAACGUGCAACACAUUUUUAGGAUAUGGACACGCAUGAUUAAUAUGCUUGGACUAGUAUACAGGUCAUCUUUGGAUGAGUACAUAUGAAUGCCAGGGAGGGACUGAUGGAUAUAAGGAAAAGGGACCAUGCAUAAAUAAUGACAUAUGUAACAUGGCAAUCUUCAUUGCCAUGCAACUCCUAUCAACAAUCAUGGAAUACAUACUACUGCUCCAGAAGGGUGGUGUGCAAAUUUAUUUUACCUCGCGGUGAAAAUCUCCAGAGCAGGCCUGAAGUUAAAAUAAGAGGCAGUCACUAUCGAUCAUGACAGUCUCGAAACUGUACAGCACUAUGCUAGUCCUAGUCCUCAUGUCGUUCGUGCUGUCGUGUAGCAUGAUGGAUUAUUAACUGGGCAGGACACGGAGAUGGCUAGCGAUGACAGAGGAUGACGUACAUGAUAUUCACCUCUGAAAUGAAGCGUAGGCUAAUGAAGCACAAUUGCAUGUGAGUGUGGCAGAUAUUUAUACAGGACAGUGAUUGCAAUAAUCGACCAUCGAGAUCGAAGACAGGGGCGAUGGGGUUGCCUCAUCAAUAAUUCGCGCAACCAGACAAGCUGCAGACUCAAUAUGGUACGAAGCUAUUUGGUCAGCCCACAUGCUCUGAUAUAACAUUGGCAUCUGCUGAUCUACAGUAUAUAUGACCAGAAAUAUUGUGCCACCUCAAUAAUUUUCCGAAGUAUCGUUGGGGAAGCACCUACAUACUAUGCCUCGGAACUAACUGACAUGUUGGCCUAGGCGGUCCAGGCCGAUUGGACAGGCUCUUCCUUAUGGCUCCUCACGUCCCCUUCGUUUCCGAGUAAUCUCAGGUGUUCUGAAGUUUUCUUUUCACUUGCAUGUGGACCUUAUAUAUCAAUAGCUUCGGGAUAAGAAUGCCUCUUGAUAACCUUCCAAAUCGUCGCUUGAUUCACUUUGAUUCCAAAAUCAUCUUGCCAUAUCUUUUGAGACUUAGGCCCUAAGGCAUCAUGGAGGAUUGCUCGCCAAGAAUGAGCACCAUUGGGCUCCUGAGGACCCUAGGCCGAUCAGCCUGGGCUCUAUAGGUUGAUUGGCCCAGGCCCUCUCUGGGCCCAUUGGCCUUCAUCUUUCUCUGAGUCGACGCUUAUUGAGGGCUUUGUCCAAUUAUAGUCCAUUAUAGUCUAAUUUCCAAAAAAAUAGAAUAUCCUCCAAAAUACAAUACAUUUGUGAAAACAGCCCAAUUAUUAGGUAUGAUCAAUAGUCUAGGUAUUAAAUUAAUGUUAUUAUUUAAGAUAAAUAGGGAUAAAGGGUGUCAUUAAUAACGAGCACCAACCAGCGUACCAGCUGUUAACACUAACCGAUGCUAAUAUGUACCCUUUAGUACCGGCUAUUUCACCCGGUACUAAACGAGACAAGAGCACCCUAACAGAGGUUAAUACCAUCCAUUUCAUGAGUAAAAUACUAUGAUUCAAAAAUAAUUCAAAUCCCUUAAGACAAUACCUAUCAAAUGAGUAGAUUGUAAAUAGAGUAAAACAAUGUCCUAAUGAAACGGAACACUUCUGGUUCGUGUAGAGCACAAUAUAGAAAACAGUAGGGUAGCUGUACGAUUGACACGUGGUCCAUUAAUUAUUGAGCCAUCACUAUGGACAUGUCUUCAUGAGUAGUGUACUAGUCAUGACACAUGGUAUGUAGUAGGUGGAGGUAUUGAGUUAGCCAUGCCAUGAGCACUUAGUUACAACAAACACUUUGCCAUUAUCGAGCAUCCCAAAUCACUACAAAAUCCAUAGUUUACCAUAUACUACAAAAUCUGAGUUAAAAUAAGAGCAUACACGGAAGAGUCCGAAUGCACCGGUUUAGGACCAGGCACAUUGAAUUACUAGAAAAAGUUAUCGGACAAGGUUUUGGGUAACCGCAUGAAAAAUGUUGGAUUUUACUGAACACUUAGUUACAAUUACCAUGCCGUGAGCACUUAGUCACCACAAACAUUUAACCACUUUAGAUCAUCCUGAAUCCCUAUAAAUUCUGUACCUUACACCGUACCAUGAAAACGACAAGAACAGAGACAGAUGCAGUGAAAAUCUCCAGAGCAGGCCUGAAAUUAAAAUAAGAGGAGGCAGUCUCUAUCGAUCAGGACACGGAGAUUGCUAGCCAUGACAGAGGAAGACAUGAUAUGAUAUUCACCUCUGAAAUGCAGCGUAGACUAAUGAAGCACAAUUGCAUGUGAGUGUGGCAGAUAAUGGACCAUCGAGACCAUCGAAUGGUAUGAAGCAUGAUUAUCACCUAGACAUGAUAUCCUAGACAGGACGGUGAAUUGUAAAAAGAGUAAUCUUGAUCAAAGAAUGUCCUAAUGAAACGGAACAUUUUUGGUACGUGUAGAGCACAAUAUAGAAAACAGUAGAGUAGUUGUACGAUUGAAACUGCAUCCAUCCACGUGGUCCAUGAAUUGUUGAGCCAACACUGUGGACAUGUCUUCAUGAACACCAUCUAGUGAGGACAGGAUGCAGAAAAAUAUAAAAACAUGUCAUAGGGAGGCAGACCAAUCUUGCAAGGAGGUAAACGAAACGUGAUACACGAUCUGCCUACCUUGUCGUGGAUACCCCAAGAGAAGAUGUCAUAGAGGUGCAGACCAAGCUAGCAAGGAGGUAGAUGAAACGUGAUACACGGCCUGCCUACCUUGCCGUGGAUAUUAGCCCUGAUAUCAUUCUAUUGUUCAAGGAAUAACACUCAAUGCUGCUGCUGCUGCUGACCUGGCUCCAUAAAGUUGUAUUCCUCUAGCCGCUUGCACUAACUUUAUCUGAAGUAUUAUUCUCUCUGCCCUGAUAUCUGAAGUAUUAUUCUCUCUGCUGACUUUGCUGAAGAACCUACAUAAUAUGUCUUGGAACUAACUGACAUUGAUUCACAGACAAACUCUACAAGGUGCUGUUGUUGCCAUAUUUUAGAGCAUCCCAAAGGACUAUAAAUAAUAUAGUUUACCAUAUACCGUAUACCAUUAUAUGUUAGCUAAAAUAAGAGCAUAACAUGUCGCAGGAGUCCAAAAGCACCGGUUGAGGACCAGGUACAUUGAAUUACUAGAAAAAGACAGGGGGCAAUGUUUAGGUAGCCACAUGAAAAACAUUUGAAUUUACUGUUCCAUGAACACUUAGUUACCAUGCCGGGAGCACCUAGUUAACACUAAAAUUUAGCCACUUUAGAUCAUCCCGAAACACCCUCAAUAGCGACAAAUUUUGAUUUAAAUGCCGUCACCAAUGAUCCUCAAUAGCGACGUGUUUAGGUUUAAAUCCCGUCACUAAUAACCCUUGGUAGUGACGUGUUUUGGUUUAAAUCUCAUCCCACUGAUCCUCAAUAGUGACGUGUUUUUAGCAACACACGCUAUGAAUGACUUGUCAUUGGUGACAUGUUAAAUGCGUUAUCUCAAUGGCAAAUCAUUGGUGACGUGUUUUAAAAAAACAUGUCACUGUGAGAGUUAUUGGUGAAGGGUAAUUAAAAUGCAUCACUAAUUUUGUAGCAUUAGUUAUGAUAUAAUUUAGUAACGCAAAAAUCUACCAUCAGUAAUGAGGUUUAGAGCCGUCGCUAAUGUGGGUUUCUUACGAGUGAUGCAAGCUCUACAAGGUGCUGUUGUUGCCAUUUUAAAGCAUCCCAAGUGACUACAAGUUAAUAGCAUAGUUUACCAUAUACCAUAAAAAUAUUAGUUACAAUAAGCACAUCCGCAUGUGGAAGAGUCCGAAUGCACCAGUUGAGGACUAAACACAUUGAAUUACUAGAACCAAAUGUAAGACAAAGAAAGGGGUCAAGGUUUGGGUAACCGCAUUAAAAACAUUGGAUUUUACUGUACCAUGAACACUUAGUUACCAUUACCAUACCUUGAGCAUCUAGUUACCACAAACAAUAAUUUAGCCACUUUAGAGGUUCCAGAAUCACUAUAAAUAAUAUACCAACACCGUACCAUGAAAACAUCAAGAAGAGAGACGGGUACAUGGACCACCAUCAAGUGAGUAGUGACAGCACGCACAAGAAUACCCGGAACCUGUUAGCUUGUCUGUAGUGAUCUGUUUUCUUCCCCAUAAAAUCCAUGAGUAUUGCCACAAAUAAUGAAAGAGGCUGACCAAGCUAACAAGGAGGUAGAGAAAACGUGAUACACGUAGGUUUCAUUCAAGACAUCCAUGUAAGAUUCAUUCAAAACAUUCAUGGAAAUUUCUUGUAAGUUUUCAUGUAAAUUUCAUUCAAGACAUUUGUUAGAGGUGUUGUAUAUAUAUACCUUAACGUACAUAUAUCUAUGAUUUCAUGGUUGUUAGUGAUGGCAGAUGAGGAGCAUGCAAGGUAUUUAAUGGAGCAGAUUAUUGCUAGUGGUAGUGGCUCCAACCUGCCCGUAACGUACACCAACGAAGAGAGCAGCCAGGCGGACAUGUUCCUCAACAUAUCCGGUGAUGGCAAUGAAGAGCCCGAGCAAAACCUUGCCGUGACGGAAGGUUCCAGUGAGGUAUAUAUCAUUUCCAUUGUUUUACCCCAUCUAUAAUUUCAUAUUCAUUAUUACUAUGUACUAAUUAAUGGAUCUUGAACCAUUAGCCCUCUAGAUCAACGAACCGAAAUAAGCCCCGAGGUCUUACAAAGAUAAUGCAGGGAAGGCAUCACAUCACGGAAGUCACAGAAGAGGGCACAUCAGUUGCUCCCGAACAUGUGGCAAGAAAGUACGUGAGUCAAACCGGGCAAUGUGCCCAUCAGCAUUAGGGAAUGAAAGGGCAAUAGAAAUGAUCUAUACACGCCCCCGGAUACACAAAAGGAUAUGCUGUGGGCAAAUAUCAAGAAACACUUCACAUUUCCCAAAGGAUAUGUUGAAAAAGAUGUGAAAGCGUGGAUGCUGAAGAAGAUGGUCACCGAAUUCCAGACAUUCAAGAAGAUGUUGGAUGUCAACUUCAUCAAGAAGGGUCGAACUCCGGGUUUCGAUGAGUGGCCAAAGUUAAGGGACCACUGGGAGUCAUUUGUCAAAUACAAGACGAGUGAAGGUGGUGCGAGUAAGGUUCGCAUCAAUGUUGCCAAUGCUAGCAAGGAGUACCAUCAUCAUCUAGGGCGACGUGGUUACAGCACUGCAAUUCCCAGAUGGCGCAAGAUGGAACAAGACCUGAUCGAUCGGGGUAUCGUACCAGCAACUCCUGACUGGCCUGAUCGAUUGAAAAAUUGGUAUUAUGCUCAUGAAGGCAAUCUGAGCCAACAGGAUGCGACAUUGGUCUUCAAUAAAACAAUACGUCAGAAGGCCGGAAGGCUUAUUAGGAACAUUGAAAAUGCUAAAUCUGGGAGGUUCAAGGUGGAUAGAGAGAAUGAUGAGCUCACAUUGGCCCUUGGGACUAUCAUCUCUAGCAUUUCCAGCUCCAGGACUGUCGUCACCACCGGGACCGUCGCUUCUUGCUCGAUCACAGUCUCCAUCUCCAGCACAUCCUGGUGGUGCGAACGAUGACGACAACAACACCCCUCCCUGCCCACCAUCGCCGGGACUAAGACCCGCAUCGAGUAAGGAACCUGCAGCACCACUGAAGAAGUCGCGACCACCGCCUUCCAAGCCAAGUCAGCAAAAGAAGAAAGCAGAGAAGCCUAAGCCCACUGAGAAGCCAACAACCGAUAUGACCGAUGCGGAAAGAUGGAAGGCACUCAAAGAAGAAUGCAGGGAGUGGUUCUGUAAAAAGAACCAAAGAAAGAAAAGGAAAGCAGAUGGAGCCACCGCCAGUAGAUCCAAGAAAAUUAUAAUUUUUUAUUAAGAUGUCAAAAGGAGCCAAGAAGAUGAUUCCACAACUAUCAAACUACGACCGGGCGUUAGUCAAGGCUGAUGAGAGUUAAAAAAGGAAAGGAAAGUCAUCUUCAAGUGGUACUGUCCCCCACCUCGAGGAUCUACCAGAAAAAGACGCUAAAAAGAUAGUAGCAAUGCUCUUGGAUCAACAAACACAUAUAUCAUGAGAUUCAUGCAAGAAACAGGUAUGUGCCUUGCUGAAUGUCUAGGGCAAGUUGAUAUGCUAGCUCUAGAGCCAUUUGUACCGAAAUGGACCUUUGAGCUAGGCAAGCCUCUAGUAAGGCCUGAGCUGGUACAGAAGCUAUCCACAUAGCUAUAUGAAUACCAUGAAUGGUACAUGAAGCAGUCUGCCAAUGAGAGGAAAAUGUUCGGUCUCAGGGAAAAACUGAUAUUUUUUUUCGGCGAAGGCGAGAAAGUCUUGUGAUGGAAUUCAAGGAUAUAUAUGAAGUGUACCAUCAGGAUGCCCUUGAUGUCUCUCUCAUCAGCGCCUAGGUUAUGUAAGUGUAUGUUUAUCUAUACGUAAUUUUUGUCUCAUAUCAUUAUUUCUUUUGCGUGCGUCACCCUACUAACUUCGUCUUCCAUUUUAUGUAGGAUGCUAAUUCAGAUGUGCCGCAUAGAAGCGCACUUCCAUGUUGGCUUCAUGGAUCCAUCCCUAGUUAACCAAAAGCAGAUACGGAAGUAGCUAGAGAAAAUGUUGGAGGUGGUAUACAACUUCCUGGACAAACAAAACUAUAGAAUAGGGGCAAUAUGUGAAGGUCUUGUAGGAUUCCUAGUGGACAAGGUGAUAAAUCCAUAAGGAGAAUAUCAUUACAACGGACGAGCAUUAGACACACUGAGCAACACCUAGACGGGAGGAUCCUAGGAAUGACCUAGACAGAUUUUGGUAUAAAUAGUAAUUGUGUAAAUACUAGUUUGAUUUGUAUAGGAAUAUACUAAGAAUUGUAUAUAUAGUAAUUGUACAAAUACUAGUUUGAUUUGUAUAAAUACUAGAUUGAUUUUAUUAUAAAAAAGUUUUAAGUCGUACGUGCAUGCGCCUACAAAGGCGCGUAUGCCCUUUAAUCCCGGUUGGAAAAACAAACCGGUACUAAAGGGGCUCGUGCCGCACCUGGCAUGACCGCCCCUUUAGUCCCGGUUGAACGACCCAGGACCAAAGAUCUGCCCCGUCUCAUAAAUUUUAUCCUGGAUGCUUUUUAGAGAGAUUUGAGGCCUAUCAACCAAGACUAAUAUCGAGUUUUCUACCAGUGGAACUAACUAACGUUCACAUGCUUCUGACAUUCACCUGCCAUUUGGUGUAGACAAGGGCACCCUAACAUAUGGUUAAUAUUAUUCAUGAAAGAAAAUCCUUUGAUUCAAAAAUACUUCAAACCUAAUAAUACAAUACUUCUCACAUCUGAAAAAUAUGAGAUGGCCCGACAGUAUUCUAACCGACGCAAUAAUAUUUUGAGGGCAGCACUACUACAGCGACCCUCAUUCGUGCCGGUGCUGGAACCCCUAUCACGACCCUGAUACAAAUGAGGGUACAUUAUUGUUGCCAGUGCUAGAAUAGCCACGAAUAACUUGCUAAACAUGCUGUUACACUCACUACUAGAAAAAUAACCUCUCGUCCUGAGGCUUAGUACCGGUCACUUUUUUGCCCAGUACUAAUGUUAGUAUUAGUACCGGAUCCAAAUUUGGGAUCCCCCAGAGACCCUUUAGUACCAGGUGGAGUCUCCACCCGAUACUAAAGGCUUUGUUACCGGGUGAAGGAUCCUCCCGGUACUAAUGGGGGAUUUUUAGUACCGGGUGGGAACCCCACCCGAAACUAAAAUCUCCCAUGCGGACCCCUCCCCCCCCCACGCGUUGCCUCUGUCCUCCCUCCUCCUCCUCUGAGUAGUUAUCCCUUCCUCAUCCCUCCUCCUCCUCCCACACGUGGGGUGAGGUGAGGUGGCAGUAGCAACGACAGGUGGUGUGGCGGGUCACGGCGGGCCGGAUGCGGAGCCGCAACGGUGGUCGGCGGGAUGGGGUGGGGCAGAGCGGCAUGGCAGGGCGGAGCGGUGGGACGGGGCCGAGGUGGAGGUGCCGGGCGGAGGUGGAGUGGCAGGACAGAGGCGGAGGCGGAGCGGCGGGUCGGCGAGCGGGUGGAGGGUGGCGACGAUGGGGCGGGCAGAGGCAGAGGGGUGGGUGGAGGGGCGGCGUGGUCCACCGGCGGGGGGGGGGGGGGGAGAGGGAGGCGUGGGGGGUGCGGUUGGUGAUUUCAAUUUUCUUUUAAUUUUUUAACACCCUUCAGUACCAGUUAUUUUAACCGGGUCUAAAGGGAUCCCCUCUUGUACCGAAUUGCUAGUACAGGAUGCACAACCGGUACUAGAGGGAGGUUCCCAACCGGUACUAGAGCCACUUUCCCCGGUAGUGACUUUUUCACCGAUUAGAAUAUGUUAUUAUUCUAAUCAGCUUUUGUUGAUCUCCUGUAUAAUUUAGUACCUAAUUCUACUAGCAAUUGUUAACGCCGACACGUAUUGGGUAUAGUCCUAACAGUGUCUAACUAGGGCACUACAUUUGUUAACCUAUAACUACUGGUAUCGAUUAGCCCUGGUUAGAAUACUGUCAAGGCAGCCAGAAAAAAUUGUUUGCCAAUUCUGCUAUCCAUCAGAACCAUGACUAGUACCGUAUUGUAAUAAACGAAUUACACAAAUAACUGAUGCACACAAAGGAAUAUGCACUCGCAUGUGCUAGACGUUCGUAGCAACAACAAAUUACUCUCAUCAUCAAUUAAACAUAAUAGAUUAAACAUUAACUGAACAUAGUUCAACACGUACAUCAACAAGACAAAGCAGUUUAAACAUCAACUGAACAGAACUGAAAACAUACAUCAACUGAUGAUAAACUUCGACAUGAACACAACACAUAAACAUCAACUUCAAUAGAACUUAAUAGAGCAUAUUAAACAACAACAUCGACAAAACAUAUAAACCCAGCUCAGUAGCUCAAGCAUCAACUAAAACUGCUGAAUUAAAAUAACAUAACAUAGUGUAGUUCAUCAUGAUGAUAACUAACAGAACCGAAAAGCCUAACUGGGUAAAAGAGCAAUUCAUUCAUAAUGCUUCAGCACUUACAUCACCGGAGUAUGCAACUGGCGGCGUCGCUUACGUCACUAUCACCGCGCUUGGCGAGUAAAGGAGGAGGAGGUGGCAUAGUAAUCGAAGAGGAGGCCGCUGUCGGCGGGUUUAGACUACGUGGAGGUGUGGGUAGGGUUAAGGUGGCUCUGUGGACGAGUAUAUAUAAGAGGUCUGGGCUUGUUAGAAUAAGAUAACAUUCUAACUGGCCAAAUUCGGAUCCGGUUAGAAUAAAUUGUUCUAACCAGCCUUAAUUCGAGGUGGUAAGGAUAAGUUAACAUUCUAAUCAGCUCUAUUUGGAGCCCGAUUGAAUGUUCUUGUUAUUCAAAAAAAGAUCAAGUUCAUCAAUUUUUUUCUAGAAAAACAUCAAGAUAAUUUAAACACGAUAUAUAACAAGAUUAAUACAUUUAAAAAUUGUUUUCUCCAAUAAUUAACGAUAUUUAACAAAUUCAAAAAAAAUCCAAAUUAACAGAACAUAAUAACCAAUUGUUCGAAAAAAUCAAAAUAGUCCACACAGUAUCAUAUUACAAAUUCAGAAAAAUAUCAAAAUAAUCCCUGAUCCACUCGAUACCGUCGUAGAACUUUGAAAUACUGAGCUUCUUGAUUCAUCUGAGGUCCACGUACUCGUCUCAGUAACACUAGUGGUGGCCAUGCAUCUUGUAGAUGUCUUCUAAUGAAUUAAGCUUGACAUACAAGGUCGUGCCUUCCACUCCUUGAGGAUUGCUUAUGACGUUUCUGCAAAUAACGAAGCAUUGCUUUCUCCAACAUGAUUAUUUUCUUCGGCUUAUCCCAAGGGACAACUAUGGUUUUCCCCUUGCCGGAAGAGGAACGAUGAUCGCCCCCACCAUCGCCACUUCCUCCAGUAGCAGAAGCCAUCUAUGUACAAAAAUUCAUACCUUAGCACUACAGAACUUGUUGAACUUGAAGACUGUGAUCAUUAGGCGAGCAUGUUCUCAACUAGGUGGCACCGCACUUCGUCAUGGAAGAGCUUCGAUUUUACAAAAAAGGGGACAUGAUCUUCCAUGAUGUCCGUAUCCGCUCUUUCUCGUAGAAUCAGAGCUCCUCCUUGAUAUACGAUGCUGCUCGGCGGAGAACAUGCUCACCGAGAUGAACACGGUAUGCAAGUUCAACAAGUAUGGAUUUGAAAAACCAUAUUGAAUUUGACAAGACAAACUAUCUAGAUAAGCGUAGCAUCAUUCUUAAACCACUGCAAGGAUACGUACUAUAUAUGACACAUCAAUCUCCCUCACAUUCUAGCUCAAAAUACCUCUCCAUUUUCUACUUCACAUUCUAGCAAAUAAACUAUCUAUCUCCAUUCUACACAUCAAGUUGUUUUAACUAAUACAAAUCGUAUAUAACAAGCAAAAUAUCCAUCACAUUCUAGCUCAAAAACAUGUAUAAAUACAAAUCCUCUUCAUUCUCCCUUUUUCUAACAAACAAACUCAUUUUUCUCCCUCUCCAAAGCAUAAAUUAAAGCGUAACAUGAGGAUGAGGUAGCAAACCUUCACAACACAUUGGAUGAGUGAAAUUCCCACGAAAAUGAGGGAAAAAAAUUCGGGCAGCACCUCCCUUGCUUCGGCACCUCUAGAGAGUAGGUGAAGCUCAGUUCUCUAUUUUUGUGGUGGACUAGCUUGGGCUGGAGGAGGAAGAAAGGCCUCUGUCUUGGUAUAUAAUGGGGGAUGAGUUUUUAUCCCAGUUAAAAGCUCCAACUGAGACAAAACGGCCAAUCUUUUGUCCCGGUUGGAGCCUCCAACCGGGACAAAAGGGGCACGCCAUCGACGCACGGGAGCUAGCCGUUACAACCGGGACUAAAGGGGGGCCUUUAGUCCCGGUUGCAAAUACCAACUGGGAUUAAAUCUCCCCUCCAUUUUUGCCUACCGUGGUGCGCCCCCUUUUAUCCCGGGUCAACUUUAAACCGGGACAAAAGGGGGCGUCGAAGAUCAGUUCUCUACUAGUGACCCCUCCCCACCUAUCUCUCUCCCUCCAUGCUCCUCGAUCUGUGCCUCCCCUCCCCUCCCCUUCCACUCGCCCCUCACCGACGGUAAGGAGCAGCGGCGGGGCGAGGUGAGGUGGCAGCAGCAAUGGCAGGUGGUGGGUCGCAGCGGAGCGGCUACGGUAGGCAGCCGGACGGGGCAGAGCGGCGGGGCGGGGUGGAGGCGGAGGUGGCGGGUAGAGGCGGAGCGGCGAGGCGGAGGCGGAGGUGGAGGCGGAGUGGUGGGACGGCAGGGCCGGGCGACUAGUAUAGGUGGGCGGGCGGAGGGCGGCGACGGCGGAGCGGGCGGAGGCAGAGGGGCAGCGGGGGCCGCCGGCGGGGGGUGUGAUCGGGGAUUUCAAUUUUUUUUAAAUUUUUUAACACCUUUUAGUCCAACUGGUUCUAAAGGGACCCCUCUAGUAUCAAAAUUGCUAGUACCGGUUGCACAACCGGUACCAGAAGUGGUUCCUAACUGGUACUAGAGCCACUUUCCCUGGUAGAGACUUUUUUACCAGUUAGAAUAUGUUAUUAUUUUAAUCAGCUUUCGCUGAUCGCCAGUAUGAUUUAGUACCUAAUUUUACUGGCGAUUGUUACCGCUGACACGGAUUGGGUAUAGUCCUAACAGUGUAUAACUACGGCACUACAUUUGUUAACCUAUAACUACUUGUAUCGAUUAGCCCUGGUUAGAAUACUGUCAAGGCAGCCAGAAUUUUUUUUUUUUGCCAAUUCUGCUAUCCAUGAGAUCCAUGACUAGUACCGCAAUGUAAUGAAUGAACUGCACAAAUAACUGAUGCACACAAAAGAAUAUGCACUUGCACGCUAGACGUUCGUAACAACAAAUUACUCUCAUCACCAAUUGAACAUAAUAGAUUAAACAUUAACUGAACAGAAUUCAACACGUACAUCAACACGACAAAGCAGUUUAAACAUCAACUGAACUGAACUGAACACAUACAUCAACUGAUGAUAAUUAUCGACAUCAACAGAACACAUGAACAUCAACAUCAAUAGAACUUAAUAGAGCAUAUUAAACAACAACAUCGACAAAACAUAUAAACCCAGCUUAGUAGCUCAGGCAUCAACUAAAAUUGCUGAAUUAAAACAACACAACGUAGUGUAGUUCAUAAUGCUUCGGCGCUUACACCACUGGCGGGUCGCUUACGUCGGCAUCACCGCGCUGGCUGAACCUCCGACACCCCCACCACGGCAAACGGAGGUGAUGGCGGAAGGUGAGGCAACGACAGUAGCUGGUGAGCUCCCGCUCCAAUGUCUCGCGAGUAAAGGAGGAGGAGGUGGCAUGGGAAUCGAAGAGGACACUAGUAGAGAAACGACUUUCCAUCCACCCCCUUUUGUCCCGGUUUAAAGUUGGCCCGGGACAAAAGGUUCACCAACCGGGAUUAAAACUCGGUCACUGGUGGGGGGCUCACCAACCGGGACCUUUUAUCCCGGUUGCAAAGGCUAGUGGGAAAAAAUUACUCUGAGAGGCCUUUUAUCCCGGUUUGAAACACCAACCGGGAUAAAAGACCCCCCCUUUUAUCCCGGUUGGUAACACCAACCGAGAUAAAAGGGUCAAGAGCCUUUUAUCCCGGUUGGAAACACCAACCGGGAUAAAAGGGGGUCUUUUAUCCCGGUUGGUGUUUCCAACCGGGAUAAAAGGGUCCCCCACGAGUUAAUACAAAAGGAUAGUAUCCCCUACAUAGUCAGAUGUGGUGUGUAGGUGGGAUGGUAAGGAAGCUACGCGCGAGGCUGGAGGUUGUGGGUUCGAAUCCCACGAACCGCGCACGCGCAUAUUUCGCGUGAAAAAUCGCGUGACUUGCGACUUGCGCGUGUGGGGGGGCCUCCUGGGAGCUCGGGAAUUUUUUUUUUUUGCAGCGCCGGCCGUGGGUGAACCCUUUUAUCCCGGUUGGUAUUACCAACCGGGAUAAAAGGGGGUCUUUUGUCCCGGUUGAGUGACCCGGGAUAAAAGACCCCCCCUUUUGUCCCGGUUGGUUUAUCCCGGAUGCAUUUUCGAGAUCUUUGCACCCUACCAACCGGGAUAAUAGGUGAGUUCUCCACCAGUGGGAGGCCGCCGCUGGCGGGUUUAGACUACGUGGAUGUGUGGGUAGGGUUAAGGUGACGGUGUGGACUAGUAUAUAUAAGAUGUCUGGGCUUGUUAGAAUAAGAUAACAUUCUAACCGGCCAAAUUCGGACCCGGUUAGAUUAAAUUGAUAUUCUAACCGGUCCUAUUUCUAGGUGGUAAGAAUAAGUUAACAUUGUAAUUGGCUUUAUUUGGAACCCGAUUGAAUCUUCUUGUUAUUCAAAAAAACAUCAAGUUCAUCAAUUUUAAUCCAGGAAAACAUCAAGAUAAUUUAAGCACGAUAUAUAACAAGAUUAAUACAUUUAAAAAUUGUUUGAUUCACAAAUUAACGAUAUUUAACAAAUUCAAAAAAUCCAAAUUAACAGAACACAAUAACCAAUUGUUCGAAAAAAUCAAAAUAAUCCACACACAUUAAUAUAUUACAAAUUCAGAAAUAUAUCAAAAUAAUCCCCGAUCCACUCGAUACCGUCAUAGGACUUUUAAAUACUGAGCUUCUUGAUUCGUCUGAGGUCCACCUACUCGUCUCAGUAACACUAGUGAUGGCCAUGCAUCUUGUAGAUGUCUUCUAACGAAUCAAGCUUGACGUACAAGGUCAUGCCUUCCGCUCCUUGAGGAUAACCAUCUUUGGUGAUCUUGAAAUGGCAGACGGUGGAUGUGCCAAAGGUACGUGACGAUCCUUCUAAAUGUAUGCCACCACAACUUCCGUCUGAUCGCCAUGGGUGACACCAAGAAGAGCUACCAUGCGGCAAGGGACGAACAAUUUAUCAAUUAGUGCCGCUGUCCAUCGCCAUCAUCUAAUCCAGCCAUAUCUUGUUGUAUAUUUAAGUAUAGAAAUUAAGAUUUAAAAAUAAACAGAAUAAAUUGAGAUCGAUUAUGUAUGUAUAUCAGAACAUUAGCUUUUGGAAAAAGGGCUUCGAUGGAAGAGAGGCACGGGGCAUAGAGACAACAACGAGUGACAAUAUGUCAGAAGAAUACCCGAUCACAAUUAUUGGCACACACAGCCGAUAUUUACAGUAGUCAAUACCCCUGGUAAAUAACCACACCAUCAAGAGUAAAUAGUGACAAUAUGCAGUAUAUACACGACAUAGCCUUGGCUGCCGUGGAAGCACCAGAAGGGAGACAAAUAACAGGGACCACUACAUCAAGUAGAUAGUGACAAUAUGCAAAAGAAUACCCGCGCCUGUUAGCAUGUGUGAACUGACCACACCACGAAACGUGAUACACGGCAAGCGUACCAAGGCCUUGCUGUGCAGACUAUGCAUGGACAACACAUGGUACCUGACCGCUUUUGGCCUCAGACACAUCAAAAACUGCAUCGUUCCACGUUGUACAUCCAUUGCUAGUUUAUCUAUAUUACAUAAUAUAUUAUUAGCUAUUUGAAUAGAAUGAACCAAUUAAAAAAUUACGUUGUAUUUUAGUACCGGCUGCAGGAUGGUGUUACCAACCAGUACUAAUUGGCCUGUAGGAGUGAUGGUUAUUAGACUUGGUACUGUUGUUAGCAUCAUUAACCUAAUUGUGCGCCGUAUGAAUUUGGGGAUGCAAAGCUAGCUCUCUAUGAAUGUGAGGGAUGGAAAGCUAGUUCUCUAGUAGUAAUUAUAUAUAUGACAGUCAGGAAAUCGAACACUAUGCUGCUACGAGUCACCAUCAUUUCCUUCAUUGACAAUCUGACAUAGGUGAAGCUGCUUCAAUAAUUUCCUUCGCGCAGUCGUGGAGCUUAUUGGAUUAUCACCAGGACGGGACACGGAAAUGGCCAGCAAUGAAGCUGAUUGCCGUCUGAGGAAGACUACAUACUUACCUAUGAAAUGAAGCGAUUGCAUAGACUAAUGAAGCAUUGCAUAUUUGCAUGUGAGUGUGGCAGAUAAUUCUGCAGGACAUGAUUGCAAUCCACGCACCAUCGAGAAGACUGGGGCGAUGGGGUUGCCUCAUCAAUAAUCACGUGGAUGCAUGCAUGCAUGUUCCCUCAACCGGACAAGGGUCUGAUAUAUGGCUAUAGUAUUACUGAGCCCACAUCAAUAAUUUCCGCUGGUGUAUCGUGUGGGAAGAAUCAACAUACUACACCUCUGAGUUCUUGGAACUAACUGACGUUCACAUGCAACCUCCACAAGGUGCUGUAUGCUUUUGACAUUCACCUGCCAGUUCGUGUAGAGGACACCCUAACGUAUGGUUAAUAUUAUCCAUUUCAUGAGUAAAAUACUGUGAUUCAAAAAUACUUCAAAUCCCUUGAGACAAUACUUCUCACUUGACUAACCACUAACCAACCCCGAAACCCUAACUCAACUCCGAACCCUAACCCCUAACGGCAUAACCACUCCGUUUUGCCGGCGAGAUGGAGGAACUGGCUGGAAGGUAGAGAGGGCAGCGGUCCAGGGUUGAAAACGACGGGCGAGCGCAGUAACAUGUGGAGGAGGAAGUGCCACGUAUUCGUUCACCGCUAUUGGGCAGCGACACACGACACGCCCAAUAAGAUCUUCGCACGGUAGAAGGACGUCAUGUAUUCAAUAAUGUUAUUGGUCCCCCAUGUGCAGAAGGGCGCGCGCGUAUGGAAUAACAAGUAGGGACACUGCAACUAAUCUACUCUGCUCGUCCAGUCCCUAGCCUAUAAAUAGAUGCCAUGCUAGCUCUUGUUGUGCUCACAAUUAAUCCGAUUACACACGAGCUUCUCUCCCUGGCCAAGACACAACCAUAGUAUGAUGAAGAACAUGGCACUAGCCGGCAAUGGUAUGAAGAAGUUAAUCCUCGCUGUUCUCUUACUGUGUCUAGUUAUAGGGCAGAUACAAGUGGAAGCUAAGAGCUGCUGCCCAUCCACCACUGCAAGAAAUGUCUACAAUACCUGCCGUUUCACGGGUACAUCCCGUCCAACGUGUGCAAAACUGUCAGGCUGCAAAAUUAUCAGCGGGAACAAAUGCAAGCCCCCUAACGACCACCUCACCCUUGACCCGGACACUGGUAAAUAAUAAAUUUAUCUCACUUGAUUUCUUCGUGAUUUGAGUCGUUAAUGUAUUUUCCAUCUGAUGAAACGUAUUGGUUUUGCAUUGAAGAGGAAGUUAAUGUGCUUAACUUCUGCAAGUUGGGGUGUGCGUCGUCUGUGUGCAACAACAUCAACGCUGGUAAGCAACUUUUGCUCAGACAGAGAAAACAAUAAUCAUUAAUUAGCGGCAGCUAGAAUCCUAUAAUCUAAUAUAUAUAUAUAUAUAUAAUUUUAUCAGCUCUGGGAAAUGAAGAGGCGAACGAUGCCGUUGAGAGUUGCGACCAAGCCUGCUCUAGCUUCUGCAGCGUGCAUGUUGGCAGCGCCACCGUGGUUGCUUAAGCAAAUGCAUCCAACUAGAUCGUCCUUGUGCUGAAUAAUUGGAUAUCGUAUCCACUUAAAGCUGCCUUGUGUAGUACGUCUUUGUGUCUCUCUUUAUAUUCCAAUAAGGUCGGUGAUCUUGAUGCCACACACUCAGAUGUGUGUUCAUCUCCAGAUACUACUCCAUGCUACCUGCCCUUUGUGUUUUGUUCAAUAACUGGGUAUCAUAUCCCAGCCAGUAUGCCGUCUGUUUUGUGUUUGUUUCCUUCUAGUUCCAAAGGGGUCAUCAUGAUGUUACCUUCUUUCAAUAUGGUGCUUUGCAUGACUACUGUUGUAUGGUACCAUCUUGUGGCCAAUAAGUACAUCUUAUCCUAUGACCUUUGCUAUGACCCUUUGCAAAUAAGUAGAAGAUUGUUAUAAGCGUCAAUACUCCGUAUAAAUUGAUCGCUGCUGUGAGUUCCCUUUCAGCUUAUCGUAGGCAUACAUUAUUGCUAGCACGGUAAAGCCAACCAACACGAAUGAUGAAGUAAACGUAGCGGUACUUCUGUAUACCAACACCCUUACUUAAAUGUACCGGUGUCAUUCCCUACUGGCACAUAUAUUCUUAUAUGCUAGCCAGCUUGUAAAAUUAACCAAUUAAAAUAAUUAUUUCAAGAUAGAAAUAACUUAUCGGUUUCUGGAAGCAUGUGUAAUGUGAAUUCAAGGACUCGACGGAAGUUGAAUCACUUCAUCUAUAUUGCUUUCAGUAUUUUGGGUAACUAAAUUUAACAUUUGCACAUACAAAUGUUAAAGUACAAAUGUUAAAUCUAGUUACCCAAGCAGAAUAUGAAGAUAGUUUAUAGUAUAUAUAUACUAUAUAAAUCUAGUUAACAUUUAGUCUAAAUGUUAAAUCUAGUUACCUAAAAUCCUGAAAGCAAAAUGUAUAAAUAUAUAUCUUUUAAGGCAGUAUAAGCUUCGAUUCCUAUUGCUGCUCUGUUAAAUCUCAUCUUUCGUUGUGGCCCAACACUCUAGUAUGCAUGUUGCACCAAGCUUCUUUGAGCCGCUCUGCCCUCUGAUUUUGCUGCGUAGGGGAAUCUUUAUCAGGUUGGGCUACUUCCAGUUGUGCGAUGUAAAGAUUCGUAUUUUCUAGAAGGUAGACAAAAAACUCGCGUUCUCUUAAGGCAACAACCGGAAGAUUCUGCAGCGCACAGGGCAUACCAUUAUUGUAGAAACGACCUUUAGUACCGAUCUCCAACCCCCUUUAAAACUGGUUUUGCAACCGGUACCGUUAUGUCGGUCCUUUAGUACCAGAUCAAAUAAGUACCGGUUGGUAACCAGUAUCAACUUGUUUUGCGGCCAAAAAAAUAAAGAAAAAAACAGUCAGAAGGCUCGCGCACACGCGCAUCACAUGAAAUAUGCGUGUGCGGGGUCCAUGGGAUUCGAACCCAUGAAAUCAAGCUGCGCGCGACCCUUCGUUACCAUCUCACCUACAUAGCGCAUAUGCUUUCCUGAAGUAACCCGUGGAGGAGGCUUUAGUACCGGGUCAUAACACCACCCGGUACUAAAAAUGACUCUUCAGUACCGGGUCAUAACACCACCCGAUACUAGUAUCGGAUGGUGUAAUGACCCGAUACUAAAAGGCCUCUAGGGACCCUCAAAUUUGAACCCGGUACUAAUGCUAAUAUUAGUAGCGGGUCAAAGUGCAGCCAGAACUAAAGCAUGGGAUGAAAGGUCAUAUUUCUAGUAGUGUAUAGUUGUUGUGAAGGACUGACUUGGCUGUCCUCUCUCUUCUCCAUCCCCUUGGUCUUACGCCGCCGCUCGCACGCGAGCCGGUGCCCAACCAGAGGAGUGAGAGCUAGGGGCAGGUUGGGAGGUGGGGAUAGUGACUGGUGGCCAGGGUGAUGGUUGAUCCUGGUGGGGUUAGGGUUUUAGGGUUUUCGAGCUUCCUAUGGUCGGCGAACCUAGAGGAGGAGCUCAACAUCAGCUGCAACCCGCGAUGGUGGUGGUUUGGCCGGCGCCCGAGGCGAGGCAGCGCGGGAGUGCUGCCGGUGGGUUGGUGUUGGCACUCAUUAUUGACAACUAUUUUGUUCAUAAAAUAACACUCAAACUUGCUGCUGCUGCUGCUGCUGCCAUCGCCACCCUAGCCAUAAUAUAAAGGCAAAAUUUGCUAAAGGACAUGCAAAAUGAUGCUAGUUUGCUGGCGGGCAUCGUUGACCUUGUAAUAUGCUACAAGACACUCUAGUUGUGUAUCAAUUUGCUGAAAGACAUUGCUAUGACUAAAAUAAUGUUUCUGGACUGAGUUGGAGAGAGAGAUGGAGUGAAAUGUCUGUUUUGCCCAUGACCCCACUGGUCAGAUCCUUCUUCUUCCACCCUCCUUUGUUCUUUCUUCAACCAUUACCCAGCUCCAGCGUGUUGCAGAUCUACGAGGGUGGCGGCCUGGGGCGAGGGGCAUCGCUCGCCCUUGGAGGAGCGCUGCGAGCGACGGCGCGGGGGCGGCAACAGCGCGUCAGAACCUGACUGUUCGUUAGCUCCUCUCGCUGCUGGGGAAGGAGGGGGAUGGGCCAUGGACGGGGUUCCCUUGAAAACCUCAGCGUCGAGCUCGGGCGGCUACGCGCAGGCAGCACUAGGCUGCUUCACGGGGAGGGGGCGCGGCCAAUCAUUGGCACCCCACUGGUCCAAUGCUGAUGAAGAUGGUGCCAGCGUCGUGUGAGGACAUCUCAUCUCCUCGAGUUCCAUGGCCAGCACAGGUGAGCUGCCGCUACCACAAAACAGAGGUUUCGUGAGAGUCAAAAAACCUUAUGAAAAUAGCUAAAACCAUCAUGAAAAUAAUCCGUGACAUGACACUCUCACGAAAAUCCUCUCACAAAUAUGGUGCCAUGAAAAUACCAUUUUCAUGAGAGUGAACUGUCAUGAUUUUAUUUCGUGAGAGUAUUUCCUAUCAAUGACCUCCACGAAAUACUUUGUGCCACCAGGUCUUCAAGAUCAUUUUCAUGAGAGCUGAACAUCAGGAAAAGUCCGCCACAAAUGUUUUUCUUGGAGCCCCUAACUCUCAUGAAAAUCAUGCGGGCCGCCACGAAAAACAGCAUGACCAAAUGACAAAUUUCAUUUUCAUGUGUUCAUACCGCCAUGAAAAUGGUCAUUUUCAUGAGAGUUGAUGAAACAAAAAAUAGUGCCAUUUUCAUGAGAGUUCAAGCAACCAGGAAAAGACACUAAUAAACAUCCAGAUCCCAUCCAGCACACAUCCAUGCACAUAUAUAACCCACAUAUUGCUCCAGCACACAUCCAUGCAUAUACAAGAUCCAAAUGUUAAUAUAGUAGACAUCCAUGCCUGAACUAGUCUGCCACACAAGUCAUUGAUGCUACAAAUCCUACAAUCGCAGCAUGUGCAUACAAGUCACAGAAUGAGACAAUGUACCCAAAACUAAAAGGUUAGCAUCAACUGUGCUUCAACCAAAGUUGUCAUCCCAACUCUCCUCUUCAUCCAUGCCAUUCUUGUCGUGGCCGUCACUGUCAGUCCCCAUGGCAUUGCCAAUGCUGUGCAUGUCUUGGUAGGAACCUACAUGUGAUGAACUAGUAACCUGCAAAAAGAGCUCAAAGGAUCUUGUUCUCAUAUUGUAGCUGUGAAAUUCUUACAAGUAGUGUUGCAAUCAGUUCACUUUGAACCAAAAGAGCUCAAAGGAUCUUGUCCUAAAAGUUCCUCAUAAAGCUUAUGGGUUUGCUGGUGGAACUGGAAGGGCUUGAUGCAGCAGAUGCCAUUCUGCAAUAGAGAAAAAUUUAGAGAGCAGUACUAGUUAAAAUUGGAUGCAGAAGAUACACAUGAAACUAGUAUUUAUACAAGUCUAUACAAUUAAAAUCUAAGGAGACUUAUCAUCGUUUUCAUGUGUUGUGAAUUAAAAUAAUGAAGGAUACACUGUUAGGUGAAAAUUCAAGAAACAAAAUUUUGCAUAGAGAUAAAGGUCCAACAUUAUUACAAGUUAAGGUAGUUUUAAAUAUCCUUGUAAUCUUCCUUUGGUUUCCUCAACGAUUCGAAGACAAUAACCUUGCUUCUAUCAAUGAUAAUUAUAAGGAGAAUCCAGUGGAAACUGUGUAUUCGUAUUAGAACUACCUAAGGUUAAUUAGGUUAGGAAAGGAAAUUGAAAAUAGAUGGUACCCACACUUACUUAAAGUUGUCGGGCAAUAGUAUGUAAUGCUUGUAAUUCCGUUGCUCCAAGAAUUUGUAUAUGUGGUCCAAUGUAGACUUUGGUUGAUCCCGUAUCUGCUGUUGGUUAAAUAAGUGUUUCUAGCCAUUUCUAGCCAUUAGAACCGGGACUAAAGGGGGCUCUUUAGUACGGGUUGAUAUUACUAACCGGGAUUAAAGAGCCCCCAUUAGAGUUGGUUUUUGGAUGCGGAACUAACAACUCCUUUAGUCCUGAGUACGAAAACAACUGACAUAUUUGUUGCUGGAUGGAAGGUCCUUUCUCUACCGUGAAUAUUGCCAGAAAGAAUUGAAAGAGACUGCUUGCUAAAAAUAUGUCAUAGAUGUAGACCAAGCUACCAAGGAGGUAGACCAAACAUGAUACACACCAUGCGUACCUUGCUGUGCAGACUAUGCAUUGACAAGAUACCCGACCACAUGUUGGCCUCGGUCACAUCAAAAGAAUCAUGUAGGCCACCAAUAAACUACUUGAAGCGGCAUUCCGUAUCGUAUAUGCAUUGCCGGUUCAUCUGCAUUACAUUACAUAAAGCACUAUUAACUAUUUGAAUAAAAUGAACCAAUUUAAAAGUAAUGUGUUGUACUCUACUAUAGAAAGCCCUAUCACUGCCGGAUCCAAAAACAUCAUUGUUAAUGGUGGUUAAGUACCAAAUAUGACGGUCAAUAUUCUCAAGAAUAAUGGAGAAUUAGCAUUUCUUAGACACAUAUUUGGUUUUGAACAAUGUAGUUCCACAUGUCUUUGGAGAUUAUUUGGGUGUGGGUGAAAUAAUACAAAAAUAAGGAGAAAACACACUCCCAUGGCGAAGAAACACAACUCCAACCAAUGAGAGAUAGCCACAGGGGCAGCACACGGAUCCAUGGGCCCACUAACCGCAUCAAACCAUCUUACCAAGGCAGGUAGCACCCACAACCGUCAUUAGGACCCACCUGGAAGUCUACCAAGAAGAAGGUUGCGAGUGGGGCCAGGAGGGGUUCGGUUGAAUCAUCUCUAGCUAGCUCCCCUCAUCCCCAGCUGGUGGGUGGUGGUGGUUGAUGGUGUCCCUACAUCAGUUAGAGGAGAUUCCCCCAAAUAUUCCUCCUGUAAACCACCUCUAUGGACCUAUACAUAGAGGGGUGUGCUCUCCAUUCCAACACACACCACAAGUUGAAUCACUCUCUCCCUCUUUAGUUUCCAAGUUUAUGGAGUUAGGCUAGAGUAGCUCUGCUCAAGGUUCCAAGUCCACUUGGAGUUAAGCAUAUGUCUCUUGUAUCGUUAUUUCCUAAAUUGACUUUAUGCUUAGUUCUUAUAUGCAUGAGUUAGUCUAAUACCCUUGCUAUAUUGAUAUGCUCGGCUUAUAUGCUCGUAUGCUAGUCAUAUACCCUUGCUGUCGUAGUAUAGGCUUAUAUGCUCUCAUGUGUGCCUGUAGACCUUGCUAUAGUAUAUACUUGUUGUGCAUACAUACCAUGUAUAGGCUAGUCGAUCUAUACCAUGGCAUUGGUUCAAUAGCCAUGUUUUUGGUGGCUCCAACCCUAGUCACAAUAGCUCGGGACAGCUGGAGUGUUGUUAAAAAUGCAAGAGUGGUGCUUGGGUUGUUUAGCAUCGUUGGAUAUGGGUUUGCCCCACGGGUUUCUAACGGUAGGCGGCAGCUAGUGACAUCCCUGUCCGUCCUUCGUAAUCCCCCCACAUUCAGGUACGCCAUAAAUGUUCGUAAAUUAGCAGUAACUACGCCGGUACACCUGUAGGGUAUUGUCUCCCUGUAGUACCUUGGUGCAUAGAACUAAGUCCUAUACACUGUGUGUGUAUGUUUACGCUGAUAUGAUCUGUGCAGUAUAUAGGAUGUAUAUAUGAACCUAGAGCUAACUCCUAGUCCGUUCUCCAUAGCUUAGUUAUCUUGAGAUGAUUCUUCUGUAUGUGUAACACUACCCAUCUUAUCAUUAUCCUUGAUCCUGUCUUGUGUAAUAUAUCUACUCAUCCUAUGAUAUACUCAUAUGCAUAGUAAACUAUUUUGACCUACCCGCCUUCCUUUGGGAAAUAUGAUACCUUGGAAUAAUCCUAGGUGAAAUCCUACAACGGUAUAUCCAUGUAAAUGCGGAUUUAUUCAUGACCAUUAAAUAUACCAACAAUCAUCACUGUGAGUUUUGGGCGUCGUUAGUGAAGGGUUGGUAGUGAUGGGCAUCCCCUUCACCAAUGGACCUGGAACCGGCGGUGAUGGCUAUUAUAAAAAAGGGGACACCACCCAGCGUACCCCACGACCCGGCCGGCCGCACCUCCCAUCAUCCCCGCCAGCCGCCCUUCCUUUUCGCCGGCCGAGCAUGGUCCCGGCCUUUGUCCCUACCACCUCGCCUCCACCGCGACCCCCCGCCGAUGCCCUCGUGCCUGGCCCCCCUCAUCUUGCCGGCCACCCUCCCGAUGCGUCCACUGGGGCCCUCGCACCACCAACCGCCCUUGCUUAGAGAGGGAGAGAGAGGAGGGAGGUGAGGCCACGCACCUCGUCCUACACCGCCGCUGUUUCUCCUCGGCCCACCGCGCCUCACCCCACACCACAGCCGCGCCUUGCCAUCUUACCGGCUGUGACGCCUCAUCUCACCGGCCACCGUUCCUCACCCCCACUUCGGUCGUCGCCGCUCCUUGCCCUACCGCUGCUCUUUGCCGCUGCGAAUGAGCGCCGAGUGGAGGAGGAGGGAUGGGGCAGGAGGAGGGCAAGAUCCGGGAGGAAGGGAGAGAUCUCGGGAGGUGGAGAUGGAAGGAUAUGGCGGAAGGGAGAGAUCCAGAGGGAGAGAGCAGGGGAGAGAGGGGGGCGUGUGGGGAGAGAGCGCGUGUGGGGUGGGGCCGGGCUGGUGGGAUGGAAGGGAGAGGGGCUAGACGGGCGCAGUGCAUUCAACUGGAUGAAGUAAAUAUUUUGGAUUCGAGACCCCAGCUUUAUUAUCACCGCUGGUCCGUAGUACCAUCCGGUGCCUGCUCGUAAUUUAAUUUGAAUCUGCGGUGAUGUUUUAUUAUCACCAUCGGAUCAUAUAAAAAUCCGGCGGUUAAAAAUCCGCUGGUUUCGAUGAAAACCGACGGUGAUAGGAUGACUGUGAUAGUCUCUUCUCUAGUAGUGGUAUAUUAGUACCGGCUGCCGGAUGGUGUUGCCGACCAGUACUUCUCCGGGGGCGAUUCAGUACUGCUGUUAGCAAAGCUUGUUCUCUAUGAAUUUGGGGAUGGAAAGCUAGUUCUCUAGUUGUGAUUUGUUACAUAUAUAUCUAUGAUAGUCUAGAAAUUGCAUGUCCUUCGUUGACAUAGUUGAAGCUGCUUCAAGAAUUUACUUCGUGCAGUCGUGCAGCAUAUUGGAUUAUCACCUAGACAGGAUACAUAGGUGAAGCAUUGGAUGUGAUUGUGGCCGAUAAUUAUGCAGGACGCUGUUGCAAUCAACCACCAAGAAGUCUGGAGUGAUGGGGUUGCCUCAUCAAUAAUUUUUAUAUAUGGCUGCAGUAUUAUUAAGCCCACGUCAAUAAUUUUUUGUCCGCACCAUAUAUCGAUGGGGUUGCCUCAUCAAUAAUUCGCGCAACCAGACAAGCUGCAGACUCAAUAUGGUACGAAGCUAGUUGCUCAGCCCACAUGCUCUGAUAUAACAUUGACAUCUGCUGAUCUACAGUAUAUAUGACCAGAAAUAUUGUGCCCACCUCAAUAACUUUCUGAAGUAUCGUGGGGAAGAACCUACGCGUACUAUGCCUCGGAACUAACUGACAUAUCGGCCCAGGCGGUCUAGGCCGAUUGGACUGGCUCUUCCUUGUGGCUUCUCACAUCCCCUUCGUCCCCAAGUAAUUUCAGGUGUUCUGUAGUUUUCUUUUCACUUGCAUCUGAGCCUCCUAUAUCAAUAGCUUCGGGAUAAGAAUGCCUCUUGAUAACCUUCCAAAUCCUCGCUUGAUUCACAUUGAUUCCGAAAUCAUCUUGCCAUAUCUUCAGAGACUUAGGUCCUAAGGCAUCAUGGAGGAUUGCUCGCCAAGAAUGAGCACCAUUGGGCUCCUGAGGACCCUAGGCCGAUCAGCCCGGGCUCUAUAGGUCGAUUGGCCCAGGCCCUCUCUGGGCCUGUUGGCCUUCAUCUUUCUUUGAGUCGACGCUUAUUCAGGGCUUUGUCCAAUUAUAGUCCAUUAUAGUCUAAUUUCCUAAAAAACAGAAUGUCCUCCAAAAUACAAUGCAUAUGUGAAAACAACCCAAUUAUUAGGUAUGAUCAAUAGUUUAGGUAUUAAAUUAAUAUUAUUAUUUAAGAUAAACAGGGGUAAAGGGUGUCAUUAAUAACAAGCGCCAACAAGCGUCCUAGCUGUUCAAUAAAUUUUUUCUAGUACCGAUUGGUAACACUAACCGGUGCUAAUAUGUACCCUUUAUUACCGGUUAUUUUACCAGGUACUAAAGGAGACAAGAGCAUCCUAACAUAAGGUUAAUAUCAUCCAUUUCAUGAGUAAAAUACUAUGAUUCAAAAAUAAUUCAAAUCCCUUAAGACAAUACCUAUCAAAUGAGUAAAUUGUAAAUAGAGUAAUCUUGAUCAAACAAUGUCCUAAUGAAACGGAACACUUCUGGUUCGUGUAGAGCACAAUAUAGAAAACAGUAGGGUAGCUGUAUGAUUGACACGUGGUCCAUUAAUUAUUGAGCCAACACUAUGGACAUGUCUUCAUGAGUAGUGUACUAGUCAUAAUACAUGGUAUGCAGUAGGUGGAGGUAUUGACUUAGCCAUGCUAUGAGCACUUAGUUACAACAAACACUUUGCCAUUAUCGAGCAUCCCAAAUCACUACAAAAUCCAUAGUUUACCAUAUACUACAAAAUCUGAGUUAAAAUAAGAGCAUACACGGAAGAGUCCGAAUGCACGGCACAUUGAAUUACUAGACAAAAUUUAUGGGACAAGGUUUUGGGUAACCGCAUGAAAAAUAUUGGAUUUUACUGAACACUUAGUUACAAUUACCAUGCCCGUGAGCACUUAGUCACCACAAACAUUUAACCACUUUAGAUCAUCCUGAAUCCCUAUAAAUUCUAUACCUUACACCGUACCAUGAAAACGACAAGAACAGAGACAGAUGCGGUGAAAAUCUCCAGAGCAAGCCUGAAAUUAAAAUAAGAGGAGGCAGUCACUAUCGACAGGACACGGAGAUUGCUAGCCAUGACAGAGGAAGACAUGAUAUGAUAUUCACCUCUGAAAUGCAGCGUAGACUAAAUGAAGCACAAUUGCAAGUGAGUGUGGCAGAUAAUGGACCAUCGAGACCAUCGAAUGGUAUGAAGCAUGAUUAUCACCUAGACAUGAUAUCCUAGACAGGACGGUGAAUUGUAAAAAGAGUAAUCUUGAUCAAAGAAUGUCCUAAUGAAACGGAACAUUUUUGGUACGUGUAGAGCAAAAUAUAGAAAACAGUAGAGUAGUUGUACGAUUGAAACUGCAUCCAUCGACGUGGUGCAUGAAUUGUUGAGCCAACACUGUGGACAUGUCUUCAUGAACACCAUCUAGUGAGGACAGCAUGCAGAAAAAUAUAAAAACAUGUCAUAGGGAGGCAGACCAAUCUUGCGAGGUAGACGAAACGUGAUACACGAUCUGCCUACCUUGUCGUGUGGAUACCCCAAGUGAAGAUGUCAUAGAGGUGCAGACCAAGCUAGCAAGGAGGUAGAUGAAACGUGAUACACGGCCUGCCUACCUUGCCGUGGAUAUUAGUCCUGAUAUCAUUCUAUUGUUCAAGGAAUAACACUCAAUGCUGCUGCUGCUGCUGACCUGGCUCCAUAAAGUUAUAUUCCUCUAGCCGCUUGCACUAACUUUAUCUGAAGUAUUAUUCUCUCUGCACUGUAUAUAUGGUUACGGAGUUUGCUGGAGUAUCCGGGGGGAAGAACCUACAUAAUAUGUCUUGGAACUAACUGACAUUGAUUCACAGACAAGGUGCUGUUGUUGACAUGGUACAGUAAAUAAUAUAGUUUACCAUAUACCGUAUACCAUUAUAUGUUAGCUAAAAUAAGAGCAUAACAUGUCGCAGGAGUCCAAAAGCACCGGUUGAGGACCAGGUACAUUAAAUUACUAGAAAACAAAAGGGGACAAGGUUUAGGUAGCCACAUGAAAAACAUUUGAAUUUACUGUACCAUGAACACUUAGUUACCAUGCCGGGAGCACCUAGUUAACACUAACAUUUAGCCACUUUAGAUCAUCCCGAAACACCAAUGACCCUCAAUAGCGACAAAUUUUGGUUUAAAUGCCGUCACCAAUGAUCCUCAAUAGUGACGUGUUUAGGUUUAAAUCCCAUCACUAAUAACCCUUGGUAGUGACGUGUUUUGGUUUAAAUCUCAUCACCACUGAUCCUCACUAGUGACGUGUUUUUAGCAACACACGUUAUGAAUGACUUGUCAUUGGUGACAUGUUAAACGCGUUAUCUCAAUGGCAAAUCAAUGGUGACGUGUUUAAAAAAACAUGUCACUGUGAGAGUUAUUGGUGAAGGGUAAUUAAAAUGCAUCACUAAUUUUGUAGCAUUAGUUAUGAUAUAAUUUUGUAACGCAAAAAUCUACCAUAGUAAUGAGGUUUAGAGCCAUCACUAAUGUGGGUUUCUUAUCGUAGUGAUGCAAGCUCUACAAGGUGCUGUUGUUGCCAUUUUAAAGCAUCCCAAAUGACUACAAGAGUCCGGUUGAGGACUAAACAAAUUGAAUUACUAGAACCAAAUGUAUGUCCAGAACAAAGAAAGGGGUCAAGGUUUGGGUAACCGCAUUAAAAACAUUGAAUUUUACUGUACCAUGAACACUUAGUUACCAUUACCAUGCCUUGAGCACCUAGUUACCACAAACAUUAAUUUAGCCACUUUAGAGGUUCCACAAUCACUAUAAAUAAUAUACCAACACCGUACCAUGAAAACAUCAAGAAGAGAGACGGGUACAUGGACCACCAUCAAGUGAGUAGUGACAGCACGCACAAGAAUACCCGGAACCUUUUAGCUUGUCUGUAGUGAUCUGUUUUCUUCGCCACAAAUAAUGAAAGAGGCUGACCAAGCUAGCAACGAGGUAGAGCAAACGUGAUACACGUAGGUUUCAUUCAAGACAUCCAUGUAAGAUUCAUUCAAAACAUUCAUGGAAAUUUCUUGUAAGUUUUCAUGUAAAUUUCAUUCAAGACAUUUGUUAGAGGUGUUGUAUAUACACUUAACGUACAUAUAUCUAUGAUUUCAUGGUUGUUAGUGAUGGCAGAUGAGGAGCAUGCAAGGUGUUUAAUGGAGCAGAUUAUUGCUAGUGGUAGUGGCUCCAACCUGCCCGUAACGUACACCGACGAAGAGGGCAGCCAGGCGGACAUGUUCCUCAACAUGUCCGGUGAUGGCAAUGAAGAGCCCGAGCAAAACCUUGCCGUGACGGAAGGUUCCAUCGAGGUAUAUAUCAUUUCCAUUAUUUUACCCCAUCUAUAAUUUCAUAUUCAUUAUUACUAUGUGCUAAUUAAUGAAUCUUGAACCGUUAGUCCUCUAGAUCAACGAACCGAAAUAAGCCCCGAGGUCUUACAAAGAUAAUGCAGGGAAGGCUUCACAUCAUGGAAGUCACAGAAGAGGGCACAUCGGUUGCUCCCGAACAUGUGGCAAGAAAGUACGUGAGUCAAACCGGGGCAAUCGUAAGGGACAACAUGCCCAUCAGCAUCAGGGAAUGAAAGAGCAAUAGAAAUGAUCUAUACGCACCCCCGGAUACACAAAAGGAUAUGUUGUGGGCAAAUAUCAAGAAACACUUCACAUUUCCCAAAGGAUAUGUUGAAAAAUAUGUGAAAGCGUGGAUGUUGAAGAAGAUGGCCACCCAAUUCCAGACAUUCAAGAAGAUGUUGGAUGCCAACUUCAUCAAGAAGGGUCGAACUCCGGGUUUCAAUGAGUGGCCAAAGUUAAGGGACCACUGGGAGUCGUUUGUCGAAUACAAGACGAGCGAAGGUGGUGCGAGUAAGGUUCACAUCAAUGUUGCCAAUGCUAGCAAGGAGUACCAUCAUCAUCUAGGGCGACGUGGUUACAGCUCUGCAAUUCCCAGAUGGCGCAAGAUGGAACAAGACCUGAUCGAUCGGGGUAUCGUACCAGCAACUCUUGACUGGAUCGAUUGAAAAAUUGGUAUUAUGCUCAUGAAGGCAAUCUGAGCCAAGAGGAUCCGACAUUGGUCUUCAAUAAAACAAUACGUCAGAAGGUCGGAAGGCUUAUUAGGAACAUUGAAGAUGCUAAAGCUGGGAGGUUCAAGGUGGAUAGAGAGAAUGAUGAACUCACAUUGGCCCUCGGGACUGUCAUCUCUAGCACUUCCAGCUCCAGGACUAUCGUCACCACCGGGACCGUCGCUUCCUGCUCGAUCACAGUCUCCAUCUCCAGCACAUCCUGGUGGUGCGAGCGACGACGACAACAACACCCCUCCCUGCCCACCAUUGCCGGGACUAAGACCCGCAUUGAGUAAGGAACCUGCAACACCACUGAAGAAGUCGCGACCACCACCUUCAAGGCAAGUCAGCAAAAGAAGAAAGCAGAGAAGCCUAAACCCACUGAGAAGCCAGCGACUGAUAUGACCGAUGCGGAAAGAUGGAAGGCACUCAAAGAAGAAUGCAGGGAGUGGUUCAGCGAAGGCGAAGGUGAGAAAGUCGUAUGAAUCGAAUUCAAGGAUAUAUAUGAAGUGAACCAUCAGGAUGCCCUUGAUGUCUCUCUCAUCAGCGCCUAGGUUCUGUAAGUGUAUGUUUAUCUAUAAGUAAAUUUUGGCUCAUAUCAUUAUUUUUUUUGCGUGCGUCACCCUACUAACUUCGUCUUCCAUUUUAUGUAGGAUGCUAAUUCAGACGUGCCGCAUAGAAGCGUACUUCCAUGUUGGAUUCAUGGAUCCAUCCCUAGUUAACCAAAAGCCGAUACGGAAGUAGCUAGAGAAAACGUUGGAGGUGGUGUACAACCUCCUGGACAAACUAAACUACAGAAUAGGGGCAAUAUGUGAGGGUCUUGUAGGAUUCCUAGUGGACGAGGUGAUAAAUCCAUAAGGAGAAUAUCAUUCCAACGGACGAGCAUUAGACACACUGAGCAACACCUAGAUGGGAGGAUCCUAGGAAUGACCUCGACAGAUUUUGGUAUAAAUAGUAAUUGUGUAAAUACUAGUUUGAUUUGUAUAGGAAUAUACUAAGAAUUGUAUAUAUAGUAAUUGUACAAAUACUAGUUUGAUUUGUAUGAAUACUAGAUUGAUUUUAUUAUAAAAAAGUUUUAAGUCGUACGUGCAUGCGCCUACAAAGGCGCGGAUGCCUUUUAAUCCCAGUCGGAAAAACAAACUGGUACUAAAGGGGCUCGUGCCGCACCUGGCAUGACCACCCCUUUAGUCCCGGUUGAACGACCCAGGACUAAAGAUCUCCGCGUCUCAAAAAUUUUAUCUCGGAUGCUUUUUAGAGAGAUUUGAGGCCUAUCAACCAAGACUAAUAUCGAGUUUUCUACCAGUGAAACUAACUAACGUUCACAUGGUUUUGACAUUCACCUGCCAUUUGGUGUAGACAAGGGCACCCUAACAUAUGGUUAAUAUUAUUCUUGAAAGAAAAUCCUUUGAUUCAAAAUACUUCAAACCUAAUAAUACAAUACUUCUCACAUCUGAAAAAUAUGAGACGGCCCGACAGUAUUCUAAUCGACGCAAUAAUAUUUUGAGGGCAGCACUACUACAGCGACCCUCAUUCGUGCCGGUGCUGGGACUCCUAUCACGACCCUGAUACAAAUGAGGGUACAUUAUUGGUGCCAGUGCUAGAACAGCCACGAAUAACUUGCUAAACGUGCUGUUACACUCACUACAGGGACCAAGAAGGUAGAUAAAUUACACGACAUAGCCUUGGUUGCCGUGGAAGCGCCAAGAAGGGAGACAAAUUACAGGGACCACACCAUCAAGUAGAUAGUGACAAUAUGCAAAAGAAUACCCGCGCCUGUUAGCAUGUGAACUGACCACACCACGAAACGUGAUACACGGCAAGCGUACCAAGGCCUUGCUGUGCAGACUAUGCAUGGACAACACAUGGUACCUGACCGCUUUUGGCCUCAGACACAUCGAAAAACUGCAUCGUUCCACGUUGUACAUCCAUUGCUAGUUUAUCUAUAUUACAUAAUAUAUUAUUAGCUAUUUGAAUAGAAUGAACCAAUUAAAAAAUUGCGUUGUAUUUUUAGUACCGGCUGCAGGAUGGUGUUACCAACCAGUACUAAUUGGCCUGUAGGAGUGAUGGUUAUUAGACUUGGUACUGUUGUUAGCAUCAUUAACCUAAUUGUGCGCCGUAUGAAUUUGGGGAUGCAAAGCUAGCUCUCUAUGAAUGUGAGGGAUGGAAAGCUAGUUCUCUAGUAGUAAUUAUAUAUAUGACAGUCAAGAAAUCGAACACUAUGCUGCUACGAGUCACCAUCAUUUCCUUCAUUGACAAUCUGACAUAGGUGAAGCUGCUUCAAUAAUUUCCUUCGCGCAGUCGUGGAGCUUAUUGGAUUAUCACCAGGACGGGACACGGAAAUGGCCAGCAAUGAAGCUGAUUGCCGUCUGAGGAAGACUACAUACUUACCUAUGAAAUGAAGCGAUUGCAUAGACUAAUGAAGCAUUGCAUAUUUGCAUGUGAGUGUGGCAGAUAAUUCUGCAGGACAUGAUUGCAAUCCACGCACCAUCGAGAAGACUGGGGCGAUGGGGUUGCCUCAUCAAUAAUCACGUGGAUGCAUGCAUGCAUGUUCCCGCAACCGGACAAGGGUCUGAUAUAUGGCUAUAGUAUUACUGAGCCCACAUCAAUAAUUUCCACUGGUGUAUCGUGUGGGAAGAAUCAACAUACUACACCUCGAGUUCUUGGAACUAACUGACGUUCACAUGCAACCUCCACAAGGUGCUGUAUGCUUUUGACAUUCACCUGCCAGUUCGUGUAGAGAAGGACACCCUAACGUAUAGUUAAUAUUAUCCAUUUCAUGAGUAAAAUACUGUGAUUCAAAAAUACUUCAAAUCCCUUGAGACAAUACUUCUCACUUGACUAACCACUAACCAACCCCGAAACCCUAACUCAACUCCGAACCCUAACCCCUAACGGCAUAACCACUCCGUUUUGCCGGCGAGAUGGAGGAACUGGCUGGAAGGUAGAGAGGGCAGCGGUCCAGGGUUGAAAACGACGGGCGAGCGCAGUAACAUGUGGAGGAGGAAGUGCCACGUAUUCGUUCACCGCUAUUGGGCAGCGACACACGACACGCCCAAUAAGAUCUUCGCACGGUAGAAGGACGUCAUGUAUUCAAUAAUGUUAUUGGUCCCCCAUGUGCAGAAGGGCGCGCGCGUAUGGAAUAACAAGUAGGGACACUGCAACUAAUCUACUCUGCUCGUCCAGUCCCUAGCCUAUAAAUAGAUGCCAUGCUAGCUCUUGUUGUGCUCACAAUUAAUCCGAUUACACACGAGCUUCUCUCCCUGGCCAAGACACAACCAUAGUAUGAUGAAGAACAUGGCACUAGCCGGCAAUGGUAUGAAGAAGUUAAUCCUCGCUGUUCUCUUACUGUGUCUAGUUAUAGGGCAGAUACAAGUGGAAGCUAAGAGCUGCUGCCCAUCCACCACUGCAAGAAAUGUCUACAAUACCUGCCGUUUCACGGGUACAUCCCGUCCAACGUGUGCAAAACUGUCAGGCUGCAAAAUUAUCAGCGGGAACAAAUGCAAGCCCCCUAACGACCACCUCACCCUUGACCCGGACACUGGUAAAUAAUAAAUUUAUCUCACUUGAUUUCUUCGUGAUUUGAGUCGUUAAUGUAUUUUCCAUCUGAUGAAACGUAUUGGUUUUGCAUUGAAGAGGAAGUUAAUGUGCUUAACUUCUGCAAGUUGGGGUGUGCGUCGUCUGUGUGCAACAACAUCAACGCUGGUAAGCAACUUUUGCUCAGACAGAGAAAACAAUAAUCAUUAAUUAGCGGCAGCUAGAAUCCUAUAAUCUAAUAUAUAUAUAUAUAUAUAAUUUUAUCAGCUCUGGGAAAUGAAGAGGCGAACGAUGCCGUUGAGAGUUGCGACCAAGCCUGCUCUAGCUUCUGCAGCGUGCAUGUUGGCAGCGCCACCGUGGUUGCUUAAGCAAAUGCAUCCAACUAGAUCGUCCUUGUGCUGAAUAAUUGGAUAUCGUAUCCACUUAAAGCUGCCUUGUGUAGUACGUCUUUGUGUCUCUCUUUAUAUUCCAAUAAGGUCGGUGAUCUUGAUGCCACACACUCAGAUGUGUGUUCAUCUCCAGAUACUACUCCAUGCUACCUGCCCUUUGUGUUUUGUUCAAUAACUGGGUAUCAUAUCCCAGCCAGUAUGCCGUCUGUUUUGUGUUUGUUUCCUUCUAGUUCCAAAGGGGUCAUCAUGAUGUUACCUUCUUUCAAUAUGGUGCUUUGCAUGACUACUGUUGUAUGGUACCAUCUUGUGGCCAAUAAGUACAUCUUAUCCUAUGACCUUUGCUAUGACCCUUUGCAAAUAAGUAGAAGAUUGUUAUAAGCGUCAAUACUCCGUAUAAAUUGAUCGCUGCUGUGAGUUCCCUUUCAGCUUAUCGUAGGCAUACAUUAUUGCUAGCACGGUAAAGCCAACCAACACGAAUGAUGAAGUAAACGUAGCGGUACUUCUGUAUACCAACACCCUUACUUAAAUGUACCGGUGUCAUUCCCUACUGGCACAUAUAUUCUUAUAUGCUAGCCAGCUUGUAAAAUUAACCAAUUAAAAUAAUUAUUUCAAGAUAGAAAUAACUUAUCGGUUUCUGGAAGCAUGUGUAAUGUGAAUUCAAGGACUCGACGGAAGUUGAAUCACUUCAUCUAUAUUGCUUUCAGUAUUUUGGGUAACUAAAUUUAACAUUUGCACAUACAAAUGUUAAAGUACAAAUGUUAAAUCUAGUUACCCAAGCAGAAUAUGAAGAUAGUUUAUAGUAUAUAUAUACUAUAUAAAUCUAGUUAACAUUUAGUCUAAAUGUUAAAUCUAGUUACCUAAAAUCCUGAAAGCAAAAUGUAUAAAUAUAUAUCUUUUAAGGCAGUAUAAGCUUCGAUUCCUAUUGCUGCUCUGUUAAAUCUCAUCUUUCGUUGUGGCCCAACACUCUAGUAUGCAUGUUGCACCAAGCUUCUUUGAGCCGCUCUGCCCUCUGAUUUUGCUGCGUAGGGGAAUCUUUAUCAGGUUGGGCUACUUCCAGUUGUGCGAUGUAAAGAUUCGUAUUUUCUAGAAGGUAGACAAAAAACUCGCGUUCUCUUAAGGCAACAACCGGAAGAUUCUGCAGCGCACAGGGCAUACCAUUAUUGUAGAAACGACCUUUAGUACCGAUCUCCAACCCCCUUUAAAACUGGUUUUGCAACCGGUACCGUUAUGUCGGUCCUUUAGUACCAGAUCAAAUAAGUACCGGUUGGUAACCAGUAUCAACUUGUUUUGCGGCCAAAAAAAUAAAGAAAAAAACAGUCAGAAGGCUCGCACACACGCGCAUCACAUGAAAUAUGCGUGUGCGGGGUCCAUGGGAUUCGAACCCAUGAAAUCAAGCUGCACGCGACCCUUCGUUACCAUCUCACCUACAUAGCGCAUAUGCUUUCCUGAAGUAACCCGUGGAGGAGGCUUUAGUACCGGGUCAUAACACCACCCGGUACUAAAAAUGACUCUUCAGUACCGGGUCAUAACACCACCUGAUACUAGUAUCGGAUGGUGUAAUGACCCGAUACUAAAAGGCCUCUAGGGACCCUCAAAUUUGAACCCGGUACUAAUGCUAAUAUUAGUAGCGGGUCAAAGUGCAGCCAGAACUAAAGCAUGGGAUGAAAGGUCAUAUUUCUAGUAGUGUAUAGUUGUUGUGAAGGACUGACUUGGCUGUCCUCUCUCUUCUCCAUCCCCUUGGUCUUACGCCGCCGCUCGCACGCGAGCCGGUGCCCAACCAGAGGAGUGAGAGCUAGGGGCAGGUUGGGAGGUGGGGAUAGUGACUGGUGGCCAGGGUGAUGGUUGAUCCUGGUGGGGUUAGGGUUUCAGGGUUUUCGAGCUUCCUAUGGUCGGCGAACCUAGAGGAGAAGCUCAACAUCAGCUGCAACCCGCGAUGGUGGUGGUUUGGCCGGCGCCCGAGGCGAGGCAGCGCGGGAGUGCUGCCGGUGGGUUGGUGUUGGCACUCAUUAUUGACAACUAUUUUGUUCAUAAAAUAACACUCAAACUUGCUGCUGCUGCUGCUGCCAUCGCCACCCUAGCCAUAAUAUAAAGGCAAAAUUUGCUAAAGGACAUGCAAAAUGAUGCUAGUUUGCUGGCGGGCAUCGUUGACCUUGUAAUAUGCUACAAGACACUCUAGUUGUGUAUCAAUUUGCUGAAAGACAUUGCUAUGACUAAAAUAAUGUUUCUGGACUGAGUUGGAGAGAGAGAUGGAGUGAAAUGUCUGUUUUGCCCAUGACCCCACUGGUCAGAUCCUUCUUCUUCCACCCUCCUUUGUUCUUUCUUCAACCAUUACCCAGCUCCAGCGUGUUGCAGAUCUACGAGGGUGGCGGCCUGGGGCGAGGGGCAUCGCUCGCCCUUGGAGGAGCGCUGCGAGCGACGGCGCGGGGGCGGCAACAGCGCGUCAGAACCUGACUGUUCGUUAGCUCCUCUCGCUGCUGGGGAAGAAGGAGGGGGAUGGGCCAUGGACGGGGUUCCCUUGAAAACCUCAGCGUCGAGCUCGGGCGGCUACGCGCAGGCAGCACUAGGCUGCUUCACGGGGAGGGGGCGCGGCCAAUCAUUGGCACCCCACUGGUCCAAUGCUGAUGAAGAUGGUGCCAGCGUCGUGUGAGGACAUCUCAUCUCCUCGAGUUCCAUGGCCAGCACAGGUGAGCUGCCGCUACCACAAAACAGAGGUUUCGUGAGAGUCAAAAAACCUUAUGAAAAUAGCUAAAACCAUCAUGAAAAUAAUCCGUGACAUGACACUCUCACGAAAAUCCUCUCACAAAUAUGGUGCCAUGAAAAUACCAUUUUCAUGAGAGUGAACUGUCAUGAUUUUAUAAGCGUCAAUACUCGGUAUAAAUUGACUACUGCUGUGAGUUCCCUUUCAGCUUAUCGUAGGCAUACAUUAUUGCUAGCACGGUAAAGAGAACCAACACGAAUGAUGAAGUAAACGUAGCGGAACUUUUGUAUACCAACACCCUUACGUACCGGUGUCAUUCCCCACUGCCACAUAUAUUCUUAUAUGCUAACCAGCUUUGAAAAUUAAGCGAUUAAAAUAAUUAUUUCAAGAUAGAAAUAACUUAUCGGCUUCUCGAAGCUUGUGUAAUGUGAAUUCAAGGACUCGAUGGAAGUUGAAUCGCUUCAUCUAGAUUGCUUUCAGGAUUUUGGGUAACUAAAUUUAACAUUUGCACACACAAAUGUUAAUGUACAAAUGUUAAAUCUAGUUACCCAAGCAGAAUAUGAAGAUACUCUAUAGUAUAUAUGUACUAUAUAAAUCUAGUAAACAUUUAGUCUAAAUGUUAAAUCUAGUUACCUAAAAUCCUAAAAGCAAAAUGUAUAAAUAUAUAUCUUUUAAGGCAGUAUAAGCUUCAAUUCUCUGUUAAAUCUCAUCUUUCGUUGUGGCCCAACACUCUAGUAUGCAUGUUGCACCAAGCUUCUUUGAGCCGCUCUGCCCUCUGAUUUUGCUGCGUAGGGGAAUCUUUAUCAGGUUGGGCUACUUCCAGUUGUGCGAUGUAAAGCUUCGUAUCUUUUAGAAGGUAGACAAAAUACCCGCGUUCUGGAAGAUUCUGCAACGUGCACGUUGGCGCUGCCACCGUGGUUGCUUAAGCAAAUGCAUCCAACUGAAUCGUCCUUAAGCUGAAUAAUUGGAUAUGGUAUCCACUGCUUAAAGCUGCCAUGUUUAGUACGUCUUUGUUUUUCUCUCUUUAUAUUCCAAUAAGGUCGGUGAUCUUGAUGCCACACACUCAGAUGUGUGUUUAUCUCCAGAUACUACUCCAUGCUACCUACCCUUUGUGUUUUGUUCAAUAACUGGGUAUCAUAUCCUAGCCAGUGUGCCAUCUGUUUUGUGUUUGUUUCCUUCUAGUUCCAAAGGGGUCAUCAUGAUGUUACCUUCUUUUGAGGUGUCUAUGAUGACUUCGUUAAUAUCAAUAUUAACCAAUUCAAUCUGUCUUAACUAUUUGUAAGGGGUAUGAUGUAUGCAUGAUUAUAACAAUGAUUGCGCAUACAAUCGCCGCCAAAGAAACGGUCAAUACCAUUAAGACAUAUUACAGACAAUUCUCAUAAUCUAUAAUGAAUAUACAUAUUCACUACUGCAGAAGACUGUCAUUUGUAUCGGCUCAUACGUGCCAGGGCAAAGGUCACCCUUGCAUUAAGUACAUUUGCACGGUAAAGACAACCAACACGAAUAAUGAAGUAAACAUGCCGGUGCUUUUGUACACCAACACGCUUACUUAAAUGUACUGGUGUCAUUCCUCACCGGUAGCCGGCUUGAAAAUUAACCAAUUAGAACAAUUAUUUAUUGUAUCGGUGUGAUUUUUGACCUAUUGGAAUAUGAAUUUGACCGUUACUGCAUUCGUCAAGACUCAAGAGAGAAAUAACUGAUCGGCUUCUUAGAGCGUGUGCAAUGUGAAAUCAAGGACUGGAUGGAAGUUGAAGCGCUAGCACUAGUAGAGAAACGACUUUCCAUCCACCCCCUUUUGUCCCGGUUUAAAGUUGGCUCGGGAUAAAAGGUUCACCAACCGGGACUAAAACUCAGUCACUGGUGGGAGGCUCACCAACCGGAACCUUUUAUCCCGGUUGCAAAGGCUAAUGGGAAAAAAAGACUCUGAGAGGCCUUUUAUCCCGGUUUGAAACACCAACCGGGAUAAAAGACCCCCCUUUUAUCCCGGUUGGUAACACCAACCGAGAUAAAAGGGUCAAGAGCCUUUUAUCCCGGUUGGAAACACCAACCGGGAUAAAAGACCCCCUUUUAUCCCGGUUGGUGUUUCAAACCGGGAUAAAAGGGCCCCCACGAGGUGACUGGAAGGUGACUGGAAGGGGAUUAAAUCGUGGGGGACCCUUUUAUCCCGGUUGGAAACACCAACCGGGAUAAAAGGGGGUCUUUUAUCCCGGUUGGUGUUUCCAACCGGGAUAAAAGGGUCCCCCACGAGUUAAUACAAAAGGAUAGUAUCCCCUACAUAGUCAGAUGUGGUGUGUAGGUGGGAUGGUAAGGAAGCUACGCGCGAGCUCCGGAAUUUUUUUUUUUUUUUUUUGCAGCGUCGGCGCUCUCUACCCUUUUAUCCCGGUUGGUAUUACCAACCGGGAUAAAAGGGGGUCUUUUGUCCCGGUUGAGUGACCCGGGAUAAAAGACCCCCCCUUUUUUCCCCGGUUAGUUUAUCCCGGAUGCAUUUUCGGGAUAAAAGCACCCUACCAACCGGGAUUAAAGCUCACUUCUCUACCAGUGUAGCUUCAUCUUCCGCUGCAAGUUAAUUGCUUGGAUAAGAAGUUGUAGCCGCUGCAAGUUAUAAAUAGUCCCGCUGAUGCUGUGCUCCGAAGUCUAUACUAUAUAUGCGGAAACUAGAUUGCUUUCAGGAUUUUGGGUAACUAAAUUUAACAUUUGUACAUAAAAAUGUUAGUUUACGAAUGUUAAAUCUAGUUACCCAAGCAGAACAAGAAGAUAGUAUAUAGUAUAUACUAUAUAAAUCAAGUUAACAAUUAGUCUAAAUGUUAUAUCUACUUACCCAAAAUAUUGAAAGCAAAGAAAGAAUAAGUAUAUAUCUUUUGUUGGAAAAUUGGUCCACGGAGAGGCCCAUUUAGGCCUCGUUCGUUUCACCGGGAUGGGAUUCCAGUCAGGAUUACUUCCAAGUUCGGUUUGAGUGAUUCCACCCGUGUCACUCAAUCCGGCUAGGAUUCAUUCUAUGGGUGAGGAGGUAUGGUUUCAAUCCAGGCCAUCUAAUGUAGAAGGAUUCCAAUCCAGGCCGGUUUUCGUUCCAGGCCAGACUAAAACGAACAACACUUUCAAUGCAAGUCUGGUUUCAAACCGGGCCAUUUCAAACCACCCGGAAUGGACCUCGUUCCAGGCCAAUCCGGUGAAAACAAAUGAGGCCUUAAUGGAAUCCCAAAGCAAGAGUUCAGUGGCAUUCUAUAGUCCCAUGCUGCUAGUUUGAGUUGGUCGAAGCCAACUUAAAUAGGAGAGCUCUCUCACUUCUCUAAAUACGUAACUGAAGGAGAGAAGGGGGCUUGGGUUACACAACGCACGCACGCACGCAUAUUUGCGUUCUUUUCGCGUAACCAACCGCGUGACUUGAAACUUGCGACGUAGCGUGCUGCUAAGUCAAGUUGAUAUAACCUUUUUGCCGUUUGCAUGUAAUCUUUUGACAACGGUCAUUGGAGGUGAUAAGCACGCAGUCAAUACCUUAAUCUUGAGUUAAUAGGGUGGUUACUACUGCCAAUUAGUGGGGCAAUUUUGUAGGGGAAACGGUUAGCAGAGGGCUACCGUCUUCUCUAUAAGAAGUUCUGGAGACGUCCAGGAACACACAUGUACAUGUGAGAGACCCACAAAUUCCUUCCCUUCUCCCUUUUCCAUGUGGUGAAGUGUGCUGUGGUACUGAGCUGCUUGAUCUCGCCGCUCUUCUCCUUGGCAUGCACCGAGGAGGAGGGUGAGCGGUAUCUCCGAGCUAUUGCCGUCAGGAAGCCUGCACGAGGGACAACAAAAAGUUUUUGGGUAGCGCAACUGCCAGCACAACUCUCCCUCCGCCUCUUCUUCACGGUUGAUGGCCACCACAAGCAUAAACCUCGCCUUCGCAUCCACGCAAAAGGGUCGCUGGGGUGCCUUCUUGCAUCGCUUCUCAGCCUCCUUGACUUGCGGCCAGCCAAGAACUGCGCCACCACCUCGGGUGCACGCCACCACUCCAGGGCUGCUACCCCAUGCCUGCGGCCGCCGCCGGCCACCACGCGUGUGCAACCGCGUCGCACCGCUUCCUUGCUUUGUGCCACCACUGCUGCUGUACCACCAGCUCCACCACCUUGGGCUGGUCGCCAGAGUGACUGAUAACUUAUUAUCUGUAACUACUAUUAACUCAGGGAUACAUGCGUCUUUUGCUUCUCCUACUAAUAUGUCCUAAAAUAUCUAGGAUGCCUUAUAUUUCUGGACAGAGGAAGUAUUUGAAUAAAAUGAACCAAUUUAAAAAAAUGUGUUGUACACUACUACAGAAAGACCUAUCAGUGUCAAACCCAAAAAUGUUGUCACCGCCAGUUUUGGGCAUCAUUGGUGAAAGGUUGGCGGUGAUGGGCUUUCCCUUCAACAACGGCACUGGAGCCGACGGUGAUUGACAUUAGAAAACAAAAAAGGGGACCCUACCUAGCCACCCCUGCAACCCGGCCGGCCGUGCCUCCCCUCAUCCCCACCACCUCGCCUCCCCAUGACCCCCCGCCGGCGCCCUUGCGCCUAGCCCCCUCAACUGCCCAGCCGGCCACCCUCAUCACGAGAGAGAGGUGCAUGUUGUAUAAUUGCGUGAAUUUUUUAAUGUUUAAUUUCAUGUAAGUUCCGUGUAAUAAAUUGUACAAGUUUUAUUGUAUAUAUGAAUUCCAUAUAUAUAUAUAUAUAUUUAUAAUUUAAUGUAUGGUUUCAUGUGUAUAUUUCAAUCAUGUGUAUAUUUAGUAGAUUGCCGAUUUUCUUUUUCUACUAGACAAGGGUUGAUGUAUAAUUACGUGUAUAUGUUUAUUGUACGGGCAAUUAGGACAAGUUUUGUAUAAAUUUCUUUUAUUUGAUGGUUGUUGUAUGGUUUCAUGUAUAUACAUUUAUUGUACUACUUUAGACAAUUUUUAAUUUAAUGUUUCUAUGAUUAGAUGUGUGUAUAACUAAUUGUAUUAUUAGUUAAGAUGGGAGCUAAAGAGGAUGAAAGGUAUAUAAUGGAGCAGAUUAUUGCUAGCUCAAACGUUGCAAGAACCUACACCGAGGGUGAGGGUAGCUAGGUGGACAUGUACCUCAACAUGUCCAGUGAUGGCAAUGACGAUGAGGAGCACGAGCAUGACAUCUAUGAUAAUGCGGAACAAGACAUUGCAGAAUUGGAAGGUUCUAAUGAGGUGUGCUUCAUGUUGACAAUCUAGUUGGCUUUUUUUCGUUGGUCACACCUUAGUUACCAUAGAACUUCGUCUCGGGAGAAGAUUGGUGGUGGUAUGGUGAUUGGAAUUUUAUUUCCACGAAAUCUGAUUUCCAUCGAAUCAUAUCCCUUGUAUUUAUCUUCUUUUUAUUUGUGAGAGCAUCUUCUUUAUGCUUGCAAAACAAUUCAAGUGCACAUACUACCCCUAGGGUGACGAUUGGGAGUAGAAAUAAUUGCCAACAAAACAACACCACAUCCUAAGAUUCUUAACUUGUGGCAUAAUUAGUCUAGUAAAAAGAAAGAUAAAAACCUAAUGGGUGUAUGUGAGUGCAAUGUGUAUAUGCAUAUGAGUGGAAGGCAUAUAAGCAAAGACAAUAUUUACACAUAGUUCUAAACACCAUGUUUACAGCUAGGUUGCUGAAUUUCUCCAUAGCCAUAGAGAUUAAUUAACCAAGGUCAAAACACGAUGUCUAUCCCAAGAUCAGUAAUUAUUUAUAGCACAAGAAAAAGAAAGCGCAUUGCAAAGUUUAUAAACCAACCAAUACAGCAUGAAAACAAGAUGAAUAGCUAGCAAGGUUUAUUAAACUGAAUGAUGACGGUCUGUAAGCAAGUUUAAACACCAUCUUUACACAAGAUUGCAAAUGGAAAAUGCCCAUAUGAAGCACUAACAUGGAUAUGAAAUCAUUCAUCAUAAAGCGUAAAGAACAACCAAGCCAACCAUAUGCAAAGCAUGAAUGGAAUGCAAUGAAGGUGCAAGAGAACAUUUUUGGAUGAACACAUUAUGAUGAUGGCAAAAUGCAAUGCAUGCAGAAAAAAUAAAUAUGAACAUGAAUAUGAUGAUCAGGGGCGGACCCACUAUUGUGGCCUGGGUAUUCCUCGGCAUACCCAAUAUUUUUGGGAAAAUGUUUAGUAGUUUUUAAUGGCAUAUACAUGUAUAAUAUAGUUUAGGUGUUAAAAUUGAUAUUCACAGCUAUUUUGGGCUCCAAUUCGCGUCCAAACCAACCUGGCCCACAGACCGCACCCGGCCGCCCGGCCCAUCGGCCCAUCUUGUCACUGAUCCUCCCACCACCACACUCAGCCCGUCAGUUAGUCAGGUCCCGAGCUCCUGCCUGACCUAGUCCGCUACCACCGCCAGGCGCCAGGCACAGCUGUACACGCCGCCCCCGUCCACCCACGUCCGCCGCACGGCCGCGUCGCGCCCCCCCCCGGCGCCCGCUGCUGCCAGAACCCAUUAGGCCUCCACCGGCAAGUCCACCCACAGUCCCGCGCGACGCGGCAGCCUCUUGGCUCUCGGCGCUCGCGGCGCGCCAAUGCCUGCGCAGCCCCAGCAGGCGACUGCCCCCCCCCCCCCCGCAUCGGGCCUCGGCCCCUCCCCAGCUCCCCCUCCCCCCUCCACCAGGACUGCCUGCUGGCCCCCACCGCGAGGUAAUCGAAAUGGACUGCUCAAUCUCUCAAUCUGUUGACAUGAUGCACACGGUUGCAAAAAUAGAUGUGUCAAAAUAGAUGUAUUGCCAAUUGCUAUAGAUGCAUAUGGUUGACAUGAAGAAGUCAAAAAUGACAUUUGGUUCCUUGUAGGCAGUCAAAAAUGAAGAAGUCAAACAAUAUUGAUCUGAAAUCAAUGCGGGAAAGGGCUACGAAGACACACGGGUAGAUUCCCUUGUGAACUUUUUAUGUCGUUCGUCUAAAUAUAUUUUUGCAAUGGGCAUACCCUACUCUGAAAUCCUGGGUCCGCCACUGAUGAUGAUGGUCUAAACAUAAAACAAGCCUAGAUUAAUUAGCUACAACUGAAAUUAAGCAAAGGUUAAUGUCAUUGACCCUAGCUCUAUCCUAGCUUUUACUAAAGUCCCGGCACAUAUAGUGGUUGGGCCCACUCUCUCUACUUCCCUCUCUGCUGCAUGCACACACACGAGCAACUGGAGGCCCAACAAAGCCCAGAAGGGUUCGGCCGAACCCGUCCGAUCCAGUCUGAGCGCCGCUCCCUCCCAGCCUUCGCGCAGAUGCUCCUCCAACGUUCCUUGACCCCUCCCUCAGUGUCCCAUUGGGUUUAACAUUGUAGGAGAGGAGUCCCUUUUUUAAAAUCUCAACCACCUCCUCUCCUCAUUCACUCCACUCUCAUCUCCAUCAAACUCACCAAGAUCCACAUCGGAAAUACCUGCUUACCACCAUGGCUGGCAAAGCCCUCGUCCCUUUCACCAACUUGGGCUUGACCAUUGAUCUCGAUGGGAAAAUCACUCCAGCAAAUGUCAUUGUCCCUGUCGGCGAUCUGGCGAUGGAGGAGGUCCAGGCACUAGAGGUCGAGCCCCUAGCCAUCAUACCGCCCAAGGGGUAAAGCAGGAGCAUGACAGGCGCUGCUAGGGGUUCAGCCGAACUCCCAGUUCAGCCAAACGAGGACGGCGUCGCCUCGGCCUCCCGCUCGACUGCAUGCUUCCCCUUGCCAAGGAGGACUCCAGAACAGCGGGCGCGUGCGUCAAGUCCCUACAAAAGGCUGAAAUACAAUGAAUAUCCAGGGUCACCCUUGAAGAUGGGUGAACGCUACGCCGGGUCCUUGUUUGACUAGUACGGCGAUGCAUUCUGCCACCGCUAUGUCGUUGUCGAGAUUAGCGGAUCAAGACUUAGACUAGUAAAUUUCUUUUAUGCGCGUAAGGCUUCAGAUGGUGGCGUGGGAGACAUGGGUUUUAUACUAGUUCGGGCAAUGGAAUACCCUACGUCCAGUGUCUGGAGCUGCUUGUGUUGCCCACGCGGGGUUCUGUAGUAGGGGUUACAGGUGUGCGAGAGAGGGAGCUAAUCCCAGGUCUCUUAGGCGUGUUCCGGUCCUCUAGAUGGGAGAAGUGUGUUCUGUUUGCUUGGGAGUAUCGGUUGUGUCUGAGUUGUCUCCGGAGCCUCCUCCCGUCUCAGGUCCCCGAUUCUCCUUUCAUAGCACAAGGAGACCAUCGGGGUUACAGACGAGACCGAGCGUGGGGAGGAGUAAAGAGAUAAACAUAGCUAGGUAAAAAUACAACAAGAAAGGGGGGAACCAAGUUUCUAGGUCACCGGCGUCCUCGCCGGCCUUCGACUUCCGCCGGCGCAUUUGUCGGAGGAGGGUGGCCGCCAUCGCGUUCUGUCGAUGGCUUCCUCGGUGACUGUAGCCACCGGGCGUGAUGAUGGCAUUUCGUCGUGACCCUUUGUCUGUUGGGGGAGGCGGCGGAUCCUGCCAUUCUGCUGACGGCUCGCGGAGUGCGAACGUCGCAUCCCUGCCGCUGGGCACGCGGGGCGCGAGAACGUGCGAGGCUUCCCCCUACCCCAGGCGGCGCAGGCCAUGAGUGCCCUGUGGCAAAUCGGAGGAGGCCGCAGCUACUGUAGCUUGUACUGUGCAGCCACGUAUGGGUACUUGUGGCAGGUUGCGUGGUGGAUGCGGAUAUCCUUCUCCCUGACAGAUCUGCGGCGCAUUUAUGGCGAGAUCGACAUGGGGACCCACAAGACCCGCGCCCAAGGCGGAUACUUGUCUGGAGGGCCCGGGUUAGCCUGACCCCCUACGCUUGGGGUCGGGCGAGGCGGAGACUUGCGGCGGGGCGUCGGACGCUCCCGACACUAGACCUGCGGUCGCGCAAGGCGGAGCUUGGUCUUCCGGGGGUCGGGGGUGCCGGACCCCAGGAUGCGGGGUCGGGCGAGGUGGAGCGUAAUUCUUGCCUCCCAUGUUGGGCCGAUGGCAGUCUUUGUUACCUCUAGUGGGCUUGGGCCUUUAUGUUUUGUUGUUUCCAUGGGCUUCGAGAGGUCGUUAAUAUUUCCCCCCAACAGUAGCCCCCGAGCCUGUGGUGGAGUGGGGGCGCUCCUCCGGAGGCUACUAUCAUCGCCCCUAGGGAAUCCUCGCAGUUGAUCCGGGAUAGGAGGUGUUGUUUGCACGGCUUGACCGAGGGGGUCGAUUAGGCGACGCAUCCUGUGAGCGACUCGGUGCGGGAGGGUUUCUUGUUGUUCCCUUCUGUCUGAGAGCCUUAAGUCGAGACCACCUGCGUGGCCUUUGGUUGCAAGGCCAGCCCCCGAGCCCCCGCACGUUGCAGGGGACCGGUCGGAGGCUAGGUCGACUUUUGUUCAUUACCCUCAAGCGUCUGUUCGCUAGGACGGAGGGGGCGAGCCGUGCCAUGCUAUCCUCAUCGGACGAACCAUGGUGCUCAUUGAGUUACUAACGGGUUGAUUCGAGUGGGAUCCCGGUCCCCGUUCGGGGGGGGUCCGGCUUGGGCCAAGCUGGUGGCGUACCCCAGGCUCCGGUCGGCCAGUUCAUAUAGUUCCUGAGUCCGUUCGGUCGGACCGGGGGCUCAUUGCCUUUCUUCGGGGAAAAACCAUGAACUUUGAUGCCGGUCCAGACUCGAAUGUGAGAUUGAGACGCCCGGGGCUGUCGCGUGCCCGGGUGAUGGCCGCUAGCGGACCCGUCUCCUCUCACCCCUCACUCGGGGGUAUCCUGAGGCGGCUGUCGAACCCGUGGCGGGCCAGCCUUCGAACCUCUGGAUCGUAAUGGGCCGUAGGGGCGUUUUCAGCCCCGUAUCCCUUUUUACCUUUUGGUGGGCCUUGGGCCGAAUCAUGGAGGAGGUCGGGCCUUGGGCCGGAUGCGGAGGAUGUCGUGCCUUGGGCCGGAUGUGGGGGACGUCGUGCGUGUCUUCCGGGAGACGAAGUGGUGGAGGGUGCCAACCCGCGAAUCGAGGGAGGAGGGGAUGUUUCUACUGCAGGUCAUGCGCACGGUUUCCGAAAAGGCAGCGGGCGUGACGGGACGUACCUCGCGCCGCAUUUAUUGCGAUGGGGGCGUCUGUUCUGCUUCCCUCGUGCCUUCCCUAUAAAACGAGGACUUCGCCUCGCCGGUUCCGCCCGCCAUCUACCUUCAAGCCUUUUCGCCUCCUCGCGCGCCCUUAGCUUUCCUGUGCCCGCUUCGUCUUCCUCCGCCCAGUGCCGCGCCCUUUCUCCCCAUCCGCCGUCGAGUUCUUCUCCCUCCGGCGAUGGGAUCCUGGGCGCGUUCCCACUUCGGCCCCUCACGCGCCGAAGGCCUAGUGAGGAAAGGCCUCCUUUGCGAGAGGACGGAGACGGAUGAGUGGGGGUUCCCUGAGAUGGAAGAGGUGCCGACUCCGCCCACCGGCUACGUCGUUUCCUUUGCCCACUUCCACGAGAGGGGGUUUGCGACUCCGCCGAGCCUCUUCUUCCGCGGGCUUUUGUAUUACUACGGGCUUGAGCUGCAGCACCUCAACCCCAACGGGAUUCAGCACGUCGCGGCGUUCGUUGCGGUGUGCGAGGGGUUCCUGGGCAUUGAGCCCAACUUCUCGCUGUGGAAGUACUUCUUCACGGUCAGCCUAUACCAGAAGGCCGAGAAGAGGGGAAGCCAGCAGCGGUCGACCCCGGUGCCGAUAGGGUGCGUCGGAAUCCACCUCUGCCAUACUCGCGCCAAGGAGUAUAUCGCGAUGAAGACCGCGGCAUCCCACAAGGGGUGGCACCAGCAAUGGUUCUACGUGAAGAACUACUCCAACCCCCCCUGCCGGAGUUCACCGGCCGCAUUAUUGAAGCGGCGCCGGAGGUGUGGGUGUACGGCCCGGUGGAGAAGGAGAAGAAGCGGAUCACCGGCCUGCUGCAGGCCAUCGAGCACCUGAAGGAGAGGGGACUGACCGGAGCCGGAGUCAUCGGGGCGUACCACGCCCGGCGGGUGGCGCCGCUGAUGCUCCGGGUCCGCUCGCUCGCCGACAUGACCCCCGGUGCUCUCACCGAUGGCACUGUCCUCGCGACGGGUGCUCUCGCUGCCUCCGAGAUCCGGCAGCGGAUCCGGGAGGCGCUGGAGGACAAGGACGCCGAUUACCCGGUGCCCGGCCACCCUCCGAUGCGCCCGGACGAGAAUUUCAUUGAUCUGGUAAGGAUUUUGCGCGCCAGUUUCCCUCUCUUGCGUUUCUUGGUAUGCCGUUCUGACGCGAGGCCCUCUGUGUUUGCAGGGUAGCAUGACCCGGGUCGUCGACUUGCGUCCGCCAGUGUCGGAGGACGCCGAGUGGCGGUAGCAGAACCGUCUCCUUGCCGAGAAGCAAAAGUGACGCAAGGACAAGAGACAGCGAAGAAGAAGAAGAGGGCCGCCAAGGAGUUCCAGCGGCGGCGGUGGGGAUAGGUCGUGUCGGAUGACGAUGACGAUGAGAAGGAGGAGGAGGAUGACGAGGAGGAGGAGGAGUUUAUCCUGUCCCCCCGGUCAGGGGCGCUUGUUAUCCGGGAGCCGCGCUCCCAAGCGGCCAUGGGGGACAAGGCGGGCGAGCUGCCUGCCCGGACCCGAUCCUGCGAAGCUUUGGGGGCGCGCCCCAGGGGUCGGCGCAGAGCGCCCCCCGGGGGUCGACGGAGCCGACCCCCAUCCCUACACCUGCAGCCCAGGAGCAGAGGAGCAGCGACAAGCGGCCGUUGCCAGAUGCCCCGGGGUCGGCGUCCAGCUCAGAGGCGAAGCGCGCGCGCCGCCCUUGCGCUGGGGGAACGUGAGUUGAAUUUCCUUGCGAAUCUCGUUCCUUUCCAUGCAUUGUGUUUGUUUCCGCUGAUGCUGUUUGUUGUCUCACAGCACCGCCCCUCAAGGCCUUGUCCCGCCGUUGGCGCCAAAGAAGGCGUUGCGGUGUUGUCGCCUCUGCGGGGCGGACCGCGGCUCCGCCGGCGGCGAGUGGCGGGGUCACUGGUGAGACCGCGGGUCCUACCGCGGAGGUGGCCCCUGCGGCGGCAACCGGUGGAGUGGUGCCACCGCCGGGCAUGGGACAGGGUCUGGACCCCGCUCCGUCCUCCGCCUCUUCGGCCGACCCCGCGGUGCAGAGUAUCGCUCCUGGGGGCCCUCAGGCCGGGGAGGUGAUUGACCUCGACGCCGACGAGGUGGAGGAGACGGCGGCGGUGGAGACGGGGGCGGUUGCCCCAGCGGCCAUGACGGGGACGACGACGGCGACGGGGGAAGGAGAGUCUACCCCCGCGGCCACGGCGGGGACAGUGGCGACAGAGGAGGCGGGGACGCCCGCCCCGGCGGCUGCGACGGAGGAGGCGGCGGUGACGGAGACGGGGGCUUCCGCCCGGGAAGCCACAGCCGAGGUGGCAGCGGCGACGGAGGUGAAAGUGCCUGUUCUGGAGGCCACGGUGGGGGUGGGGACGCCUGCCUCGUGGCCACGACGGAGGGCGAGGCGGCCCCAGGGACACUUGCUCCGGCACCCGCGUUGGAGGCGGUGGCGCCGACGGGUUGGCCCGUGGCGGCCUCGACGGGGGCGGGGGUGCGUGCGCCGGGACCGUCGGUGAGGCCGGCGACUUCCGGGAUGGUGGUGCCCGUCUUGACGGCGGCGGCGGCGCGGUCGGCCCCCGCCCUUGCCUCUACCACUCCCAUUCCCAAGGCGUGGAGCGGAUCCGUCCUGCGUUGGUCGUCUCGUGACGACCCGCAGAGGCCCCUCUUCACGUUGGAUGAUGCCACAGAAUGGGGCAAGUGGCAGGCGCUGCAGGGCGGACUCGCUAACGUCCGCGCCGCUCUAUCUUCGGCGUUGGGGGAGCUGGACGGCGUCAUCUUCCCCGGUGGCCGGGUAUGGUGCUUUCUCCGUUGGUUAUUUUCUUCCCGUUACUUCGUCCCUGAUGGCACAUUGUUCUGCAGGCCCUCCAAGAAUGUAGCCGGGGAAAAUCUGAUUUCCUUUGGCUCGAGCAGGGGCUCUGGGAGCGCUUCAACUUGGAGUUGCAGCGGACCGGGGAGCUGACCAUGCAAGUCGCCACCGUCUAGCAUGUCAUCGACGAUCUGCGAAGGCACGAGCAGGCGGCACAGGAGGACGCGCGGCGGGCGGAGGCCAAGUUCCAGGUCGUUGCCGAAAGGGCUCGCUGCGACCGCGAGGAGUUCCAGGCCGUUGCCGAAAAGGCCCGCCACGACGCUGAGGAGCUCGCACGGCUGAAGGUGCAGCAUGAAGCUCUUCAGAAGAGCGGCAGAGGGCCUGGCAGGACCGGGACGCCGAGAAGGUCCGGAAGGAGGAGGCUGAGAAGGUGGCGGCCAACCUUGGGGCUGAGGUCAGCCAGCUCCAAGUGCAAGCGCGAGAGCUUCAGGCCUCCGUGGCCCAGGGGCUCGACCAGGAGCGCCAGCUGAAGGCCUAAUCCGAGGGUAUGACUCUGUUUAUUUCUUUGUCUUUGUGAUGUUGCGGUGAUAUUUUAUUUGGCGGGUUCUUCUGGAUGAUCCUUGCAGAUGAGCUCAACUGGCUGAGGGAGGUGCUUGACGCGGAGCGCGCUGAGCACGGCGACCUGCGGGACGCGGUCCGCGUCAUCUGUGACUUCCUUAGUGUGGUCCAGGGGGAGGGGACGAGCUCGCUGGCGGCUCGUGUCCUCGGGACGUACCGCCGGACCAGCGAGAUCGCCCUGGAAGCGCUUCGCACCGGCUUGAGGCAAGCCUUUGGGGUCUUCGGCUCCCACUAUUCCGGCAUCAACUUCGCCGGGAUGAGCGGGGGAUACGCCACCGGCUACUACGAGGCCGAGCUGGAUGAGAUCGACGUGUCGGUGCUCAGCCCGGCGGAGGCCUUGGUGAAGCUCCUCGAGGAUGAGGCCGUCCCGCCCGAAGAUCCCCGGACGAGUUAACUAUAUCGGGCUGGCGCCCCAGAUGUAAAUACGUUAGGGAAAGACUUGUUUUUUGUGAGGGCCGUAGAGGCCUUUUCUAUGAAUUGUCGUAAAAAAGUUUUUGAUUCCCUUUCUUGCUUUUUGGACUUGGAAAGUUUAGAGCACGUUGUCGGGCGUGUCAGUAAGCUUUGAUGAGCGAAGGCACCGUAGCCGCUGGGGCGUCGUUUUUUUUGCAGUCCGAUCAAUCUUGCCUGAACACCGUUCGUGCACUUUCUCCUUUUUAUGCCCAAAAGUUCAGAAAGAGGGUCGGCUCGGAAAGAGAAAGCGUUUUGAGAGGGUGUCAAGUGGCUUAGGUACUUGCGGCAGGUUGCGUGGUGGACGCGGAUAUCCUUCUCCCUGACAGAUCUGCGGCGCAUUUAUGGUGAGAUCAACAUGGGGACCCACAAGACCCGCGCCCAAGGCGGAUACUUGUCUGGAGGGCCCGGGUUAGCCCGACCCCCUACGCUUGGGGUCAGGCGAGGCGGAGACUUGCGGCGGGGGGUUGGACGCUCCUGACCCUAGACCUGCGGUCGGGCGAGGCGGAGCUUGGUCUUCCAGGGGUCGGGGGCGCCUUACCCCGGGAUGCGGGGUCGGGCGAGGCGGAGCGUAAUUCUUGCCUCCCAUGUUGGGCCGACGGCAAUCUUUGUUACCUUGGGUGGGCCUGGGCCUUUAUGUUUUGUUGUUUCCAUGGGCUUCGAGAGGUCGUUAAUAUUUCCCCCCAACACUAUGAGGAGGACUUGUGGGCAGAAAGUCAGCUACCACAAACUUGCCUCUGAAUAUUUGGAGUGCAAACAUUGGAUGGUGGUUGUGGAGAGCCCCAGCCAUACCUCGCACCCGUGGAGAGGUAAUUGUCGGAUUGCUUGGUUCGUCUCUAGAAUGCGACAAGGUCAGGCGCCACCUCUCACUGCUGCCAGUCAGAAGGCCGAGGGGCCAGUUUCAACAUAGUAAUGAGAAUCUCCGAAGGCCAAUAUGGUUAAGCAGCUAACCUCCAUGAUCAUAGACUUACGUUUAGAAAAUAGGAGGCUUAGCGAUGCGUUAACAGAGCAGAAGUUAGAAACAGAAGAACUUAAGGACGACUUCCGUGUCCUCCGCCUUGGUCUUUGUGCUAAGAUAAAGCGCUUGUACAAUGCCACGGGGAAUGACGGUCUCUACGAUGCAGCUCAAUAGACGUGCCCCUUGUAUCCUUUCCUUUAGGCACUUUAGAAUAUGUUUAUUUGUUUUCCUUCAUUUUAAUUUCCAAUAGAUUGUUAGCGCCUCCAAUUUAAUUUCAAUAAAGUGUAGACUCACCGGUCAUCCAACUUGAUGGAGUCCUUUUGUCACCUAGUUGUCUUUGGAAGAAGUAGCUGGGUACAAAAUAAGUGUGGGGGAGAGCCACAGACUCUCUAGAGCUGAAACAAUGCACAACACCCACAAAUAGAGAAAACCACGCUGCACCAGCACGUACGUGAAAGUGGAGCCAGAGCUGGACCCAUAGGGGUUUGGCCAACCCAAGGGGUGGCCCACUCGGGCCAUCUUCAUCCACCGCGUCGGUUUGUGUCUCUUUACCCCUGAUCUCCCUGAUUCAUGAGUUUGAAUGAAUUUUAAAUCUGAUCAACUAAUUCAAACUCAACUAAAAUGAAUCAACUGCUCCACCUGCUCUACAUGUUUUCUAUGGUUGGCUUGCAUAUGUUUUAUUUCAUGCUUAUCAUCUUGAUGCUUGUGAACAAAUAUCUUUAGGACAGCAUGCUCAUCUAAGUAGUUGAUGUGUAUGAUAUGGUUCGAUGAUAUGAUCUUCACUCUUAAUGCUUAAGUGCUUGGGAAAAUCUAUUUGAAAAUUUAAAAGCCUUUUUGAAAUCUCCUCUUUGAUGUGCCAAAGUCCUACCAAAGCCAUAUGAUAAGUUAUCUUGAAAAACCAUUUGCAUAUGUUGCUUGUCUUUGCAUUGAGCUUUGUCAAAUUGGUGUGACCCUUGUCACAAUUCUUUUCAUACUUUCAUGAUCAAGACUCAUGUGCACGCCAUAUACCCCUUGCUAUGCUUCUAUGAGAUGUUAGCAUUGUACCAUCCAUUCAUUCCACAAAAUAAAUGCUCCACCAUAUGUGUUGGUCUCCUUCUAAGAUUAUUGUUACAAAAGAGAUAUGGGCUAUCAAAAAAAAAUAUGAAUGUCCAAGAAAGUUGGACACAUGAAUGUCCAAUAAAAAGAAAAAGAAAGAUAGCCAUGUCCUCAGAAAUAUUUACAAAGGGAGAGAGAUCAUACAAAAAGGAGUUUCCAUUCCAUCCACCACAUCCAUACAUGUGCACAUCUUGAUCUGAUUGUAUGACUUAUUUUUCUCUUUGGAUCUGGUCUUUGACUUUGCAAUAUAUGUGAUGCAAGCAUGCCUUAUCCUUCAUAGCCUACCUUGAGCUCCACAUAUAGCCAUCAUUAGAAGUAGGAUGAAGAAAGGCAAGUCUAAUGCCUUGGUGAGGACAUAUACACAUUGAGUGAUCUGAGAGAAUCAAAUGAGGAGCUAAGCAAGGUUUUGUUUUGAAAACUAAUUGAAAAAUCCCAAGCUACUUGGCAUAAGGAGUUGAGGUGACUUGAUUCAAGACCAUUACAUUCCUCAACUACCCAAGAUGGCAUGAUAGACACUCCAAAGUUCACAAGUGCAGGUAUGGUUUGGAAUAUCUUUUAGGCUCGCUUCAUACCUUUGAAAGUUAUGUUUCACCUUAGUCCUUUCUCGUUCACUCAAGGAUAAGCAAAGGCUAAGUGUGGGGGUGUUGUUGAUGGCUCUUAAGUACAAAAUCUGCGCCAUCAACUCUUGCAUAAACACAUAAAAUAUGAGCAUCAACAAUAGUGGUAGGAGUUAUUACAAACGAAUUCCACAAGUCUUGGUGAAUAUUUGUAUGCAAGCCCAAUAGGAGAGAAAAGACACCUCAAAAGCAAGGAAACACACUCUCAACCAAUCAAGAGCAAGCACAUGGAACCAUGGGCCCACAACCAAAAGGAAAUCGACUACAUUCCAAACACCCUAUACCCACAUGAGAACCCAUAGGGCAGUGACCCAGAGCAAAGGUGAUGCCAGAGUGUAGAUGGUAGUUAGCAUGCCAAAUUUUGAACCGCAAGCGCUCGGAUUAGUUGUUUCUUUUCCCUUAGAGAUUCCCCCAAGGUUUAUCAAUCCAUGGAACAAGGGAUUUGCACGUUUCACUAAGCACUAAUCAAUGUAAUUGAAAGCUUUUCGAAUAAGAUAUGAUUAUGCUAACAAAGGAACUAAGCAAUCUAGAUUAAGAUGGAUAGAGAGUACAGGUUGUGAACAAGAUAGAUUAAACGCUUGUAGAUGCAAUCACCAUGCAUGAAUGAAUUAGAUCUAGGUGUUAUUGUGAGUGGUUGUGAACCAUGCCCAACACUUUCCCACCCGCAACAUUGUCACUACAUGUGGGUACUCAACUAUCGGAACAUAAGAACACAUCAAGAUGAUCAUUCUAGGUAAGCAAAUAAGCAACCCAAAGUAGCGCUGGCCAGCCUUUUCAUGAAAGAGCAUCAUCAAGAUAAGAUUGAUAACAAAAUAGAUCUCAACCAAAGGUUCAGCGAUUACAAAUCAAGAUCUUCGUAUAACCCCGAUGACAAAUAGAGGUAUUACCCCCAUGAUCUUACACAUGUUGAUGAAUUUUAGGGUAAAGGACACCCUGUAGAUCAACUGGACCAAAGAUGAUGAUGAACGGGGGCAGGGAAGGCCCAGGUUGAUCAGCCUGCGCACUUUUGAGCCGAUCAGCUCAGGGGGUUUCCUCCUCCCCUGGUGCUCCUCUUCGCGUGGCCUCCUCUGGAUCCAAUCUUCUCUUCAUUUCUCCUACUUGUGGCGGCAAUGGAUGGUGUUUGCAUGGUGAUUUCCUCUUCUCCCCAACUCUCCCUCCUUGAAGUCCAUGAGGGGGUAUUAAUAGUCUCCAAUAGGCGGCAGCUCUGGGUCAAUGUCAGUGAAAAAAUCCUAGAGAUCAUCGUACACUUCAUGCUGAGGAAACAAGAGGUUGACCGAGCCCUGGGAUAGACCAAGAGGAUCAUCCUAGAGGGUCCCAGGCUAAUCGGUCUAGGCCCUUCCUAGCCCUUCUAGUCCUCUCCUUCCUCGUGCUGGCUUUUCUCGAUGACCCUUGUCCAAAUAUCCAUGAAGCUCUAUAUACAUACCCCCUUGAUUAUGUUGUAUUUCCUGUCAAAAUACAAUGCUCCAAAAUACAACACAUAUGCAAUAAUAGGGUUAUUUCAGGUGCCAAUUGGUGGGUUAGUAUACGAAUAAGCAUGAAAAUACUGUUUAAAUGACACUAAAAGUGUGUCAAUAACGAGCACCAACAAUCCCCCCACGCUUAGAUCUUGCUCGUCCUCGAGCAAGUCUAGCGACUAAAAGAUCUUGAAUUAAACCUGAGCAAGCGAGUCAAGUACCUAGCCUUGAAACAAAAGAUUAGAGGAGCAGCAAAGAUAAUCAAAGUCUGGGUGUUCAAAGAUUUAUCUAAGCAAAGAUUCCCCUACAACUAUUAUUCAGAACCAAGUAACUUCAAAAAUCAACUACACUUAUUUUCUGGCUUUUUUCAGAGGGUUUUUCUUUCAUCAUAAAACAAUCUCCCUGCAACAAAAUUGAAAAAAGAAUUAUUUUCAAGGUGCUUACAUGUCGCUUAAAUGAAUGUUGGCUAUCCUACUUAUUUGCAAGCUCUCAUCUCUCAAAAUUCAUUCAAUUAUAUGGUGGAGUUUGGGUAAGGUUAGCUAGAAUCAACACGUAUAUUAUUGAAUUAAGAAAACCCUCUAACGGUGGCCUACCUUCCGAGCCAUUGAUCAUAAGAAUAUCCACAUAAUGUGAAGUUUUCAAGGAUGAGAAGAUAUAGAAUGGUGGACAUGUGCAAAGGCAAAGAAAUAUAGUGACUCUGAGGCACAAGCAAUGUCCUCGUCGUUGGAUUGCAUAUGGUUGUAAUGAAAAUAUGUUCCUUAAACAAGUCUAUCUUUUCUUUGCACCACUCUUGAUCUUCAUGACAGUAAAAACUCCUCCUUUAUUUCUUUCUCUCUUUUCCUAUUAUUUCUUUUUAUUUGUCUCAAUACUUUUAUUUCUUUAUUUCUUUAUUUUAAUCUCUUCUCUGAACCUCUUCUGAACACCACAUAAUAAAAAUAAGUUUUAGAUCCUUCCAGAGACCUUCCAGGAAUUUGCUACAUGAAAACCGAGGCAAGGAGACCCCAGGCCGAUUGGCCUAGCCACUCCUUUGCUCUCCUCUAGCUCUUCUUUCUGGUGAAGCUUCCUUAUCUUGUAUCUUUCCAAAAAUUUCAUAAAGCUCGACUAGAAACGGAACAGAUCUUCAUAUAAUGAGUUGUGUUCAAGGAAUUGGUAAUAAAAUUGAGAAAUUUGUGGUUCGGGUUUACGAAUUCAGUACAAAAAUAUGAUUGUUCCAAUGAAGAACUCUCAUUACUGAAUAUUGACGAGGCAAGCAUUCAAAGAUGGUAAAAAGGAUAUGAUCAAUUCUCAAAAUUAAAGCAAACCAAGAGAGAGCGAUCCUAAUUCAAUUCAAAGUGUCAAAUGUUGCUUAUGGUGGUAUGAAUAAAUAUUUUUAGGCAUUGGGUAGGAUAAAUAAAAACUCUCAACCUGGUUAAAAGAUAUUGAUCAAUCUUGUUUUUGCAGAGGUUUUAAAUAAAAAAUAAAAUUUUAAAUCACCUCCAAUUCAAAGCCUUACUCAUAAAUCAUAAUCAAAACUGAAGCACUUGAUCAUCAUAAAGCAUGGGUAUUGCAUAAACAAAUCGAUUACUAAAACUCCACAACUACGAUUUAGAAUUCAAGACAAUGCUCAUAAUCUAAAGUUGCAAAGAUAAAAUAAAAGACAACCAAGCCAAGGUAGACACUAAAAACACUUGCACGAUCCUUGAAUUUUAUUCAUGCUUCUUCUCACAAAGACGCUAAAGUAGCCAUGUAGGCCUAAGUCUUCCCAAAAGCUUAAGAAAACUACUACUUUAUCUACUUUUGGUUGAAAUAAAAAGACUAAUCUAGACUCUCACAUGAUUCGACUCGACCAAAUUAGAUCCAAAAACUCAUACGAGCGACGAUCUCCCCCCCCUCACGCUUAAAAUCUACGACCUCCUCGUCGUAGCCAUAUGGAGUACAAGGAAAAGAAGCUUGUAAACGCUCUAAUGACGCUACCCGCACUACUUGCACACGGGAUGGUUGCUGCUUCCUUCGCUUUGUUCUUCCUCAUGUUGCUGCACAUCCCGAAGAGCUUCCUCACGUUCCUCUGCAAGAACUUGAACUCGUCCUCCUGACGGCGAUCAUUAUCUUCUGCCUUUUGAUCCAGAGCUUGUAAGGCUUGCAUGAUGUCAUCGAACGCAUCGAAGAGGUAGUGGAUGUUCUUCCUGCAAGCUGUGGAACAUGUACGAUCAUGCUCCUCCGAUUCUGGCCCGUCGUCUUCUAGAUCCUUCUCUUUGCCCUUGUCUUGACGGUGGCUAUCUUGCUCCUUGCUCGCCUUCUUGCCUUCAGCCCAAUCCCAGUACGUGUUGUCAUCUUCUUCAUCGUCACGGCCUGCAGCACCCUAUGAUCCAUUGUCUAUCUUGUAUGAAAGAAUCAGAAGCUUGUUCUCCUCAGGGUGUCUUGCGCGGUGCAGCGUUUGCAAGUGCAAGACUUGCUAGUUCCUUUUACACAUUGUAAUGUUCAUUGCAUGCUCUAAUUGUUCUACAUUUGUAAUUUCUUGGUGAAGUUUGGUUACUGAUCCACUGUUUGAUUAACUCUUGGGCCCAAACACUGUACUACUUCUGAUUAGAUAUCUGUAUCUUGACUUUGACCAAAAAAAAUAUCCGGCAGUUUUUGCCAUUAAAGUUUCAUAAAUCAUCUUGCAAAAAUCGUACUAUACAACAAGGGACGGUUUAUUAUAAAAUAUACGUUCCCCUUAUCACAUGCCACUUCCACUCAAAAGGCAACGAAUCAGUUUUCAAUCCUGAGUGAGCAAUUUGCUUUUAUUACCGAUGCCUCCUAUUCCCUUGUGCACCAAGUUUAUUUUGGAUAGGGCUGCAAAAAACGACUAACCAGCUCGGAUUCUCCACCUGCAAAACCGCAUCUGCAGCAACCAACCCCACGCGGUGGAAAAAAAAACAAAACCUAGAAACCGGACGGGGGUGGAUGUGGGGCUCGGAGCCCAAGCAAAAAACGGAUCGGGAGCGCCGGAGCAGGCCAUCACCGGAUGUUAGAGAUAGAAAAUGGUUGAAGUUUGGAGUGGAAAUCAAACAAGCCUUGGAGCAAAGGAAAAAAAAAGAUCAAACCACUCAAGCAUUCAUUUGAUUUAGAAAAGAGAACAUUUGUUAAGGUGGGGAGUUGAAAUCAUCUUUUAAUUAGUUCCACGUAUCUGGUAUCAUUACAGUUGGUUUACUUGUGUAAGUAUAAGUAGCUCUGCCGAAGCCUUUGCUCCUAUAAUUUAGUAACUAGUACAAAUGGAUCAAUAGGAAAAUCAAGUUGCAAUCAUUUCUCAGCCAACCAAACCUAUGUAAAUCAAAUUAUUGUCCAUGCCCGGCAUGCACAGGUGCCUGCCAUGCAUGCAUUGUUGCUCCAUUGUAAUAACCAUUAUUGUCCAUCGAUGUUGCAGCGCAUGUGUGCACUGUGCAGACACCAAGCAUCGAGAUUAUGUACUAGUAAGGUGUUGAAAUAAUGGGCCUAGCCCAUAAGUAAUUUCAGAAUUUCAAAUAAAUCUCAAAGGCCCAUGUGGGCAAGAGGUGGAGUGGUGCAAGUCUUUAGUCCCACAUUGCUAGUCGAGGGGAGGGAUGACCAACUUAAAUAUGGAAGUUGUCUCCACUCCUCCAAGCUAUGUGUGAAGGGCGCGGGCGCGAGGCACUUGCGUGAAUGGUCCGCCGAAAUCUGGCCCCCCUUGCGGGGGCGCGGCUUCCUUUUGCCGUUUUAUUUUUUGGUUACUUGGUCGUUAAGUCAUGGAAUCCUAACCGGUUUAGAUCACGAUCGUGAAGGUUUUUGGGAAGCGCUCUGCGCGACUGCUCGAUCGCUUCUUCCGCUUCGUCAAGUUCUUCGUCGACUCCUUCACCACGGCUCGUCUACCUCUUCGUCGCUCGGGCCUCACUCGUCGUCGCGAACAACGUCAGGCUGCUGAUCGUCGUCGCCUGCUGUAUCCGGUAGUCGUCCAGGAGCCGGUUUUCAUCAAGAAAGAAACGUACGGUCUCUUAACUCACAUUAUGUCUUCCAUACUAGCUAUUAUGAUUGUUGCAGUCUGAUAGCUCUGGAUAGUAUGGUAGAAUGUCUGAUUCUAUUUGCAAUGAUAGACUUGUCUAGAUCUUGCGUAGACAUGUCUAGUUUAAUCUGCUGCUUGUUCAUCAUAUUCAUGAUUUAUUUCUGGAUUAAGUUAAAACUAAAAGUGCUUAUAUAUCCAACAUAAGGUACCAAGAACACGUGAAGCACCCGGGGGAGGCUGCUCCACUCCGCAUGCACAGGUGGGCACGGCACCACUACUCGUCUCCUUCAGGCUGAGGAUAAGUGAUGUACGCUGAUCAACAGACCACGACGGAACCAGCAAUAAUAGUUUCAGCCUGCCUCACAGUAAUUAAUAUAUCCUGUAUCCUCCGAGGACCCCUCCCCUUAAUCUUGGCCUAUUGCAUCCAAUAAUGAUAUGUGUGUUUAUCCAAAUUUACGGCACCUUUGGCGGGGGUUCCACCCAGCUCCGCCCUCUCCACCUUCGGUACUCCAUGGGAAACCAUUCCUUUGGAAUCAAGGAAGCUUGAACAGUAUAACGAAUAAAGUUUCAUAUAUCCAUUUGAUUUCACAUGAAAUAAAAUAUUCUGUCAGAACCAAUGGUUUCACUGAAGCUCCAGGCAGCGAGCGAAGGGGUGAGAGAGGAUAACGCUUACUGUGUGUUACCAUCGCGUGCACCAUGGAUGACCAACGCGCAGCCGAGAUGAAACGGCGGACCUAAACAGGUCCUCGCUAUUUUUGCAGGUUCUCGACCAGGCCAGUUCUUUAGGCCAACCUAUCAUUCACGAGUUAAACAUACGGUGGCUGGAGAAAUGUUCUAUUCUUUUAAACAAUACCAGCUGGUUCCUCCGUUUUUAUUCCACCAAUACAAGCACCACCUUGUAACAUUUCCUAUGUUUUUUUUCCUUUCGUCUGUUUUCUCACUACAUGCGUUGCUCUUUCAUGCAUUUUUUUCCAUUCCUGUAUUCCAAAUAGGUCUACAUGAACACAAAAUGAACUAGGGGACAGAAAAAGCCAGUGAAGUUAGUUUUGAGCUUCACCAGCUACUUGCUACAUAAAGUGUGCUAUAGUCGCAGAAAAGCUAAGCUGGAUCAGACGUGGCCGAAACAAUGCCAAAGAGCUAGGUCCCUAGCUGAUGGCAACACAUCAGAUGACUAGCCUGCUUUUCUGUAAUAAUGAUAUUGAGCAAUACACUGCAUGGCUAACCUGCUUUACAAUAAUUGUCAUUUUAUAAUAUUGGUCAUCACGAGAGAUGCACAUUGCAUACACCGGCCCAUCCCUAUAAAUAGCCAAGCCUUUCAGCCAUCUUGGGCACCUCCUCUCAGGGCCUCGUCUCACCAUCAGACAUCUCGUUCCCAGUUAUAAUUUGCGAGGUUAGAUCAGGCUGCGCCAUGGCGUCCGCAACUGCUGUCAAGAUCGUCGCCACCUUCAUGCUGGUGCUGACCAUGGGCCACCUGAUGGCCGAAGCAUCACCGCAGCCUCGGCGUGUGCUUGCAGAAACGGAGCAUGCUGCGGUGUCCGGGAAUCCUGGCCUCCCAGGUGAUGCUAGCGUCAUGCAGGUCCUCGAACCCGCCCUAGUUUCUCGGCUUGCCUGCAAACCAGAGUGCACAGUCCCUUGGCCUCCUUUUGUAUGUAUCUGCUAGAUCCUCUUCCUGGCUCAACGGAACUUCAGGGAAAUGGCUGUGACGUCGGCCAAAGAAUAAAUUGGAUGAACAUAAUAUACCCCGGGUAGUGUAGCUUGGGCUUUUGUUGAGCGUCUGGUGCUAGUUGUAUUUUGUUUGCUCAUGUGGCUUUGCUUCUGGUUGCAUAUUGGCUUUCCUAUCGCUCUCUGUUGCAGCUAUGGUUUCUGCCAGGUGUGUGUUAAUGCGGUUUGUAAGCGGUGCUUGUUCCUACCUUCUGUUUUCAAUAAAAGAAGUCGGAGUCUCCCUCCGACUCUUGUUAUCAGUCAACAAAAAUGAGUUGUAUCAUAUAUAUCUGCGUCUUUUUUCUACGUAUCUUUGGGCUGCUUCAGCUGGAAGUUUAUCGUAAGUACGUGUAUCAGGAUGAUCGUUUGAAUUAAAACGAAAUGAUAAUGUGUGGCUGCUAGAAAUGGAAUGAGCAUCUUACUAUAUUACUAAUUGGAAGCCUCCACGUGAAGCCACCUAGAAAUUCUAGGUGGACGUUUUAAAAAAAACAAAACUCAUAGAAGCCUCCACCACCUAGGAAUCCUAGGUGGACACUCUAAAAAGAGACAAAUCCUAGAAAUUCUAAAAAAAGAAAAAAAUAAUAACAAUAAGAUUUUUUUGCAGUCAAUUACAUAUAUUUUUUUGAGACACCGUGCUGCUAGCUCUUGCCAUUGCGACCAGUAAAGCAAGCAGAUAGUAAGAUGACAUGCGUGUGGAUUGAUUAAAACAAAUUCAGUUAGUUGAUUCUAAAUCGUAUGUAUCCUAAAAGGAAGAUAUGUGCGUGCAUGGUCCCUAGCGAUGACAUGUAGACAUGUAUUGCAAUUUCUUUUUUAAAAAACAUGUCUAUCUCUAAACCAACAAACAGAAAAAAUAUCAAUCUAAAUCUAAAUCUCUUCCGUUCUCACACGCCUAUUAAAGAGAAGACAACCAAUCCCAUCCAUGUUCCAUAGAAUCCAUCUAAAAGCUUGCUCACUGCGGACGGCAUUUGACGGCAAAUCAAUGAAAGAUCAUCCUCUCCAAAUAGCUGGACGGCAUCACCAUCUUUAUCUCACCAACCUACAGAGCUACAACGAUGUUGUAGAGAUCAACUAGGUAACCUACCAAUCACCCUCCCCUUUUCUAUAUGCUCUAAAGAACACGUGGAGUAAUUAUAGGCCUAUAGGAGCCGACUAACCUAGAUUAAUAUGAAAAAUAUUCCAAUAUUAAAAGCAAGCAGAUAGUAAUACUUGCCUUUGACCAUUUUUCUAGAACUGUUAUUCCUAUUGAAUGUUCAAGUGCUACGGCCAGGCAUCGAAUGCCUGCACGGAACCUUCCUAUUGAAUGGUUACUCUAGAGAUCAACGCACCGCGAGACAUUUUUAUGGAAUUUGUUUGAUUCCCCUUCUACAAUUAGAUUAAUUUUUCAUGGCAUAUAUUACUACUAUUAAAUUAUUUGUUUAUUGUCGGGCCUGCUGCAUGUGUGGUAUAUAUGACUUGCUUCUCACCAUUGUUCUCAAACUAUUAUUCCUAUCGAAUCUUUCUAUCGAAAUAUAUUUUAAUUACUUGAUUGUUGUUUGUGUACCAUAACUUCUGUAUAGAAAAAUUCCAUGUUUGUAGAUAAUGUCUUUUGUAUAGAAAAAUAGCCCAAUUAGAUCCAUCACCAUCUUUUGCUUAUGUAGUUGAACAAGUUGCAAUGUUGAACAAAACUUUAAGUGAAAUUAGACCAGGAAAAGGAAUUGUGGAACAUUAAGGCAAGGGUAACCAGAUUGUGGAAUGCAACCUUACUCAGUAGUGGCGAACAAUUAAGUCUUGACAUGAUCCUUAUUGAUCAAAAGGUAUGAUAGAUGUUCACUUUGAUUGCAUUAUUGGUAUAAUUUUUGGUUUACAAAUUAUUAAUGAUGAUGCAAAAUUAGGGAACCAUGAUCCACGGUGUUAUCAAUAAGCCCUAUAUGAAAAAGUUCAAACCAUUGAUUGAAGAAGGCAAUGUGUACAUAAUUGCAAAUGUCAGAAUCACACCAGAACCACAGAAGUAUCGGCCAGUGGAAAAUGACAGGAUAGUCAACUUCUUACCCACAACUGCACUAAAAACGAUCAAAGAUACUGAAGACAUUCCAAAGUAUAGUUUUAACUUCAUGAGCACGGAUAUGCUUUCAGCAAGAAUAAAUGUGGACAUGUACCUAUUAGGUAAAACAUUACUGGCUUUUCAAUUUUUACACUUCCACUCAUUAAAUGACCAUCUAAUAAUAAUACAUAUUUAUGUUUCAUAGAUGUUAUAGGUAUCUCAGCUCACAUUGGACCGAUAGAAGAAACAAGGACAAACUUCGGAUUUACUAAAAUCCGUGAUAUUGUGCUCCUGAUCGAGUAAUUCUCUUUUCUUUUGUAGAAAACAACUACAAAACUUUCAACAUUUACAUGUAUGUUAUAGAACUUCUGUUGAACUAAAAAAUAUCUUCUACAGUGCCCCUACAAAUAAUUAAUUUCGUAGUUGGAUAUUUAAAAUAUUUAUUAUUCACUUUUAAAUUUGUGGCCAUGAAGUUAAAGUUAGAUUUUGGGGAGACAAAGUUGAGGAAGUUGAUGAUAAGACAAAAUCCCAUGUCAUUGCAAUAACAUCUACAACUGUGAGUAAAUUUGGCAGUAAGUCUUCAUUCAAUAUGAGUUAUUCAAUAUUAGUCAUUCAACAAACUAACCUCGUAAGAAAAAUAAAUAAUUGAUGUUUUAUCAGGGUAUUCUCUAUCGUCAACCAAUGCAACAAAACUUUAUGUAGAUCUACCUAUUCCUGAAACUAAGGAUGCACAUGAUAGGUGAGAAAAAUUAGAUAUUGUUUUUCUAUUUUAAUCUAUGUAGCAUGCACUCUAACAUGAUACAUUCUUUCAUAUGAUAAAAAAAUGUUAGUUCAAUUGAAAAUAUUGUCAAAGAGAUUCAUAUUGAGGACCAUCUAAAAGGGACAUUGGAAGACCAAAUGCAGUACAAUAGAAGAACUUUAGAAGAAUUAAAUUUCAUAUUAUUUGAAACAUCAAAUCAGGUAUGGAUUAGUAUGUUCAUUGUACACUAUACUAUUUAAAGACUUACAUACAUAAUGAUGGUAUUGUUCCUACUUUCAGGAUGAGGUAUUUACUAUUGAAGCAACAAUAAAUGAAAUUAAUGCAACAUAUGGUUGGUUGUCACACCCGAUUUUAAGGACAAAAUUGAGUGCAUUAAAUACAUGUGCACCAGGAUCAAGUUACACACAUCCUAUGAGUACCGUCCUUCUUUGGCACAAAGAUAACCGGUGCUCCCCAUGGUGAUGAACUAGGCCGAAUAAACUAUUUUGCUGAUAAUUCCUCUAGUUGUUGUUUCAAUUCUUUUAAUUGUUCAACCAACAUUCUAUAAGGACGUUUGGAGAUAGGUGCAGUACCAGGUAAAAGAUCAAUAGCAAAUUCAAUGUCGCGGUCAGGUGGCAUACCUGGUAAAUCGUCGGGGAACACAUCCGGAUAGUCACACACCACUUUGAUAUCUUCCAAGGAUUUUCCAGCCAACUGAUUAACUGCACAAUCUGCUGCUGAGGGUAGAGUAGCUACAAACUCCACUUUCUCUCCAUCAGGACCUGUUAGCAGAACUGUCCUCUUGGCACACUGAAUCGUUGCAUCAAAAGCGGCUAACCACCUCAUCCCCAGAAUUACAUCGAUUCCACUGGACUCAAGGACGAUAAGAUCAGCCGGAAACUCUAUACCCAUUAUUCUCAGUUUAACUUGUGGACAGAUGUAUUGAGCCUUCAUUGACCCCCCAGGUGAACUCACUAGCAUAUGACGCCUCAUGGUAUGCAUGGGUAAAUUAUGCUUUGCUACAUAAUGACUAGUGACAAAAGAAUGCGAUGCUCCAGAGUCAAAUAAAACUGAUGCGGGGGCAGAGUUGACAAAGAACAUACCAAGCACUACAUCUGGAGCCUCCUUAGCAGUCUCGGCUUCCAUGUGGUUCACCUUGCCACAAACAAAGCUUUGCUGCCCCUGAUUGCCUUGUGGGGUCUGGUUCCCAUUCCUCGGUUGCUGCAUCUGAUUCUGCCGAGGAGCACUGCUGUUCUGCACGGGGGUAGCUGGCCCACCUCUCUUAGGACAAGAGCUGGCAUAGUGACCAACCUCGCCACACUUGAAGCAGGUAGGACCCACUGGAGCAUUGGGCCUUGUUGGAGUGCCAGUAGGGGUCAUCUGGCGGUUCUGCGUAAAGCUUGGGCGCGGAGUCUGCAUAGUCUGCAUCCCUGGAUGCUGGAACUGAGGGCUAGGGCGCUGGAAUGACUGCUGAGCAGGGCGCGGAAAUGAGUGCUGCCAAAAAUUCCCACUCGGGCCCCCUGCGCGGAACGGCGUCCCUUGCUGUGGAGCAAAGCGAGGGCGGGUGUUGCUUCCUGAAGACUACUGGGAAUUGAAUUUCCUCUUCAUCUCCCCGAGCUCGUUCCUCUUGUGUUCCAGGCCAAUUGCCUUGUCUAGCAUCUUCUGGAAACUGGGGAAGGUGUGCGACAUAAGCUGAUAUUGGAGUGGUCCAAUCAACCCAUCCAAGAAUAGCUCCUGCUUCUGCUCAUCAUCAGCAACAUCUUCGGGAGCAUAUCGGGACAACUGGACAAACUUGUCCCUGUACUCUGCCACUGUCAUGUUCCCCUGCUUGAGAGCAAGGAACUCCUUCUUCUUAAGCUUCAUCAAUCCGGAAGGAAUAUGAUGACUUCUGAAGCUAGUCCUGAAUUCAUCCCAGGUGAUGCCAUUAGCAUUGGCAUGGGUGGUGGUGUAAGCAUCCCACCAAUCAGCAGCUGGCCCUUCCAGGCGUCCUGAAGCAUACAGGACCUUCUCCCUGUCAGUACAUUGGGCGAUAUCCAGCAUCUUCUCCACUGUUUUCAGCCAAUCAUCAGCAUCUAAUGGAUCCGGAGAAUGUGAAAACGUCGGGGGCUUGUGGCUCAUGAACUCCCUAUGCCUGUCCCUUGGCGGCGGCUGCUGCUGGUUGUUGUUGUUGUUAUUGUUCAGCUGAGCUUGUAAAGCUGCCACGGUGUUGGUCAGUCCGGCGAGAAGCUGAGUCUGAGCUGCUAGAAACUGCUCCAUCCCUGCAGGUGCUUGUUGGUUCUGUUGCGGAGCGGUGUUGGGAUUGCUGCUGUUGUCCCUGUGGCGUGGCACUGUGGGACGGUCAACUCCUGAUCCGGACCUGGUGUUUACCAUCUGAGCGUUAGAGACAAUGGAUUUAGAUAGAUGUGUGAAAGAAUAACUGAGAAAGAUAAAGCGACCAGAUGUAAAAGUAACACAGAUUCUGUUAGCUCCAUUUAAUUAGGUGUGGUCGUCAGAAGAAGUGUCCAUAAAUUCUGAACAAUUACCAAGUCGUAACUUAUUAAAUUUGUAAACCAACCCAACUGGAAUCAUCUCAAUCGGACUUCUGGAUCUCGAGUUACAAAAUUAACAAGCUGACAGUGUCGGUCGAUAGGUUCAGAUUCUGAGUGCUUUACUAAUUCGCAUACACCUCCCAGACAGAUACACCAAAAAUUCUGAAAAAUUUACAGAUAGUACUCCACGAAAUUCUGAAACUAACCCCACUGGUUUCAUGUCAUUUGGACUUCUGUAGCUAGAGAUAUAAAUAAAAAAGUACUGGCGUGUCAGUUAAUGUCGAGAACAGAAUUGAAUGUCGCUUAGCUUGCGUGAUGGAUAGAUUUAGACAGAUGGUAGAUCAUGAUUAAGGAAGAUUAAAUACUGAUUUAGAACAGAAAUAAAACCCAACUAAGCACUUUAUUUAUUAAGACCAGUAUCGUGUGGCAAUUGCCCCACAUACCGCACUCAUUACAAAAUCCAACUCAAACAUGUAGCACAAAACCAAUCAUCUAAGCACACUUUAACUAACACACUCGAACGACGUCUAACGAUUACAAGAAUUUAAACUAAAACACUCCUAAUUUCCUAGAGGUCUUCUGCGGCGGUGCCGGGCGAGUCGUAGCGGGGACGCUUAGGCGACGGCGACGAAGCGGGAUGAACAGCAAACUCCUGCGGCGGCGGUGCUCCCGUCGCGGCAGCCAUAUUCGCAUCCCUCUCCCACCGGAGUUCCUGAACCUCCUGUUGAAGCUCCUGGAUGUGGUUGUUUGCUUCAUUCAAUGCGGUGAGAGCUGCCGACGUGUACUUGCGGAGGAAGUCUGUAGCCAUGUCAACCCCAUCGUUAGUAGCGAUGAAGGUUCUUGCUUCCCCACUAGCUCGGUAAGGAAGGAACCGAUGGUAAGUGUGCUGCAAUCGCGGCCGUUCCUUGUGGGAGACGACCUCAAGUGCCCUCCUGGCGGCCUCGGCAAUGCCGGAUUCCAUGGUCCUCCUUAUGGUCACAUCAUGGUGAAAAGCCUUCACCUCCCAUCCUCCCUCGUGCUCCUCACGAAGGACAACCUUCACCUCCCAAAAAGUGGGAUAGCGAGGGUGGGUGAACCGGGAGCACUUGUAGAGUGGCCUCAUGCCGUACCCCAAGCGGUGACAAGUCCACCUGAGUAUGUCGGCCAUGUGCACUCCUUGGCCAUAAUCUUCCUUCACCCAUUUGAUCCAUGUCUCGGGCUCGGGAUCUGCUUCGGGCUCAUCAUCCGUCAAGUCGACGACCGGUACGGGCGUCGGGGCUGGUGCAGGAGCGGGCGCCGGUGCUGGCGACGGUGCUGGUGACGGCGUGGUCUCCUGCUCCACGGUCACGGCGUCCCCGUCAGAGUCAUCCCCCGGAUGCUGGAAGAUCUCUUCCUCUUCUUCCUCGUCCCAAGGCUCCAUGGGGGCGUACGACGGCGCGAUGCCAUGACGCGGCGGACGGGUGCUCUUGCGUGCGGUCAACCGGGUGCGAGCCAUCUAACAGAAAGAAAGAAGAAAAUUUUAGAAUAAAAUUUUGAACAAAGCUAGAUAAUAAAAUAGCAAUAAGGAUGAGACAAAUCAAGUUUAAGAAUAAUUAAGUAGAUUUAAAUUAAGAAAGGUAGGAAUGGCUACUAGAUUAUUAUAAUCCUUAAAUACGACCAUUUUCUAACUAGGCUAACGUCCUACAGUCAACACGGCUCUGGUACCACUUUUGUCACACCCGAUUUUAAGGACAAAAUCGAGUGCAUUAAAUACAUGUGCGCCAGGAUCAAGUUACACACAUGUACGACAAUAGUGAAUAGUAAAGCCAGUGCUAAAUCGAAUAAAGAGAGUAUUAACCAUUAUUACAUGACCGAAUGUCUCAAAUAAACCACAAAGUCUAAUUAUUACGCAGCGGAACUCCAAAGAUGACGACGACUCCAUAGGCAGCUGACUGAAGAAACGUACGCCUAGAACUCCUCGAAGUCGUGGAAGUACUCCUCUUCCCAAUUAACUUGGUCUGAACAGCGGUUUUGCAAGGGUGAGUACACUUAUGGUUGGUACUCAACAAGUCGUGGGAAGUAGUGUAGUGUAAGGCUAAUUCAAGGUAUGGCUAAGGCGUAAAUAGCAUUCGCUUUUAAUUAAGUUGGUCAAAUUUUAUUAGCAUUUACUAAGUAUAAGUUCAUACCACCCGAAAUUAAACAUGAACAUAAAGUAAACCACAUGUGCAUGAAAUGAUAACAAAUUAAAUCCAUCUUCCGAUAAUAUUAUCAUGUGAGGGUCCAGGCCGCUCUUAACCGUGAGCACGGCUGAUUGAUCAGUUUAACACUCUGCAGAGGUGGCACAUCUUUACCCACAAGUCGCGUAAAAGUUCAAAAGAACUUUGGACCCAACCAUGCGGUGUUUGCAAGGCACCAUACCACACUUCCGAGGUGUGAUUGCAUAGGGACGCUACGAGGCCUUUACAAAGAUUCAUUAAUCAGUGGUAACCCGCUAAGGUUUCGGUGUCUGGCGUGCACCACCCAUCCCAGGUAAAAUGCAACGACUCAGUCCCCCCCCUUGAAUCAUCACGAGUAAGGUCACCCCAGACUAAGGUUUCUAAUUAAUCAGCCAAGACCAGAGCUAUUUAGUCUUGUGGUAGCACUGUUUUCCUGGGUGGUCGCUCCAUGUUCUGAUUAACAAAUAAUGAUCUUGUCUUAAUGAAAGGUAUAACAGAAAUAAGGCAAGAUUAAGCAUUGUUUUUAGUUAAACCACCAUGUACCAAGUAAGCACUAAGCAUGAGCUACCCAACAUAAAGUAAACCGGUUGGUCAAGGCAAAGGUAAAACAAUCUAGGCCAACCUUAAUUGGGACCCAUCAAUUUAAUCUUAAUAUGUGCACAGCAUAAAUGUUGAGUACGAGAAAGUAAAGGUGUAUAGGACAAAAAGGUAGUGAUCAAGGACACGACUUGCCUUCUUGGCCUUGCUCCUGCUGUUCGUACUCCUCGAAGGCUUGAUCGGCAACUCCCUCGAACUGCGGGGCGUCUACACGCAUCACACGAGCACAUACAAGCAAACAUGGGCAAAAGUAAGAAAACAGUAUACCAAACAUAGUCAAACAGAGAAAACAAGCUUGAAAAGAUGAUCUACGCUUUAAAACGAACACGCGGAUAUAAAGAACGCGAAAAACGGAGUUAAGAUGCAAAAGAUAUGAUUAAAACAAAAUCCAGGGACUUUUCUGUAAGAAAAACAAAACUUUUAGGGCCUAUCCGCGAAAACCGAGGGCUUAUACGUAAUUAUGCGUAUAAACCGAGGGUCUGAUGCGUAAAAACAUCAAACCCGGACGGCGGGUUGAUUUCUGGAAAGGUCAAGGGUUAAACCGAAAAAUGCGAGGGCAGAUCUGUAAAUACUUUCAACGCGAUCUGGACCGCGGGUUGAUUUGCGAAAAAGGCGGGGGCUAAAGUGCAAAAACUGCACGGCGCGGCUCGGUUGACCGGUACGCGAUCUUGAUUGACUCGCGUCCGGCCGUCGGAUUAAGAUCCGACGGUCGCGGUGAUCCGCGACAUCGCGGCGGCGGCGGCGAGCGGCGGCGAGCGGCGGCAAGCGGCGGCGGGUCGCCGGAGUUAGGCAAAAUAGCGCCACGAGGCACGGUUUAACGCGCGGGUUGCACCAAAAAAGAGAGGGGAACACGUCGAUCCCGUUUUGGGGGUUCUUGUCGACGGGGGCUCACCGGCGACGGCGAACGGCGGCGAGGAAGAGGCGGCGGCGCUAGGAGCUCGGGCGGCUAGGGUUUCGGGGAGCUGCGGCGCUGGUUUUGGGCGGAGGAGACUGGGAGGAGGCGGCGGCUUUUAUAGGGCUUGGAGAUAGAGCCGGCGCGGGUUCAAAUCCCCCGGAGGAGUCGGAGCGGAUGGAGUCCGGGGCGGAGACGGCGCGCGGCGGUUGCGGAGUUCUGACCGGAUUCGGCCGGAGGUGGGAGACGAUGGGUGGGGUCCACCCGUCAGUGGCGGAGGGGAGCGGUAGACGGGCCGGCGCGACCGUGGGCUGGCGCGCGCUCGUGGGCUGCGGGGAGCGGGAGAGAAGCGGCGAGCGGGCGCUGGCGGAGCAGGCCGAGCGGAGGUAGAGCUGGGCCGCGGAGAAAAAGGAGGAGGCCGGCGGGCUGCUUCGCAGGCCGGUAAGGAUGAGGCGGCCGGGCCGAAGAAGAAAAAGAAAAGGAGGGACAAGGAGCUUUCGGCCGAGGGAAAAGAAGAAGAAAAAGAAAAGGAAGAAGAAAAGGGAAAAGGUUUUGGAAUUUGAAUUUAAAUCUGAAAUUCAAAAUUUGAUUCAAACUCAAGCAACCAAAAAUUAUGCUCCAGCAUGAAUGCACAAAUAAUUCCUAUGAUGAAUUAAUUGAAUUAAAGAAAAUGAAUUUAAAUGCCUAGAAAUUAAAUAACACCCUAAUUUGAGCAAAUUUUAAUGAAUUUGAAUUAUUGAAAUUUUGGGUGUUACAUUGGUACUACAUCUCAUGUAGUAGAGGCGAUUGUAAGAAGCAACUUGAAAAGAAGUUUGAUCACUACUAUUGCAAUAAAUGUGACAAGAGAGCCGAACCUAAAGCCCAGUAAAUUAUUUAGUAGUUUACAAUCUUAUUAUAAUACUUCUAUUUCUAAUAGGAGAAUAAUAUUUUCAGAUUCAAAUUAAGCUUCAAAUAAGUGAUCCAACAACAAGUGCAACUUGUGUACUUUUGACAAGGAAGCAGAAAUGAUAAUUAAUGAAUGAGCAGAUUCGAUGAUCACCUCAGUUGAUCAUGAUAAUAAGUAGCUACCAAAAUCAAUUCAGGAAAUAUGUGAAGAAACAUUGAUUUCUCAAUUCAGAUUGACCGAGUACAACUUGACAAGUUUUAGACCUGAUUAUACUGUUUCAAAGAUAUUUUUUCCAAAAGAAAAGGGCAGUUCAAGAAUUGGUAUGGAAAGUGUAAAAAAGGUAACACUUUAUUAUUAAUUUUUUAUUGCACUUUUUUCUUUUGAAUCCGUAAUACUUAAUAAUUUUACUAUAUCAAUGAAACAAAUUCUAACCUAAAUUUAUUUUCUUUUUUAUUAUUUGUAGGAAGUAGAAGACAACUCAGACAAAUGCUACACGAUAACUACCGAGAAUGAAGAGGUAGACACUGAUGACUCUUUUACCGAGAAAGUAACAUUCGUAGAAGAAGCCAUAAGGACUGGGGAAAGAUUGGCUAGAAAAGUAUACUCACUUCCAUGUCAGUGUUCAUUCUAUUUACAAUACAUGCAAAAAAAAUAUUAUUCAUGCAAAAUUGCAGGUCUACUAAGCAUUAAAGGAAUAGCGGAUAGUGCAAUAUGUAAUCUGAGCAGCAUGCAUUACAAAGUGCUCUACUGCAAUUAAAUUAAAAAACAUGAUAUAUGUUGAAUUCUUAGACUUUAUUAUUAUACUUUUCUACGUGACAAUUCACAAUUUUUUAGAAAAAAGAAGAUCCCAGAAGAAGUGACCAUGAAAAAAGGUCUAUGACCAGCAAUAAGAAAAAAUGCAAGCAUAGAAACAAAUCCGUAGAAAACAUAGAAAAUAAGGUACUCCAUAAACAAAAGUAUUCUCUUAUAUUUUUAUUAAAUAUUUUUUUAACACUUGACAAGUUCUUUUUUAGGAUCAAUAUAUCAGCAAUUCAGAUGUCAUUGGAGAUGAAACCUUAGUUCAUCCAAAAGGUCAAAAAAAAACAUCUGAAGAAAGGUGUUUGGCUGAAAAGGAAAAGCAAAAAAGUGGUAAUGCAGACAAACACAUGCAGAAAAAUAUAAAAACAUGUCAUAGGGAGGCAGACCAAUCUUGCAAGGAGGUAUAGACGAAACGUGAUACACGACCUGCCUACCUUGUCGUGGAUACCCCAAGAAGAUGUCAUAGAGGUGCAGACCAAGCUAGCAAGGAGGUCGAAACGUGAUACACGGCCUGCCUACCUUGCCGUGGAUAUUAGCCCUGAGAUCAUUCUACUGUUCAAGGAAUAACACUCAAUGCUGCUGCUGCUGCUGACCUGGCUCCAUAAAGUUAUACUCCUCUAGGUGCUUGCACUAACUUUAUCUGAAGUAUUAUUCUCUCUGCACUGUAUAUAUGGUUAUGGAGUUUGCUGGAGUAUCCGGGGCGAAGAACCUACAUAAUACGUCUUGGAACUAAUUGACAUUGAUUCACAGACAAACUCUACAAGGUGCUGUUCUUGCCAUUUUAGAGCAUCCAAAGGACUAUAAAUAACAUAGUUUACCAUAUACCAUAUACCAUAUACCAUAAUAUGUUAGCUAAAAUAAGAGCAUACACAUGUUGCAGGAGUCCAAAAGCACCGGUUGAGGACCAGGUACAUUGAAUUACUAGAAAAAGACAGGGGACAAGGUUUAGGUAACCACAUGAAACAUUUGAAUUUAUUGUACUAUGAACACUUAGUUACCAUGCCAGGAGCACAUAGUUAACACUAACAUUUAGCCACUUUAGAUCAUCCCGAAUCACCAAUGACCCUCAAUAGUGACAAAUUUUGGUUUAAAUGCCAUCACCAAUGAUCCUCAAUAGUGACGUAUUUAGGUUUAAAUCCCGUCACUAAUAACCCUCAAUAGUGACCUGUUUUGGUUUAAAUCUCAUUACCACUGAUCCUCAAUAGUGAUGUGUUUUAGCAAAACAUGUUAUCAAUGACUUGUCAUUGGUGACGUGUUAAAACGCGUUAUCUCAAUGGCAAAUCAUUGGUGACGUGUUAUCUCAAUGUUAUCAAUGUUCUAUUCUUUUCAACAAUACCAGCUCGUUCCUCCGUUUUUAUUCCACCAAUACAAGCACCACCUUGUAACAUUUCCUAUGUUUUUUUUCCUUUUGUCUGUUUUCUCACUACAUGCGUUGCUCUUUCAUGCAUUUUUUUCCAUUCCUGUAUUCCAAAUAGGUCUACAUGAACACAAAAUGAACUAGGGGACAGAAAAAGCCAGUGAAGCCAAUUUUGAGCUUCACCAGCUACUUGCUACAUAAAGUGUGCUAUAGUGACGUGUUUUAGCAAAACAUGUUAUCAAUGACUUGUCAUUGGUGACGUGUUAAAACGCGUUAUCUCACUGGCAAAUCAUUGGUGACGUGUUUUAAAAAAACAUGUCACCGUGAGAGUCAUUGGUGAAGGGUAAUUAAAAUGCGUCACUAAUGUUGUAGCAUUAGUUAUGAUAAUUUAGUAACGCAAAAAUCUACCAUCAGUAUUGAGCUUUAGAGCCAUCGCUAAUGUGGGUUUCUUACAUAGUGAUGCAAGCUCUACAAGGUGCUGUUGCUGCCAUUUUAAAGCAUCCCAUGACUACAUGUUAAUAACAUAGUUUACCAUAUAUCAUAAAAAUAUUAGUUACAAUAAGCACAUACGCAUGUGGAAGAGUCCGAAUGCACCGGUUGAGGACUAAACACAUUGAAUUACUAGAACCAAAUGUAUGUUUAGAACAAAGACAGGGGUCAAGGUUUGGGUAACCGCAUUAAAAACAUUGGAUUUUACUGUACAUGAACACUUAGUUACCAUUACCAUGCCUUGAGCACCUAGUUACAACAAACAUUAAUUUAGCCACUUUAGAGCUUCCAGAAUCGCUAUAAAUAAUAUACCUACGCCGUACCAUGAAAACAUCAAGAAGAGAGACGGAUACAUGGACCACCAUCAAGCGAGUAGUGACAGCACGCACAAGAAUACCCGGAACCUGUUAGCUUGUCUGUAGUGAUCUGUUUUCUUCCCCAUAAAAUCCAUGAGUAUUGCCACAAAUAAUGAAAGAGGCUGACCAAGCUAGCAAGGAGGUAGAGCAAACGUGAUACACGGCCUGCCAAGAUUGCCCUGGAUACGCCAAUAAGAGCGACAGAUACAUGGAUCACACCAAUAUGGUGAAACGUAUAUUCAUCACACAAGCAAAGCUGGUCAGUUUAUCCAUGGUCAAAUUGUGGUCUUUGUUUUCACUUGAGAGCUAAUUGAGGCACUAUAAUAUGGGCAGGCCUAUCUUCAACAGACAUGACAGCUACAGGGAACUUGACAUAAUUUGCUGGGCCGCCUGUGCACAAUUAUUUGUUUUAUUGUCCUUGCAUAGAAUGCUAAAAUACUCUUUACAAAAUGUUGGAUCUAAUAUUUGAAAUAUAGAGUAGUAAUCAUAUAUUGAUCAACAACUUGAAAUUAUCUGUACAUUCUCGGUGAAGCUGUUGAACUAAUUUUUGCAAAUUAUUAAUUCAUCUCAUUACGUAAAGAAAAAAGUAAGUGGAUAAGAUAUUUCGUGGACCACAUCACUGCAAACAUGUCAUGGAGAGACAGACCAAGGAGGCAGGACGUGAUACACGACUUACCCUAGGUUGCCGUGGAACCGCCAAGAAGAGAUACAGAUACAUGGACCACACCAUCUUGGGAGUAGUGACAGCAUAUAUGCAGAAGAAUACCCCGUGCCUAUUUGCAUGCAUGUCUCAAGUGAUCUGUUUUCUUCAGAAAAUACAUGAGCAUUGCCAGAAAGAAUGGCAAGAGACAAACAUGUCAUAGAGACUUGCAUGUCUUGCCUUGGAUACGCCAAGAAGAGGGACACAUACAUGGAUAACACAAAUCUAGUGACACGUAUAUUCAUCACAAAGGCAAAUCUGAUAAUUUUAUCCAUGGAGCAGACCAAGGAGAAAUUGAUGACGGACAUGUGAUCUCUGUAUUCAGUUGAAAGCUAAUUGAGCUACACUAAUAUGAGCAGGACUAUAUUCAAGAGACUUGUUGAGAGCUACAGGGAACUUGUAAUAAUUUGCUGGGCGGCCUGCGCACAAUGAUUUGUUAUACAUAGUUGAAAUAUUUCAAGAAUUUAUCAACCUCAUACUCUGAAACCCUUGGUGCAAUGUACUCUGCUUUCCGAGGUAGACUGUUCACGUAAAAUGAGGUCAUGCGUAAGACGGAAUCGGAUUGGAUUCACAGGGAAUCAGAUUUGGAUAGCACCUUUUAGCAGGUUUUUAGUCAAAUGCAAAUUCGGAUCCACAUGUGGUUGAAUGCGAGUUCAAAAUUCUACUUGGAUAUCCAUUUAAUUUAGGUGAUAGCAAUUAGCACAAAAUGUUGGAUGAACAAAAUCAUAGUUAGACAUACAAUUACAUGUAUGGUUAAAGUAUAAUACAAUACACCAAGAUUAUUCCUUGAAAAUAUUUCUUAAAAAUAUUAUAAUAAAUGAAUAAAUAUAAUUGUGGCCACCAACAAAUAGUCGGUGGUCGCUAAGUUGGAGCCAUUUCUGGUUACUAAUGCGGCCUUCUCCUCGACCAGCGACGACAGCUGAGCUUGUUCCUUCUGACACUAAAUCAUCAGAGUCUUCCCUCCACUACUAUAGAAUGCACCUUUAGCACCAAUUGGGAAAUCCCCUUCAGUAUUGGAUGCUGCAACCAGUGCUAUAUAUCAAAAUGGAGACUAAAAGCCUCGGUCUUGGGUACCGGUUGCAUAACGCAUUACUAAAGGAGGCAAAAGAGAAAUGUAACAAAAAAAAUAUUUUGAAUUCCAAGAAUGUUUCACUAUUCAAGAUGACUAGCUGAGAGUCAACAGACAAGAUACUAGGAAUGUGGGUGCUUGAAUGCAUUUGUACAGAGGUCAUACUAUUUACAAACUCUUCUAUGUUUCCAUAUGACUACCUACUUCAAUGUCACGCGAGCCAUUCAGCUGGACACAUGGCACACUAGCUUGCAUGUCGAAUCCAUGAUUAAUUAUUUGCACUUGUGAUCUCUUACCAGUAUUUGUCCAGACUAGAAACGUGCAACACAUUUUUAGGAUAUGGACACGCAUAUAUUUGGACUAGUAUACAGGUCACCUUUGGAUGCGUACAAGGAUGACCGGGAGGGACUAAUGGAUACAAGGAAGGGACCAUCAGGAUUAAUAUUGACAUAUGCCACAUGACAAUCUUCAUUGUCAUGCAAUCCCUAUCAACAAUCAUGGAAUCCCUAGUGUACUAAUCCCUGGAGGGUUGUGUGGAAAUUUAUUUUACCUUGCGGUGAAAAUCUCAUGAGCAGUCAUUAGUUAAGCUGACUAGCUGAGAUAUAAUAGACAAGCUAGUAAGAUUGGGAGCAUCAAUGCAUCCAUACAGGGUCACAAUAUCCUUUCCAUUCACUUUUAUAUAUAACCCUACGAAUACAAGUCCAACGAAAUGCGGGCCUUUCGAUCAAGAUAAAUUAAAUGGCCCACUUGUAUUUCUAAUCCAGGAUUAACUAUGCCCUCUGUUCAUCUCUUGCAAGCACGUGCAACACAUUUUCACGAUAUGGACAUGCAUGGAGGUUAUUAUACUGUUUGGACAAACUCUGAUGUGCCAUGACCUAAAUGCUUAGGGCCUGUUUGGUUUGAGUUGCUUAUUAUAAGCAACUUAAAGUUGCUUAAAGUUGCUUAUUUGAAGUUGCUUAUUUUUAGUCUAAACUGUUUGGAUACCCUUGCUUAUGAGCAUUGAAUGAGUUGGACAUUGUCAAAUUUGCCCCAUGUGUUGCUACCCCUCCAAUUUGCCUCCCCACCCUUCUUCUUCCUGCACACGUCCGAUCCCGGGGGCCGACGGCGGGCAGGGAGCAGCAGCAGCUGGCCAGGGCGGCGGUGGGGCGGGAGCGGCGGCGCACACCAGCACGCGCUCGCACGCCAGGUGCUAGGGCGCGGCGAGGCAGUCGUCGUAGCCCACCGGGAGCGGGUGCUCGGGCGCGAGGCGGUACUCGACGGAGAUGCCGAGCGUCGGGCGCGCGGCGGCGAGCGCGUUGAGGAAGCGAUGGUAGUGCGGCGACGUCGCGGACUCCGCCACGAAGCCGCCGCCGUGGACGUACACCACCACGGGCAGCUUCGUCUUGCCGUCGGCGGCCGCGGCCGCGGCCUGGGGUGGCAGGUAGAGGCGGACGGAGCAGGAGCCGAGGUCGACGUCCCUGGAGUCGACGCCCGUGGCGGCGUCCAGGCUGGGCCCGACCGGCGGCGGCACGAGCGGGCGCUCGAUGCGGCCGCUCUUGUAAAUCCGACGGGUCUGUGCGGAGGCGGGCGGCGGGCGGGAGCGGCGGGUGGGAGCGGCGGCAGGUGGUGCGGAGGCCGGCGGCGGCGGGUGGCGCGGAGGAAGGGGAGCUGGUGAGUGGUGACAGGGGAGGGGGGGAGAGAGAGGGGGGGUAGGGUGCAUUGAAUGAGGGCAGGAGGUGUAAAGUGCACCUUUUAGUCCCCAUGAGCAACCAUAAGCAGCCCAAGAGUUGCUUAUUUGCUUAUAAUAAGCAACCUCAUAAGCAAGAGUGAUUGGUUUCAUAAGCAACUUAUUUGCUUAUUUUAAGUUGCUUAUGCAUAAGCAUGUGAAACCAAGCAGGUCCUUAACCUAUGGUUGUGGCACCACACAGUACAUAGUAUUUAAUAAUGCUAUUCGUUUGGUAUGUGCACAAGGGCACGCAUGAAAUGUCUGGCCCACGGUAAACAAGUACGGACGCUGCAAAUAAUCUACUCUGCUCGUCCAGUCCCUAGCCUAUAAAUAGAUGCCAUGCUAGCUCUUGUUGUGCUCACAAUUAAUCCUGACUACACACGAGCUUCUCUCCCUGGCCAAGACACAAUCAUAGUAUGAUGAAGAACAUGGCACUAGCCGGCAAUGGUAUGAAGAACUUAAUCCUCGCUGUUCUCUUACUGUGUCUAGUUAUAGGGCAGAUACAAGUGGAAGCUAAGAGCUGCUGCCCAUCCAUUACUGCAAGAAAUAUCUACAAUGCCUGCCGUAUCACGGGUACAUCCCGUCCAACGUGUGCAAAACUGUCAGGCUGCAAAAUUAUCAGCGGGGACAAAUGCAAGCCCCCUAACGACCACCUCACCCUUGACCCGGACACUGGUAAAUAAUAAAUUUAUCUCACUUGAUUUCUUCGUGUUUUGAGUCGUUAAUGUAUUUUCCAUCUGAUGAAACGUAUUGGUUUUGCAUUGAAGAGGAAGUUAAUGUGCUUAACUUCUGCAAGUUGGGGUGUGCGUCGUCUGUGUGCAACAACAUCAACGCUGGUAAGCACCUUUUGCUCAGACGGAGAAAACAAUAAUCAUUAAUUAGCGGCAGCUAGAAUCCUAUAAUCUAAUAUAUUUAUAUAUAUAUAUAAUUUUAUCAGCUCUGGGAAAUGAAGAGGCGAACGAUGCCGUUGAGAGUUGCGACCAAGCCUGCUCUAGCUUCUGCAACGUGCACGUUGGCGCUGCCACCGUGGUUGCUUAAGCAAAUGCAUCCAACUGGAUCGUCCUUGUGCUAAAUAAUUGGAUAUCGUAUCCACUUAAAGCUGCCUUGUGUAGUACGUUUUUGUUUGUGUCUCUCUUUAUAUUCCAAUAAGGUCGGUGAUCUUGAUGCCACACACUCAGACGUGUGUUCAUCUCCAGAUACUACUCCAUGCUACCUGCCCUUUGUGUUUUGUUCAAUAACUGGGUAUCAUAUCCCAGCCAGUGUGCCAUCUGUUUUGUGUUUAUUUCCUUCUAGUUUCAAAGGGGUUAUCAUGAUGUUACCUUCUUUCGAUAUGGUGCUUUGCAUGACUACUGUUGUAUGGUACCAUCUUGUUGGCCAAUAAAUACAUCUUAUCCUAUGACCCUUUGCUAUGACCCUUUGCAAAUAAGUACAAGAUUGUUAAAUACUCGGUAUAAAUUGACUACUGCUGUGAGUUCCCUUUCAGCUUAUCGUAGGCAUACAUUAUUGCUAGCACGGUGAAGACAACCAACACGAAUGGUCAAGUAAACGUACCGGUACUUUUGUAUACCAACACCCUUGCUUAAAUGUACCGGUGUUACUCCCCACUAGCACAUAUAUUCUUAUAUGCUAGCCGGCUUGAAAAUUAACCGAUUAAAAUAAUUAUUUCAAGACAGAAAUAACUUAUCGGCUUCUCGAAGCAUGUGUAAUGUGAAUUCAAGGACUUGAUGGAAGUUGAAUCGCUUAAUCUAGAUUGCUUUCAGGAUUUUGGGUAACUAAAUUUAACAUUUGCACAUACAAAUGUUAAUGUACAAAUAUUAAAUAUAGUUACCCAAGCAGAAUAUGAAGAUACUCUAUAGUAUAUAUAUACUAUAUAAAUCUAGUUAACAUUUAGUCUAAAUGUUAAAUCUAGUUACCUAAAAUCCUGAAAGCAAAAUGUAUAAAUAUAUAUCUUUUAAGGAAUCCCAAAGCAAGAGUUCAGUGGCAUUCUAUAGUCCCAUGCUGCUAGUUUGAGUUGGUCGAAGCCAACUUAAAUAGGAGAGCUCUCUCACUUCUCUAAAUACGUAACUGAAGGAGAGAAGGGGGCUUGGUUACACAACGCACGCACGCACGCAUAUUUGCGUUCUUUUCGCGUAACCAACCGCGUGACUUGAAACUUGCGACGUAGCGUGCUGCCAAGUCAAGUUGAUAUAACCUUUUUGCCGUAGGCGUGUAAUCUUUUGACAACGGUCAUUGGAGGUGAUAAGCACGCAGUCAAUACCUUAAUCCUGAGUUAAUAGGGCGGUUACUACUGCCAAUUAGUGGGGCAAUUUUGUAGGGGAAACGGUUAGCAGAGGGCUACCAUCUUCUCUAUAAGAAGUUCUGGAGACGUCCAGGAACACACAUGUACAUGUGAGAGACCCACGAAUUCCUUCCCAUCUCCCUUUUCCAUCUGGUGAAGUGUGCUAUGGUACUGAGCUGCUGGAUCUCGCCGGCUCUUCUCCUUGGCGUGCACCGAGGAGGAGGGUGAGCGGUAUCUCCGAGCUAUUGCCGUCAGGAAGCCUGCACGAGGGACAACAAUAAAGUUUUUGGGUAGCGCAACUACGCAACCGCUCGAUUCGAUCGACUAUGUUCUGCGCUGCCUCAUCUUCGAUCUGCACUGCAACACGUAACCCUGCAGCAAGUCUACACAAGGACGGAGCACUAAUCUGUAAGUCCUAGAUUGGUUUCUUACAGAGUUGUAGGUUACACAAGAUCUAGAAUUGUUACAUACUUAUUAUUAUGGGUUACAUGAUGUUUUGUACGGUUACGUCUAUUUUGCAUAUGCUAUUUUUACAUACCGUUUACAUGCAUAUGUAAUGGUUACGCCUAGCUAUUUGAAUCUAGAAUUGGGUUACAUAGCAGUAGCAAUGACUUACGUAAUAUGCCUCAUGUUUAUAUCUGGUAGAAUUUAACACGUAUCUCCAACAUAUUUUGAGGCAGUAUAAAUUUCAAUUCCUUUUGCUGCUCUGUUAAAUCCCGUCUUUCGUGUGGCCCAACACUCUAGUAUGCAUGUAGCACCAAGCUUGUUUGAGCCGCUUUGUGCUCUGAUUUUGCUGUCUGUAUCAGGUUGGACUGUUUCUUUGUCUUGCGAUGUAUAGCUUCAUAUCUUCUAGAGGUUAGACAGCAAAACCCGCGUUCUCUUAAGGCAACAACUCGAAGAAUCUGCAGCGCUCCUGAUAUAUCACUGCUGCAGAAACAAUCUUUAGUACUGAUUUCCAACCCCCUUUAGUAUCGGUUUGGCAAUCAGUACCACUACGUCGGUACUAAAGGGAGUUCUCUAGAAUCGGGUCAAAUAACUGGUACUAAAAGUGCUCCUCUACUACCAGUUGGUAACACCAAUAGGUAGUAACUUUUUUUGCACCCAAAAAAUUAAAGAAAAACAGCCGGGAGGCUCGCGCACACACGCAUCAUGAGUAAUAUGCGCGUGCAUGGUUUGUGGGAUUCCAACCCACGACCAAGCUAUAAGCACGUAGUUACAAAAAAAUUAAACACUUAGACAUUUUAGAGCAUCCCAAAUAACUACAAAUUCUUUAGUUUACCAUAUACCAUAAAAUAUUAGUUAAAAUAAGAGCAUACGCACGUCGGAAGAGUCCCAAUGCACCGGUUGAGGAUCAGACCAGGCACUUUGAAUGCACAUGCCAUAAGAUAAUUCUGCAGGACGAUGAUUGCAAUAAUGGACCAUCGAGAAGAUAGGGGCGAUGGGGUUGCCUCAUCAAUUAUGACUUGGCGCAACAAGACCAGCAAAGUCUUUAUCGACAGGGGUGGAUCAAGGGGUGGGGCGGGUAGAGCUCCAAUCUUCCUACCGCCGCUCGAACAAUGGAGCCCCCCUUAGCCCCUCCAUAAAUUUUUAGGUAGAAGAAAAAAGAAGAGAAGGGAAGGAAGGGGAAGAAUAGGGAGCCCCUCCUAAGUAGGUCGCCAUCGUGCUUCCCAACGCAUGAUCGCCGCACCGCAUCCAUUCCUCUACAAGCCUCCAGCGUCUCUCCUGCCGCUACCUCUGAACCAUGUGCAGCUGCAGACCCAACUAGUGUCUUGUCACCCAUCUCAAUCCCAACAGAGCGGCGGCUCCUGCCAGCACAAAUCUCCCUCCGCCUGUUCUUCACGAUCGAUGGCCACCACAAGCAUAAACCUCGCCUUCGCAUCCACGCAAAAGGGUCGCCGGUGUGCCUUCUCGCAUCGCUUCUCAGCCUCCUUCACUUGCGGCUGGCCAAGAACCGUGCCACCACCUCGGGUGCGCGCCACCGCUCCAGGGCCGCUACCCCAUGCGUGCGGCCGCCGCCGGCCACCACGCGUGUGCAACCGUGUCGCACCGCUUCCCUGCUCUGUGCCACCACUGCUACUGCACCACCAGCUCCACCACCUUGGGCUGGUCGCCAGGGUGACUGAUUGGUGGAUUAUUACUACAAAUAAGUUCCUUAUUAUCUGCAACUACUAUUAACUCAGGGAUACAUGCGUCUUUUGCUUCUCCUGUUAAUAUGUCCUAAAAUAUCUAGAAUGCCUUAUAUUUCUGGACGGAGGAAGUAUUUGAAUAAAAUGAACCAAUUUUAAAAAAUGUGUUGUACACUACUACAGAAAGAACUAUCAGUGUCAAACCCAAAAAUGUCGUCACUGCCAGUUUUGGGCAUCGUUGGUGAAAGGUUGGCGGUGAUGGGUAUCCCCUUCAACAACGGCACUAGAGCUAACAGUGAUUGACAUUAGAAAACGAAAAAGGGGACCCACCUAGCCACCCCUGCAACCCGGCUGGCCGUGCCUCCCGUCAUCCCCACCACCUCGCCUCCCCCGUGACCCCCCGCCGGCGCCCUUGCGCCUAGCCCCCUCGCCUGCCUGGCCGGCCACCCUCGUCACGAGAGAGAGGGGUGCAUGUUGUAUAAUUGCGUGAAUUUUUAAUGUUUAAUUUCAUGUAAGUUUCAUAUAAUAAAUUGUACAAGUUUUAUUGUAUAUAUGAAUUCCAUAUAUAUAUAUUUAUAAUUUAAUGUAUGGUUUCAUGUGUAUAUUUCAAUAAUGUGUAUAUUUAGUAGAUAGCCGAUUUUCUUUUUCUACAAGACAAGGGUUGAUGUAUAAUUACGUGUAUAUGUUUAUUGUACGGGCAAUUAGGACAAGUUUUGUAUAAAUUUCUUUUAUUUCAUGGUUGUUGUAUGGUUUCAUGUAUAUACAUUUAUUGUACUACUUGAGACAAUUUUUAAUUUAAUGUUUCUAUGGUUACAUGUGUGUAUAACUAAUUGUAUUAUUAGUUAAGAUGGGAGCCAAAGAGGAUGAAAGGUAUAUAAUGGAGCAGAUUAUUGCUGGCGGUAGUGGCUCAAACGUUGCAAGAACCUACAUCAAGGGUGAGGGUAGCUAGGUGGACAUGUACCUCAACAUGUCCAGUGAUGGCAAUGACGAUGAGGAGCACGAGCAUGACGUUUAUGAUAGUGCGGAACAAGACAUUGCAGAAUUGGAAGGUUCUAAUGAGGUGUGCUUCAUGUUGAUGAUCUGGUUGGCUUUUUUUCUUUGGUCACACCUUAGUUACCAUAGAACUUCGUCUCGGGAGAAGAUUGGAGGUGCUAUGGUGAUUGGAAUUUUAUUGCCUCCAAAUAUGAUUUCCAUCGAAUCAUAUCCCUUGUAUUUAUCUUCUUUUUAUUUGUGAGAGCAUCUUCUUUAUGCUUGCAAAACAAUUCAAGUGCACAUACUACACCUAGGGUGAUGAUUAGGAGUAGAAACAAUUGCCAACAAACGAACACCACAUCCUAAGAUUCUUAACUUGUGGUAUAAUUAGUCUAGUAAAAAGAAAGAUAAAAACCUAAUGGGUGUACGUGAGUGCAAUGCGUAUAUGCAUAUGAGUGGAAGGCAUAUAAGCAAAGAUAAUAUUUACACAUAGAUCUAAGCACCAUGUUUACAACUAAGUUGCUGAAUUUCUCCAUAGCUAUAGAGAUUAAUGAACCAAGGUCAAAACACCAUGUCUAUCCCAAGAUCAGUAAUUCUUUAUAGCACAAGAAAAAGAAAGCGCAUUGCAAAGUUUAUAAACCAACCAAUGCAGCAUGAAAACAAGAUGAAUAGCUAGCAAGGUUUAUUAAACUGAAUGAUGACGGUCUGCAAGCAAGUUUGAACACCAUCUUUACACAAGAUUGCAAAUGGAAAAUUCCCAUAUGAAGAACUAACAUGGAUAUGAAAUCAUUCAUCAUAAAGCGUAAAGAACAACCAAGCCAACCAUAUGCAAAGCAUGAAUGGAAUGCAAUGAAGGUGCAAGAGAACAUUUUUGGAUGAACCCAUUAUGAUGAUGGCAAAAUGCGCCGUGCCCCCCAGCCCCCGCGGUGAGAUCCCGCCGCUCGCUGCCGCCAGACCCUAUUAGGCCUCCACCGGCAGGUCCACCCACGGUCCCGCGCGACGUGGCAGCCUCUUGGCUCUCGGCGCUCGCGGCACGCCAGUGCUGGCGCAGCCCCACCAGGCGACUACCCUCCCCCCAUAAGGCCUCGGCCCCUCCCCAGCGCCGCCCCCCAACACCAGGACUGCCUGCUGCCCCCCACCGUGAGGUAAUCGAAAUCGACUGCUCAAUCUCUCAAUCUGUUGAUAUGAUGCACACGGUUGCAAAAAUAGAUGUGUCAAAAUAGAUGUUUUGCCAAUUGCUAUAGAUGCAUACGGUUGACAUGAAGUCAAAAAUGACAUUUGGUUCCUUGUAGGCAGUCAAAAAUGAAGAAGUCAAAAAAUAUUGAUCUGAAAUCAAUGUGGGAAAGGGCUAUGAAGACACGCAGGUAGAUUCCCUUGUGAACUUUUUAUGUCGUUCGUCUAAAUAAUUUUUUGCAAUGGGCAUACCCUACUCUGAAAUCCUGGGUCCGCCACUGAUGAUGAUGGUCUAAAAAUAAACCAAGCCUAGAUUAAUUAGCCACAACUGAAAUUAAGCAAAGGUUAAUGUCAUUGACCCUAGCUCUAUCCUAGCUUUUACCAAAGUUCCGGCACAUAUAGUGGUUGGGCCCACUCUCUCUGCUUCCCUCUCUGCUGCAUGCACGCACACGAGCAACGGGAGGCCCGACGAAGCCCAGAAGGGUUCGGCCGAACCAGUAUGAGCGCCGCUCCCUCCCAGCCUUCGCGCAGAUGCUCCUCCAACGUUCCUUGACCCCUCCCUCAGCGUCCCGUUGGGUUUAACAUUGCAGGAGAGGAGUCCCUUUUUUAAAAUCUCAACCACCUCCUCUCCCCAUUCACUCCACUCUCAUCUCCAUCAAACUCACCAAGAUCCGCACCGGAAAUCCCUGCUUACCACCAUGGCUGGCAAAGCCCUCAUCCCUUUCACCAACUUGGGCUUGACCACUGAUCUCGAUGGGGAAAUCACUCUGGCAAAUAUGCGUGUAACACUGCCCCCUUUGCCGAGGGUUAAAGCCAAAACACUCAGCAAAGUGGAUAGUACCCCCCUUUUUACCCGUUUUGUCAUGUAUAACGGACCCCUCUCAAUUCACAAUAGACAUCAUCAUAGGCAUUUAUAAUAAACAAUCACAGGCAUAAUUCACAAUCACCAUUACAAGCAUUAUUCAUAAAUAUCACAGACAUAAUCCAAAGUAAGCAUGAAACAAGCCAUAAAUCCAAGUUCAAGUCACAACUAAGUUUCAUCCAAGUUCAAGUCACAAAUGCAAUGUCUAAAUCCAUGGAGGCCAAGGAGACCACUGCGACAAAUCUUGGUCUUCAUUAUUCGAAGCCGCCGAUUGAUUCUGCACAUAGGAUAGGACAUUCUGAGCUAACAUCUAAAGUUGUCAAAAUUAAAGUAUUCAAUCUUAAGCACAAUGUGUCAAAUGACUCACAGGAGUAGUUGUGGGUGGCUGAGGCGGAGGGAACAGCAUCGAUGGCGGUGGCAAAGAUUGACCCAUGCUCGAAGCAAAAUUCUGCAUGUACUGGAACAUCUGGUCCAUCCUCAUCCGAUUUUCUUCCUCCAUCCUCUGCCGCUCGGCCUCUAACCUCCGCUGAACCAUCUGCUCCAUCCUCGCCGCCAUCUCCUCUUGUUGCUUCCUUGCUGCUUCCACCUGGGCCUACAAUAUUUCAUUGCAAUGUUACAAUGCAAAGCUAAAGUAUAGCAACCAACGAACAAUGAAUGGAAGAGAAAGAACCUGGAGAGCCUCCAUCUGGAACUGUCCAAUGGUUGGUCGUAGCCGUAUCGCCGGGCUCGAGUCCGUGCUCCUUGCUUGGAUCUGGGAGAGAGUGGCAGUAGAGGCCGUGUUGAUUACGCCGUCGCCAAUCCAAUAUCGGCCAUGCUUCUUGCCUCCUCCCACCCUCAUCACGAUUUCUCCAUCAAUAUCCUCAGAGCUUGAAUCGAAGUCUGGCCCGUGAACCUCCCUUGCCAUCACUGUAUAUUCCUUUGCCGAGUGCCCGAGAUAAAGCACUCGGCAAAUAGAAAACACUCGGCAACUUUACUGUUUCCCGUAGUGUCGCUAUUUUUGCAGGUUCUCGACCAGGCCAGUUCUUUGGGCCAACCUAUCAUUCACGACUUAAACAUACGGUGGCUGUAGAAAUGUUCUAUUCUUUUCAACAAUACCAGCUGGUUCCUCCGUUUUUAUUCCACCAAUACAAGCACCACCUUGUAACAUUUCCUAUGUUUUUUUUUCCUUUCGUCUGUUUUCUACAUGCGUUGCUCUUUCAUGCAUUUUUUUCCAUUCCUGUAUUCCAAAUAGGUCUACAUGAACACAAAAUGAACUAGGGGACAGAAAAAGCCAGUGAAGCCAAUUUUGAGCUUCACCAGCUACUUGCUACAUAAAGUGUGCUAUAGUGACGUGUUUUAGCAAAACAUGUUAUCAAUGACUUGACAUUGGUGACGUGUUAAAACGCGUUAUCUCAAUGGCAAAUCAUUGGUGACGUGUUUUAAAAAAACAUGUCACCGUGAGAGUCAUUGGUGAAGGGUAAUUAUAAUGCGUCACUAAUGUUGUAGCAUUAGUUAUGAUAAUUUAGUAACGCAAAAAUCUACCAUCAGUAUUGAGCUUUAGAGCCAUCGCUAAUGUGGGUUUCUUACAUAGUGAUGCAAGCUCUACAAGGUGCUGUUGCUGCCAUUUUAAAGCAUCCCAUGACUACAUGUUAAUAACAUAGUUUACCAUAUAUCAUAAAAAUAUUAGUUACAAUAAGCACAUACGCAUGUGGAAGAGUCCGAAUGCACCGGUUGAGGACUAAACACAUUGAAUUACUAGAACCAAAUGUGUGUUUAGAACAAAGACAGGGGUCAAGGUUUGGGUAACCGCAUUAAAAACAUUGGAUUUUACUGUACAUGAACACUUAGUUACCAUUACCAUGCCUUGAGCACCUAGUUACAACAAACAUUAAUUUAGCCACUUUAGAGCUUCCAGAAUCGCUAUAAAUAAUAUACCUACGCCGUACCAUGAAAACAUCAAGAAGAGAGACGGAUACAUGGACCACCAUCAAGCGAGUAGUGACAGCACGCACAAGAAUACCCGGAACCUGUUAGCUUGUCUGUAGUGAUCUGUUUUCUUCCCCAUAAAAUCCAUGAGUAUUGCCACAAAUAAUGAAAGAGGCUGACCAAGCUAGCAAGGAGGUAGAGCAAACGUGAUACACGGCCUGCCAAGAUUGCCCUGGAUACGCCAAUAAGAGCGACAGAUACAUGGAUCACACCAAUAUGGUGAAACGUAUAUUCAUCACACAAGCAAAGCUGGUCAGUUUAUCCAUGGUCAAAUUGUGGUCUUUGUUUUCACUUGAGAGCUAAUUGAGGCACUAUAAUAUGGGCAGGCCUAUCUUCAACAGACAUGACAGCUACAGGGAACUUGACAUAAUUUGCUGGGCCGCCUGUGCACAAUUAUUUGUUUUAUUGUCCUUGCAUAGAAUGCUAAAAUACUCUUUACAAAAUGUUGGAUCUAAUAUUUGAAAUAUAGAGUAGUAAUCAUAUAUUGAUCAACAACUUGAAAUUAUCUGUACAUUCUCGGUGAAGCUGUUGAACUAAUUUUUGCAAAUUAUUAAUUCAUCUCAUUACGUAAAGAAAAAAGUAAGUGGAUAAGAUAUUUCGUGGACCACAUCACUGCAAACAUGUCAUGGAGAGACAGACCAAGGAGGCAGGACGUGAUACACGACUUACCCUAGGUUGCCGUGGAACCGCCAAGAAGAGAUACAGAUACAUGGACCACACCAUCUUGGGAGUAGUGACAGCAUAUAUGCAGAAGAAUACCCCGUGCCUAUUUGCAUGCAUGUCUCAAGUGAUCUGUUUUCUUCAGAAAAUACAUGAGCAUUGCCAGAAAGAAUGGCAAGAGACAAACAUGUCAUAGAGACUUGCAUGUCUUGCCUUGGAUACGCCAAGAAGAGGGACACAUACAUGGAUAACACAAAUCUAGUGACACGUAUAUUCAUCACAAAGGCAAAUCUGAUAAUUUUAUCCAUGGAGCAGACCAAGGAGAAAUUGAUGACGGACAUGUGAUCUCUGUAUUCAGUUGAAAGCUAAUUGAGCUACACUAAUAUGAGCAGGACUAUAUUCAAGAGACUUGUUGAGAGCUACAGGGAACUUGUAAUAAUUUGCUGGGCGGCCUGCGCACAAUGAUUUGUUAUACAUAGUUGAAAUAUUUCAAGAAUUUAUCAACCUCAUACUCUGAAACCCUUGGUGCAAUGUACUCUGCUUUCCGAGGUAGACUGUUCACGUAAAAUGAGGUCAUGCGUAAGACGGAAUCGGAUUGGAUUCACAGGGAAUCAGAUUUGGAUAGCACCUUUUAGCAGGUUUUUAGUCAAAUGCAAAUUCGGAUCCACAUGUGGUUGAAUGCGAGUUCAAAAUUCUACUUGGAUAUCCAUUUAAUUUAGGUGAUAGCAAUUAGCACAAAAUGUUGGAUGAACAAAAUCAUAGUUAGACAUACAAUUACAUGUAUGGUUAAAGUAUAAUACAAUACACCAAGAUUAUUCCUUGAAAAUAUUUCUUAAAAAUAUUAUAAUAAAUGAAUAAAUAUAAUUGUGGCCACCAACAAAUAGUCGGUGGUCGCUAAGUUGGAGCCAUUUCUGGUUACUAAUGCGGCCUUCUCCUCGACCAGCGACGACAGCUGAGCUUGUUCCUUCUGACACUAAAUCAUCAGAGUCUUCCCUCCACUACUAUAGAAUGCACCUUUAGCACCAAUUGGGAAAUCCCCUUCAGUAUUGGAUGCUGCAACCAGUGCUAUAUAUCAAAAUGGAGACUAAAAGCCUCGGUCUUGGGUACCGGUUGCAUAACGCAUUACUAAAGGAGGCAAAAGAGAAAUGUAACAAAAAAAAUAUUUUGAAUUCCAAGAAUGUUUCACUAUUCAAGAUGACUAGCUGAGAGUCAACAGACAAGAUACUAGGAAUGUGGGUGCUUGAAUGCAUUUGUACAGAGGUCAUACUAUUUACAAACUCUUCUAUGUUUCCAUAUGACUACCUACUUCAAUGUCACGCGAGCCAUUCAGCUGGACACAUGGCACACUAGCUUGCAUGUCGAAUCCAUGAUUAAUUAUUUCCACUUGUGAUCUCUUACCAGUAUUUGUCCAGACUAGAAACGUGCAACACAUUUUUAGGAUAUGGACACGCAUAUAUUUGGACUAGUAUACAGGUCACCUUUGGAUGCGUACAAGGAUGACCGGGAGGGACUAGAAAUGGUCUAGUUUUGAUUGGACUACAAAACUUUUUGUACAGUGAAUAGAGAAUAUAUAUUAUUGUUGGAAUACGAGGUAGGCUACACUAUCGCAAUUCUGAUAUUCUACCGCGUAUAACCAAGAAGAACUGUCGUAUAAGGAUCACGGGAUUACCACUCGACGCACUACUGGUGCGGAAGAUGUAGAUAUGCGUCGAUGCAGUGAAGACGAUCACGUAGUCGUAUGUAGUCGAUCAACGUAGUCGUACAUAGUCGAUCACGUCCAGCAGCUCCUCAGCAGCUCGUCCACGUGCAGCAAGAUCGCCUCCGGUACCGCGGCUCGUCGUUGGCUUGUCGUGGCUCGUCGACGGCUCGUCGGCGGCUCGUCCAAGUGCUGCAGGCGCAACACCUCCAAGGUAUCCACACGUGCAGGGAGGAAGCGUCGCAAGCCGGACUGCUAGAUCCACGAGUUGCAACAGGCGAGGGCGUGGGAGGCGCGGCAGGUGUGUUUCGCCAAAAAGGUGUAAACCCUAGGGCGCCCCCACCCCUCUAUUUAUAGAGGUUCCUGACGGGCCUCUGGAUCCGAGGCCCAUUAGUACUUCUAAACCUAAUCCAACUCGGAUCAGAUCCGAAUUGGGCUUCCAGCCCCUUAAGUGUGUGACCCUAUAAGUUCGGAUACGUAUAGACAUGGCCCGAGUACUCCUACUCGGCCCAAUAGUCGGUAGCGGCCUCUAGCAAGACGUGCCAACUCCUAUACGCACACGAAGAUCAUAUCAGACGAACCAUCACAACAUAAUAUACAUGCUAUUCCCUUUGCCUCACGAUAUUUGGUCUAGCUUCAAGCCGACCGCUCUUUCUCAGUCCUGUGAUUCGGAAUCCCUUUGUAGGUUAACUCUUAACCGUACGUAGCAUGGCCAUGCAUUUUCGGAUCUGAUCACUCGAGGGGCCCAGAGAUAUCACUCUCAAUCAGAGAGGGGCAAAUCCCAUCUUGAUUGACCAUGUCUCAUAGCAUGCUUCUUGACAAACCUAAAAACUACCUUUAUAACUUCCCUGUUACGGCGUAGUGUUUGAUAGCUCCUAAGUAGGUCGAUCCACAUCUAGAAUACAUGCGACAAUUUCAGGUCUAAGGACAAAGCGUAUAUGUUGUUUAAAGAGAGAACUACUUCUCGUGUUGGGUCAGUCCCAGCACAUGUCUCCACAUGUGUCCACAUUAUUAGUUCAACAUCUCCAUGUCCAUGACUUGUGAAACAUAGUCAUCAACUAAUACAUGUGCUAGUCUAAUAUUCAUGUGUGUCCUCACAUGAACUCCGACUAGGGACAACUUUAGAAUAACCAUACAAGUAAAGAGUUUCACAUACAAUUCACAUAAUUGCAAAUCAAUUCAAGUAGCCUUCAAUGGAUAUUCAAUGAACACAACAUACAAAUCAUGGAUACAAAUGGAAUAUCAUCAUCUCUAUGAUUGCCUCUAGGGCAUACCUCCAACAGUCUCCCACUUGCACUAGAGUCAAUCUAGAAGGUACCUAAUACCCAUAGCUCUUACAUGCGCAUCAUGCUUAGCCUGCGGGAGUGGUUUUGUCAACGGAUCAGAAAUGUUCAGAUCCGUGUGUAUUUUGCAUAUCUUGAUCUCACCCCGGUUAACGAAGUCUCGAAUGAGAUGAAAUCGCCGCAUUACAUGUUUGUUCUUCUGGUGGUUCCUUGGCUCCUUUGCUUGCGCAAUUGCCCCAUUGUUAUCACAGUAGAGAUUCAAUGGGCUGGACCCAUUCGGGAACACACCAAGCUCAAUGAGGAAAUUCCUUAUCCAAACACCUUCCUUCGCGGCUUCCGAAGCCGCGAUGUACUCGGCUUCUGUCGUAGAAUCGGCCACCGUCUCCUGCUUGGAACUCUUCCAACUAACAGCACCACCAUUUAGCGUGAACACAAAUCCUGUUUGUGACUUUGAAUCAUCUCUGUCGGUUUGGAAACUAGCAUCGGUGUAACCUGUUACAACGAGCUCCUCCUCACCUCCAUAGACGAGGAAUAUAUCUUUAGUCCUUCUCAAGUACUUAAGAAUGUUUUUCACCGCUGUUCAGUGACUCUCACCUGGAUCAGAUUGGUGUCUGCUUGUCAUACUUAGCACAUAUGAAACAUCUGGGCGAGUACUUAUCAUUGCAUACAUGAUAGAUCCAAUAGCCGAGGCAUAUGACACUCUACUCAUGUGAUCCCGCUCAUCAGCAGUCGAAGGACACUGAGUCUUGCUGAGAUGUAUGCCAUGUGACAUAGGCAAGAACCCUUCCAUGCUGAACCGCUUCAACACUUUGUCAAUGUAAGUAUCUUGGCUUAAACCUAUAAGCCUUCUCGAUCUAUCUCUAUAGAUCUUAAUGCCCAGAAUAUAUGCCGCUUCCCCUAAGUCCUUCAUCGAAAAACUAUUUUUCAGUGAAGUCUUUAUGGACUCAAGCAUAGGAAUGUUAUUUCCAAUCAGUAAUAUGUCAUCCACAUAUAAGAUUAGAAAUACUACAGAGCUCCCACUAACCUUCUUGUAAACACAAGACUCUUCUUCGUUCUUGGUGAAGUCAAACCCUUUGACCACUUCAUCAAAACGAAUGUUCCAACUCCUAGAUGCUUGCUUCAAUCAAUAAAUGGAUCUCUGAAGCUUGCAUACCUUUCCAGCAUUUUUCGGAUCGACAAAACCCUUGGACUGUAUCAUAUACACGUCCUCAGUUAGGUUUCCAUUCAGGAAAGCUGUCUUGACAUCCAUCUGCCAUAUCUCAUAAUCGAAAUAUGCAGCCAAACUUGAUUGUCUCCCAUGGACUCUAUUUCGGAUUGCAUGGCAUUCUGCCAUUUUUCGGAGUCUGGGUCCAUCAUUGCUUCUGCAUAUGUCACAGGCUCAUCAUUGUCCAACAAUAAUAUUUCCUGCAUUUCGCGGAGCCUUGCCGACCUUCGUGGUUGUGGCGGUGCUUCUCUUGCCAUGGGUAUCUCAACUUGUUCUGCUACGUUAGCAUCACUCAUUGAUUCUUGCCCGAUCGGCUCAUCUUGAACUUCUUCAAGAUGCACUGUCUUUCCACUCUUUUCUCCUUUGAGAAACUCUUUCUCUAGGAAAACCCCGUUCCGAGCGACAAACACUUUGCCUUCUGAUCAGUUGUAAAAAUAAUAUCCCAAAGUUUCCUUUGGAUAUCCCACGAAAAUGCACUUAUCCGACUUGGGUGCGAUCUUGUCCGACUGAAGUCGCUUGACAAACACAUCACAUCCCCAAAUCUUUAGAAAAGACAAACUAGGAACCUUUCCAGUCCAUAUCUCAUAUGGUGUCUUAACUACGGAUUUAGAUGGUACCCUAUUAAGUGUGAAAGCUGCUGUUUCUAGAGCGUAUCCCCAAAAUGACAACGGUAGGUCCGACUGGCUCAUCAUUGAUCGAACCAUGUCUAACAAAGAUCGAUUACGUCGCUCGGACACACCGUUUCUCUGAGGUGAUCCAGGCGGCGUAAGUUGUGGAACAAUUCCGCAACUCUUUAGAUGAUUGCUAAACUUGUGGCUCAAAUACUCGCCUCCACGAUCAGAUUGUAAGGCCUUAAUUUUCUUGACACGCUAAUUUUCAACUUCAUUCUGAAAAUCCUUGAACUUUUCAAAGGUUUCAGACUUGUGCCUCAUCAAGUAGACAUAGCCAUAUCUACUAAAAUCAUCAGUGAAAGAUAUGAAGUAUUGGAAUCCUCCUCUAGCCGUCGUGCUCAUUGGUCCGCAUACAUCACUAUGUACGAGUUCCAACAAGUCUACUGCUCUCUCAGGAAAUCCUGUGAAAGACGUCUUGGUCAUCUUGCCUAGCAAGCAAGCCUCACAUGUCUCGUAUGAUUCAAAAUCAAACGAAGUUAGAAGUCCAUCAGAAUGGAGCUUCUUCAUGCGUUUUUCACUUAUAUGACCCAAACGACAAUGCCACAAGUAGGUAGGACUCAAAUCAUUAGGCCGAGGCCUUUUAGCACUUACAUUACAGACAGGUGAACCAUCAAGAUUUAAAACAAAUAAUCCAUUCACAAUGGGUGCAAAAGCCAUAAACAUAUUAUUCUUAGAGAUCACACAACCAUUGUUUUCACUCGCAAAUGAAUAACCAUCCUUCAUCAAGCAUGAAGGAGACAAAAUGUUUCGACUUAAACUAGGAACAAAAUAACAAUUAUUCAACUCCAUAAUAAAUGCUGACGGGAGGUGGAGUUGCAUCGUCCCGACGGUCAACGCAGCAACUCUUGCAUUAUUGCCCACGCGGAAAUCAACUUCUCCUCUUUCCACGCUUCUACUUCUUAUCAUUCCCUGCAUCGAAUUGCAAAUAUGAGCAACCGAUCCGGUAUCAAAUACCCAAGAAUUAAUAAUUGUAUCAGCGAGAAAUAUGUUGUCUAUGACAUUAACAACAAGCGUACCUGAGGUAGAAGUACUCUUACUUCCUCCAUUCUUCAACGAAGCUAGGUACUGCUUGCAGUUUCUCUUCCAGUGACCAAGUUCAUGACAGUAAAAGCACUCUUUGUCUGGAGCAGGUCCAGGUCCAGCUUUAACCUUGGGCGCUCGCUGGGUUUGGCUUGGAAAUUCCAGCCUUGCCCUUCUUCUUCCAAGAAUUGCCCUUCUUCUUAAAGCUAGGCUUGUUCUGUAUAGCCAUCACAUGGCUAGUACAAGCGCUUUUCUUGAUGUCUACCUCUGCUGUCUUGAGCAUACCACACAGUUCAUUCAAACCCUUCUCCGUCCCAUGCAUAUGGUAGUUCGAGAUGAAGUUCCCAUAGCUAGGCGGAAGAGAUGAAAGAAUGAAGUCAGUGGCCAACUCUUUGCCCAUUGGGAAGCCCAGCUUCUCCAAUCGCUGAGUGUAACCAACCAUGUUGAUUACAUGUGGUCCUACUGCUGCGUCUUCUGCUAGCUUGCACUCCAGAAAAGCUUUGGACACAUUGAACCUUUCAGUCCUAGCCUGUGUCUGGAACAUGUCCUUGAGCGCCACGAUCAUAUCGUGUGCCUCAUGAUUUGUUUCGAACUGCAUCUGCAGCUCGGGUUCCAUGCAAGCAAGCAUAAGGCAGCUUACCUCAAGAUUAGCAUCAAAUGCCUUCUUGUAAGCAGCCUUAACGGCAGCAGAUGCAUCAUCAGCAGGUACUGGUGGUAGUGGGGUAUCUAGAACAUCUUCCUUUUUAUCGGCCCUGAGAACAAUUCUCAGGUUACGGAUCCAAUCCGAGUAGUUUGUUCCAUUCAACUUGUCCUUCUCAAGGACCGAGCGCAAAGCAAACGAUGUGGUGGUGUUGCUAGGUGCCAUUUAAUCUACAACAAAAGUAAUGCAAAAUACACUAAGACAAACGUAUCCAUGAUAGAGCAAAUUACAUUAAACUAUUUUAACAGAAUCUACUCCCACUAAAAUCAAUAUCCCUCUAUUGAAACUUAGUGAUUCAGGAUCCACAACUAACAAGUCUACUAGUGAGCUUUAGCAUCACCGCUAGCAAACGAGGUAGAUCGGUAAGCAACUUUUGCUAAUCAUAUCACAUAUGACUCCUGUUGUUGGGUGACAUCUCCAUGUCUCGGCGCCCAACCAUUAUGCCCCAAGGUCCUUAACCGUUAAGAUGACCUCGUUAAGCAAACCAACCCUUAUGCGUGUAAGUGUCCGACACAAACCCGUCUAGUCAAGGAAAACUAGUGGCACCCUAAUUUCAUAGACCCACCACUAAUUGUACAAGACAUGGGACGGUGCAAGUUUUAGUUGGGAGGGCAUACUAACUUAAAUUUUUUGUGAGGGAUCGUUCUACUUCUAACAUCACAGCAUGCAGAAAGUAAAACAUAAACAGAAUAGCAUUCACACAGCUGUGACACAGUAUGGCCCGUUUUUAUAUGGUGAUCUCCAUCUCCAUAGAACCUGUUCACCAUGGUGAUCUCCAUCUCCAUGUUCCAUGUGCGCCAUCCUCCUGGUGAGGAGUCCUCCAAGAACUAGAACAUGCUAUUACACCUAAUAGCUAGUAAAGAAUCUAGUAAUGAAGAUUACAUAGUUGCUUGGAUCAUCACAGAUUGGUACGCAGACCAUUAAAUACAAUAAAGUGACAACACAUAUGGCUCCUGCCGUGUUGCCGUACGCGCGACACGCAGGUCACGAAUGAGUUACACACAUGCAUCACAUACACAAGGGGGCCAUACUGAUCACAAGAUACAUACAUACAUCCUGCAAAACAGAGUUAGGCGUCCUAACGUUCCAAACUUCGAAGGCCCGAAACUCCAUCUUCCAAGCCGAAUUUGGGAAAUCUAAUUUUGCCGAAAACGGCAAAGCGGUUGAAUUUCAUGUGUAACUUUUUCUGUAGAUCAAUUUUCAUAUAAAAUUCGCCCCGAUCCGAGAUCGUACCGAAAAGUUACGGCUGAUUUACCGAAGCAUACGCAUACGGCAAAAAUUCCGACCCCGGCAGUAGAUCCCAUCUACUAUUGCACAUCUAAUGCGCCUGGCGUAUGAUCCUGGAUUUCGAUUCGACCAAUCAUAUUGAUCUUCGCUCACUGCAACUGGAAUUACGUGUAUCACUUAACUCGUCGGCGGCUCGUCGGCGGCUCAUCCAAGUGCUGCAGGCCCAACACCUCCAAGGUAUCCACACGUGCAGGGAGGAAGCGUCGCAAACCGGACUGCUAGAUCCGCGAGUUGCAAUAGGCGAGGGCGUGGGAGGCGCCGCAGGUGUGUUUCGCCAAAAAGAUGUAAACCCUAGGGCGCCCCCACCCCUCUAUUUAUAGAGGUUCCUGACGGGCCUCUGGAUCCGAGGCCCAUUAGUACUUCUAAACCUAAUCCAACUCGGAUCAGAUCCGAAUUGGGCUUCCAGCCCCUUAAGUGUGUGACCCUAUGGGUUCGGAUACGUAUAGACAUGGCCCGAGUACUCCUACUCGGCCCAAUAGUCGGUAGCGGCCUCUAGCAAGACGUGCCAACUCCUAUACACACACGAAGAUCAUAUCAGAUGAACCAUCACAACAUAAUAUACAUGCUAUUCCCUUUGCCUCACGAUAUUUGGUCUAGCUUCAAGCCGACCGCUCUUUCUCAAUCCUGUGAUUCGGAAUCCCUUUGUAGGUUAACUCUUAACCGUACGUAGCAUGGCCAUGCAUUUUCGGAUCCGAUCACUCGAGGGGCCCAGAGAUAUCACUCUCAAUCAGAGAGGGGCAAAUCCCAUCUUGAUUGACCAUGUCUCAUAGCAUGCUUCUUGACAAACCCGAAAACUACCUUUAUAACUACCCUGUUACGGCGUAGCAUUUGAUAGCCCCUAAGUAGGUCGAUCCACAUCUAGAAUACAUGCGACAAUCUCAGGUCUAAGGACAAAGCGUAUAUGUUGUUUAAAGAGAGAACUACUUCUCGUGUUGGGUCAGUCCCAGCACAUGUCUCCACAUGUGUCCACAUUAUUAGUUCAACAUCUCCAUGUCCAUGACUUGUGAAACAUAGUCAUCAACUAAUACAUGUGCUAGUCUAAUAUUCAUGUGUGUCCUCACAUGAACUCCGACUAGGGACAACUUUAGAAUAACCAUACAAGUAAAGAGUUUCACAUACAAUUCACAUAAUUGCAAAUCAAUUCAAGUAGCCUUCAAUGGAUAUUCAAUGAACACAACAUACAAAUCAUGGAUACAAAUGGAAUAUCAUCAUCUCUAUGAUUGCCUCUAGGGCAUACCUCCAACAAUUAUUUCAUGUAAAUUUUUGACAAUUUUUUAAAAUUGUUUGAUAUUUUUUAAAUUUUUUUUAAAAUAACUUUGCCGAGUGUCCUAUUGUAGACACUCGGCAAAGCAGCCUUCACCGAGUGUUACCCCUGGGACACUCGGCGAAUUAAUGCCCGGCCGCUCAAGAAUAUGUGCCCGGCCCCCUCACUCUCCCGGCCCCCCUCACUCUCACUCCCCUCACUCCCUCCUCUCUCCCUCCUCUCUCCCUCUCGCCGCCGCCCGAAACCCCCGCCGCCGCCCGCCGCCCGGCAUGCCGCCCAGCGCCCCCCGCCGCCGCCCGGCGCUCCCGAAUCCGCCGCCGCCCGCCCGGCGCCCGGCCCCCGGAUCCGCCGCCGCCGGCCGCCCGGCGCCCCCGGAUUCGCCGCCGCCCGCCCGGCCCCCGGCCCCCGGAUCAGCCGCCGCCCGCCGCCCGGCGCACGGCGCCCCCGGAUCCGCCGCCGCCUGCCCGGCGCCCGGCCCCUGGCCCCCUGAUCCGCCGCCGCCCGCCCGGAUCCGCCGCCGCCCGCCCGGCGCCCGGCCCCCGGCCCCCGGAUCCACCGCCGCCCCCCCGGCCCCCGGAUCCGCCGCCCGCCCGUCCCCUCCACCGGAUCCGCCGGCGCCGGGGCCUGAAGAGAAGAGAAGAGGAGAGGAUGGUGGCGGCGGCGGCCGCGGCGGCGGAGCAGGUGGCAGAGCAUGCAUGAUUUUUUUUUAUUUUUUCAAUAAUUGUUCGCCAAGUGUUUUCUGGGCACUCGGCAAAGUCUUUGCCGAGUGCCCGACACAAAACACUCGGCGAACCAGUGUUUGCCGUCAAGAUUUUUGCCGUGUGUCGUUUGCCGAGUGUUACACUCGGCAAACGCUUUGUCGAGUGUUUUUGGGGUUUCGCGGAGUGACCCUGGCACUCGGCAUCACGCAUGUUUCCCUUAGUGAACUUGAAAUUAUCUGUACAUUCUCGGUGAAGCUGUUGAACUAAUUUUUGCAAAUUAUUAAUUCAUCUCAUUACGCAAAGAAAAAAGUAAGUGGAUAAGAUAUUUCGUGGACCACAUCACUGCAAACAUGUCAUGGAGAGACAGACCAAGGAGGCAGGACGUGAUACACGACUUACCCUAGGUUGCCGUGGAACCGCCAAGAAGAGAUACAGAUACAUGGACCACACCAUCUUGGGAGUAGUGACAGCAUAUAUGCAGAAGAAUACCCCGUGCCUAUUUGCAUGCAUGUCUCAAGUGAUCUGUUUUCUUCAGAAAAUACAUGAGCAUUGCCAGAAAGAAUGGCAAGAGACAAACAUGUCAUAGAGACUUGCAUGUCUUGCCUUGGAUACGCCAAGAAGAGGGACACAUACAUGGAUAACACAAAUCUAGUGACACGUAUAUUCAUCACAAAGGCAAAUCUGAUAAUUUUAUCCAUGGAGCAGACCAAGGAGAAAUUGAUGACGGACAUGUGAUCUCUGUAUUCAGUUGAAAGCUAAUUGAGCUACACUAAUAUGAGCAGGACUAUAUUCAAGAGACUUGUUGAGAGCUACAGGGAACUUGUAAUAAUUUGCUGGGCGGCCUGCGCACAAUGAUUUGUUAUACAUAGUUGAAAUAUUUCAAGAAUUUAUCAACCUCAUACUCUGAAACCCUUGGUGCAAUGUACUCUGCUUUCCGAGGUAGACUGUUCACGUAAAAUGAGGUCAUGCGUAAGACGGAAUCGGAUUGGAUUCACAGGGAAUCAGAUUUGGAUAGCACCUUUUAGCAGGUUUUUAGUCAAAUGCAAAUUCGGAUCCACAUGUGGUUGAAUGCGAGUUCAAAAUUCUACUUGGAUAUCCAUUUAAUUUAGGUGAUAGCAAUUAGCACAAAAUGUUGGAUGAACAAAAUCAUAGUUAGACAUACAAUUACAUGUAUGGUUAAAGUAUAAUACAAUACACCAAGAUUAUUCCUUGAAAAUAUUUCUUAAAAAUAUUAUAAUAAAUGAAUAAAUAUAAUUGUGGCCACCAACAAAUAGUCGGUGGUCGCUAAGUUGGAGCCAUUUCUGGUUACUAAUGCGGCCUUCUCCUCGACCAGCGACGACAGCUGAGCUUGUUCCUUCUGACACUAAAUCAUCAGAGUCUUCCCUCCACUACUAUAGAAUGCACCUUUAGCACCAAUUGGGAAAUCCCCUUCAGUAUUGGAUGCUGCAACCAGUGCUAUAUAUCAAAAUGGAGACUAAAAGCCUCGGUCUUGGGUACCGGUUGCAUAACGCAUUACUAAAGGAGGCAAAAGAGAAAUGUAACAAAAAAAAUAUUUUGAAUUCCAAGAAUGUUUCACUAUUCAAGAUGACUAGCUGAGAGUCAACAGACAAGAUACUAGGAAUGUGGGUGCUUGAAUGCAUUUGUACAGAGGUCAUACUAUUUACAAACUCUUCUAUGUUUCCAUAUGACUACCUACUUCAAUGUCACGCGAGCCAUUCAGCUGGACACAUGGCACACUAGCUUGCAUGUCGAAUCCAUGAUUAAUUAUUUGCACUUGUGAUCUCUUACCAGUAUUUGUCCAGACUAGAAACGUGCAACACAUUUUUAGGAUAUGGACACGCAUAUAUUUGGACUAGUAUACAGGUCACCUUUGGAUGCGUACAAGGAUGACCGGGAGGGACUAAUGGAUACAAGGAAGGGACCAUCAGGAUUAAUAUUGACAUAUGCCACAUGACAAUCUUCAUUGUCAUGCAAUCCCUAUCAACAAUCAUGGAAUCCCUAGUGUACUAAUCCCUGGAGGGUUGUGUGGAAAUUUAUUUUACCUUGCGGUGAAAAUCUCAUGAGCAGUCAUUAGUUAAGCUGACUAGCUGAGAUAUAAUAGACAAGCUAGUAAGAUUGGGAGCAUCAAUGCAUCCAUACAGGGUCACAAUAUCCUUUCCAUUCACUUUUAUAUAUAACCCUACGAAUACAAGUCCAACGAAAUGCGGGCCUUUCGAUCAAGAUAAAUUAAAUGGCCCACUUGUAUUUCUAAUCCAGGAUUAACUAUGCCCUCUGUUCAUCUCUUGCAAGCACGUGCAACACAUUUUCACGAUAUGGACAUGCAUGGAGGUUAUUAUACUGUUUGGACAAACUCUGAUGUGCCAUGACCUAAAUGCUUAGGGCCUGUUUGGUUUGAGUUGCUUAUUAUAAGCAACUUAAAGUUGCUUAAAGUUGCUUAUUUGAAGUUGCUUAUUUUUAGUCUAAACUGUUUGGAUACCCUUGCUUAUGAGCAUUGAAUGAGUUGGACAUUGUCAAAUUUGCCCCAUGUGUUGCUACCCCUCCAAUUUGCCUCCCCACCCUUCUUCUUCCUGCACACGUCCGAUCCCGGGGGCCGACGGCGGGCAGGGAGCAGCAGCAGCUGGCCAGGGCGGCGGUGGGGCGGGAGCGGCGGCGCACACCAGCACGCGCUCGCACGCCAGGUGCUAGGGCGCGGCGAGGCAGUCGUCGUAGCCCACCGGGAGCGGGUGCUCGGGCGCGAGGCGGUACUCGACGGAGAUGCCGAGCGUCGGGCGCGCGGCGGCGAGCGCGUUGAGGAAGCGAUGGUAGUGCGGCGACGUCGCGGACUCCGCCACGAAGCCGCCGCCGUGGACGUACACCACCACGGGCAGCUUCGUCUUGCCGUCGGCGGCCGCGGCCGCGGCCUGGGGUGGCAGGUAGAGGCGGACGGAGCAGGAGCCGAGGUCGACGUCCCUGGAGUCGACGCCCGUGGCGGCGUCCAGGCUAGGCCCGACCGGCGGCGGCACGAGCGGGCGCUCGAUGCGGCCGCUCUUGUAAAUCCGACGGGUCUGUGCGGAGGCGGGCGGCGGGCGGGAGCGGCGGGUGGGAGCGGCGGCAGGUGGUGCGGAGGCCGGCGGCGGCGGGUGGCGCGGAGGAAGGGGAGCUGGUGAGUGGUGACAGGGGAGGGGGGGAGAGAGAGGGGGGGGUAGGGUGCAUUGAAUGAGGGCAGGAGGUGUAAAGUGCACCUUUUAGUCCCCAUGAGCAACCAUAAGCAGCCCAAGAGUUGCUUAUUUGCUUAUAAUAAGCAACCUCAUAAGCAAGAGUGAUUGGUUUCAUAAGCAACUUAUUUGCUUAUUUUAAGUUGCUUAUGCAUAAGCAUGUGAAACCAAGCAGGUCCUUAACCUAUGGUUGUGGCACCACACAGUACAUAGUAUUUAAUAAUGCUAUUCGUUUGGUAUGUGCACAAGGGCACGCAUGAAAUGUCUGGCCCACGGUAAACAAGUACGGACGCUGCAAAUAAUCUACUCUGCUCGUCCAGUCCCUAGCCUAUAAAUAGAUGCCAUGCUAGCUCUUGUUGUGCUCACAAUUAAUCCUGACUACACACGAGCUUCUCUCCCUGGCCAAGACACAAUCAUAGUAUGAUGAAGAACAUGGCACUAGCCGGCAAUGGUAUGAAGAACUUAAUCCUCGCUGUUCUCUUACUGUGUCUAGUUAUAGGGCAGAUACAAGUGGAAGCUAAGAGCUGCUGCCCAUCCAUUACUGCAAGAAAUAUCUACAAUGCCUGCCGUAUCACGGGUACAUCCCGUCCAACGUGUGCAAAACUGUCAGGCUGCAAAAUUAUCAGCGGGGACAAAUGCAAGCCCCCUAACGACCACCUCACCCUUGACCCGGACACUGGUAAAUAAUAAAUUUAUCUCACUUGAUUUCUUCGUGUUUUGAGUCGUUAAUGUAUUUUCCAUCUGAUGAAACGUAUUGGUUUUGCAUUGAAGAGGAAGUUAAUGUGCUUAACUUCUGCAAGUUGGGGUGUGCGUCGUCUGUGUGCAACAACAUCAACGCUGGUAAGCACCUUUUGCUCAGACGGAGAAAACAAUAAUCAUUAAUUAGCGGCAGCUAGAAUCCUAUAAUCUAAUAUAUUUAUAUAUAUAUAUAAUUUUAUCAGCUCUGGGAAAUGAAGAGGCGAACGAUGCCGUUGAGAGUUGCGACCAAGCCUGCUCUAGCUUCUGCAACGUGCACGUUGGCGCUGCCACCGUGGUUGCUUAAGCAAAUGCAUCCAACUGGAUCGUCCUUGUGCUAAAUAAUUGGAUAUCGUAUCCACUUAAAGCUGCCUUGUGUAGUACGUUUUUGUUUGUGUCUCUCUUUAUAUUCCAAUAAGGUCGGUGAUCUUGAUGCCACACACUCAGACGUGUGUUCAUCUCCAGAUACUACUCCAUGCUACCUGCCCUUUGUGUUUUGUUCAAUAACUGGGUAUCAUAUCCCAGCCAGUGUGCCAUCUGUUUUGUGUUUAUUUCCUUCUAGUUUCAAAGGGGUUAUCAU
rnacentral:lncRNA from 1 species